GGUUUGGUUUUUCCUCUCUAUUUGUUUGAUUUUAUUUUUGUUUCAAUUGAUUUUGCCAAUUCUGUCUUUAUUCCUGAUUCGUUAUUUUUUCUAUUCUGACUUCAUGUCGCUGAAAUAUUCAUUUCAUUUUUUUGUUGAUUCAUAUUUUAGAUUUCGUUUAAAUGAGAUUUUUUCUUCUUCUUCUGUGUUCGUAUUCUUUUGCACGCACAGAUAAAUAUUUUAGACAACUAUGAGCAAAAACUUCAUGCAAGACACACGUGUAGAGCAUUCAAACUUCCGCAACGUACCAAAUCUCGUUGGUCAAGGAUACUUUAAAAGGAAAGGAAGCAGAGGGAUUUGUAAGUAGGACUUAAAGAAAACAGUCUCUCCCUCUCUCUUUACCUUUCAUUGGAUGUAUUAAAUUUGAUUAAACUUUUGAUUUUUUAUUUUGUUAUGUGUAGUCCACUUGCUUUAUGGCGCUCAGUUUGAUAUCAGCAGCAAACAUCUGGGAGCAGCAAACAUUCGGUUACCUGACCCUAUAGUUUCAUAUCAAAUUAUCCAUUGAUCGCACAGUUUCUAGGAUAACUUGUUUGAUUAAAAUCUUCAAAUCAUUCUUUGAGAGUUUUGGCAUAAACACAUUUGAAGCAAUGACCUUCUCAGUGGUGGUCUUCUGCCUGGACAAGGUGUGCAUUGAAAUGUGACCAUCUACAAAAGCUUUUGUAUUUUAGAAGCAUUUCAUAAUUUAAAUUUUUCAACUGUGAUUUACUUGGUCAAUCAGAUACAUGGAUUUGUUGUCGAUGGCAGCCACCUAAGAAUAACUUUUAUUGCUUGAUCUGUCCAUGCACUAUGAAAAUGCCAAAUAUGUUAUCUUGCUCAGAUUUUAAUUACCAUUUAGACCGAUCAAAGUGACUCUUAGUUUCUUACCUUCUUUUUGUACUAUAAUCUUUCAUGACCAAGUAACCUAUGAUUUGCAGAGAAGAGAUGGCUUUUAAUUUUUGAAAUGUUCAUCAAUCUUGAUUUACUUUCUGGAAAUCUUCAUCUUGUUUACUAAUAAAUGAACUACAUUAAUUAAAAAGAAAAUAUCUACCCAUACAGCGGGAUAAAUCCUUCUAUAUACUUAAAUGGUAAAACUAUGCAAGUGUUGAACAUUAAGAUCUUAUUUGAACUGUCACAAAUGUUUUGCACAAAUCAAAUUAGCAGAGAAUCAUAAUGGUACAAGGACAAUCCUAUAUCAUGAUUAAUGUCUUAGUUUUUGGUUUAUGGCAUCCUAGAUUCAUUUUGAACUAAUUUGCUAAUCUUUUAUUUGAAGAUUUGAAGAAUCAUAAACUGUCAUCUUAGAUUCCAUAGCAAACAAUAUGAUGCAGCAACUUCUUGACCAGAUCCUAUGCGUCGUGAUAUCAUCAGAUAUUAUGAAAAAUCGUUUUGCCUAAUGUAGAUGCCUAUGUUUAUGUAAUUUCUGCAUUGGCCGGAUCCUAUAUGCUAAACACUAGUUUUUAAUAUGCUAAAAGCUUUCUGUUUAAUUCCUAUUCAACUUGCAUGUAGACGUUCACCUUUUCUUUUUAUUUGAUACUAACUGCUUAUUUUUUUGUGUCAUCUAGAUUUUUGGACGUUAUUAUCUCUCGAUCAGAACGGAGUUAACAACAUGACAGAGACUUCAUUAUCAUUGCAUUUGGGCAGUCGUAUUUUCAACCUUUGCAGCCUAACAUACAGCACCAUUUUUUUACAUCGUCUUCUCCAUUCCAGCGCGAGCAUUGCCUUUGAAUGAUUGUUUGCACUUUGAACAAUUCUGCAAGAUCUUGGAUCUUGAUAUCAAACAGUAUUAUUUGUACACUCACUUAAGUAUUAAAAAUAGUUUCACAUUACCGUAAAUAUAUAUGUCAUUACCAAAAUUAUUAUAAGCAUAUUUGAUCUUAUUUGAUUUUGUAAUUUUAACAACUGUUUUAUGGCGUUAAUAUAAUUCAAACGAGAAUUUAAAUUAAACCUAAAUAUAAAGGGUGCUACUUUCCCCUCCCUUGAUGCAGAAAACUCUCCAUGUUUCUGAAAGUGUAUAUAGUGAUUUUUCUGGAUGUGUACAUUGGACUCAUAUCUGGUGCUAUGACAGUAGCCCCAAAGGGAUUACUGCACCAGUUGAUGAAUAUACUUUUAAGAUGGUGUGUCAAAAAAAAAGAAAAUUACUUUGAAGAUGGUAACUGCGAGGCCCAACUUGUAGGGAAAACUUAACGAGUGCCACAAUUUGCAUCUCCUAUUUUACUCUCAAAUUACCUUUUAAUCCUAGUACUUUGUUUUAUUUUUGCCACAUGUCACACAUCUAAGAAAUAGACAUGGAAAAAUGGAGGCCUUAAAUGGAGGGAAGCCACACUUUGCUUAGGUGCUUCUAAGUUGGGUCUUUCGCAUCUGUCUUUUAUUGUUGGUGUUGGGUGUUCUUUCUUUAGUUGGUGUUGGUGAUAUGAUGUUGGUAUUCUUUAUCUUUUUACAUUCUUCCCCUUUUCAGUAUUUAUAUAUAGAUACAUGUCAUAAAAAAAAACCAUAUACUCCUUUGCAAAUAUCAUCCAUAUACUUUUUUUGGGUCAUCAUGCGAUAAUCAAUCCAUUGUACGUCGAGUACUAAAUGCAAAAAGUAAAAUCUAUAAUGAUCAAAUGCAAGUGUUGAUAAAAUUUUAAUUUAGAAAGAAAUUAAGAUGAAGUUUUAAAAAGAGCGAAGAUCCAAUUUAUAGUUCAUGACAAUUUUCUUGCAGCUUAAUUUAGUUUCCAAAAAAAUUUAAUAUUUAUACAAAACUAUUACCUAAUAUUUUCAAAUUGGAGGAUGAGUAACUCACUUGGUUGAGCUAAGAGAUUAAAGAAGUUAAGUUUUUUUAUUUUUAUUUUUAAAAUGAAGUUUAGAAGUUAAAGGUUCAUGAUUCAAAUCUUGAUAUAAGAGAGAAAACACUAACAUAAUAAUUAACAUACGAAAAUGUAUAAACAUUCUAUCAAGGUUUGAAGAUUAGAAAUGUAACAACUCAUGAAAUGCUUGGUUGAAGAUAAGUACGUGUAUACCAUCUAAUAAAGUCUAAAUUUAAAUUGGAUUAACAUAAUAUUUUUUUUUGGUGGAUUAACAUAAUAUAUCAUAUACAAAGAUAAAUUUAAAAAUAUAUACAUUUUUUUUUAUGAAAUAUAGAAAAUUCCUUUCAUAAAAAAAAAUGUACUAUUAAUUAUUAUAGGCCCAUUUAAUUUUAUAGGAGGAGCCCAACAUUGUCAUAAGAAACCCUAGUUUCUUUCAGCUGCGGCGACUGCGACAUUGACAACCCUUUUUCUUCAUCUAUAUAUGCUAUGCUAUGCCCACCAGUGACACUCAAACUAAAUCUCCCGUCAUCUUUUUAUUUCUCAAACAUUAAGAAGCAAUUCAAAUACGUUUCAGAAAUAUAUAACACACUUGAUUUGAGUCUUUGAUAACCCUAAUUUCACAUUUUGUAUUUCUCACGUCAUCCAGCUCUGUCACCCACUACCCUAGGGUUACUUCAACACAGGAUCCAGACUCAACUUUAGCGAAAAUUUGAAGAUCCAAUGCUUGAUGAUGAGGAUGACGAUUUCAACAAUAUCCUUUGUUUGGUCAUUCCUCCGUCAUGUAUAUUUACAAGUGUGAUUUCUUUGAUUAAUCCGAUUCAUAAAUUCGAAGGUUAGAAUUUUCUAUCUAUCUUUUUUGUUUUUCAUCAGACGUUUCUAUCUAUCUUAAUUGUAAUAUGAUUUUUAUUUUGAGAAAAAUUGAAGCACCCUUUCAUUUAAUAGAUAGCACAAGACAUAGAUCUCAAAGCUGCGUGUACAUGCCGUAACCCUAGGAACAUUUGGUUUACAGUUCAACUUAUAAAGGCUCCAAUUUUAACUCUCGGUUACAAUUGUUGUUUAUUUUUAUUUCUGUUGUUUCUUUUCAAUUGCUUUGAUUCAAUUCUUUAUUAUUCUUAUUUUUUUAUUUUUUUAUUUUCUUUCUUUCUUUCUUUCUUCCAUCCUUGUGUUUAUUAUUCUGAUUGUAAUAUAGUAUGAAUUGGUGUGGCUUAAACAUUCAUCUACCUUUUUUGUAGAUGUUAUUUAAAGUUUUUUUUUUGUUCUGAGUUUGUAUUCUUUCUCUCGCAGAUCAAUGUUCUAGACAACUAUGUGAGCAAACAGCUGCAUGCAAGACAUGAAUGCAGAGCUUUUAACUUGCCAAUGUGUGUUGGGUGGAUACCAUCUUUGAUUACUCCUUUCCAAUGAAUUCAUGUCUGAUUCGGCAGUGUCAGUGAAUUGAUUGAAACCGUUACACAUGCUAGCAGAAACACUAGGAGUAUCAAAGGUGGUUGGAUCAAAGACGCGACACAUUUUCCAUCCUGUGGGAACAAAUCAUAUGUAGUGUGUGCAAACGCAUCAAACACUUUAGUAGCACUGGUAGACGAUCUAGUGGAGCGAUCUAGUGGAGUUGAAUUGUUGAAAGCCAAUAGAAGAUGGAAAGGCUUACAUUAUGGGUGGGAAUUUGAAAUUCAAUUGGGGUUUGUAAUGUGUGCAAGUUAGUUGGUGACUAUUAAGUUCGGCAAUUAAAGUCAAAAUGACUCCCAAACGGAGUAGGGUUAGGGUUUUGGAGAUUAGCUUGCAAUGUUAAUUAGAAUUAGAAAUAAGUAUGAUAUAUUUCAAGUGUUAUUCAUUUUUUAUUGUGAGUGAAAAUCGUGGGUUCUCUUGUAUAUUAAUAUGAUAACACAAUAUUAUACAUGCAUAUGAGUUUUUUUUGUUGUUGCAACUAACUCUUAUUUUCAAUUUUUUCAACUUUUGUCAUGUUGUUUUUGUUGUAUUGAAAAAUUGAGCACUUUAUACUACUUCCUCCGUCCCAAAUUGUAUGACGUUUUGGCAAUUUAUUAAGAAAUGUAAUUAACAAAACUCAUGAUUUCGUUGUGUAUAUGUAUCUUUUUUUUUAAAAAAAUUGUUGUAUUCUCGUACCGUUGUCGAACGGGUACCGUUCCCAUACAUGCAACAUAGGUGUUACCCAGAGCCGUUCCUAUGAAAUAGGAGGCUCGACUCUCUAUUUAAAAUAGGUCCUCAGUAAAAUAAAAUUUUUUAAAAAAAUUAAGUGAAAGAGAAGUGAAAUUUACCUAAAUCUAACAAUUUCUUUAUCUUAUUAUUAACUAAUUUGUUAAGAAUUAAUCGGAUUGAAGCUAUAGCAUCAUCAUUAGCUGGAAUCGAAAUAUCUGCUAGAUAUGUUUCCAAAUGAGAUAAUUGUCUCUUGAACAUAGCGGCAUCUCUUUUUGGAAGAGAGUUCAUGGUUUAUGCAAAAAUGAAAUGAUUUAGGUGAUUCUUUCAAUGAAAUAGCUUUUCAAACGUGUACUGACGAAAGAAAAUGAAGUAACAUAUAUAUAUAUAUAUAUAUAUUUUAUUUAAGUAGGGAUGGCUAUUAGACUUAAAUUUAUUUGUUGAGUCCCAUAGCAUUUGAAUGCCCAACUUAAUUGAGGACCUUGCACUCCCCAAGGUCCGGUCCUCGUGUUACCUAAUAAAUGAACUAUCUUAAAUGAAAAAUAUCAUCACAUACAGCUGUAAAUCCUUCUAUGUACACAAAUGAGGGUAUUGAACAAUAAGAUUGUACAUGAAACAAUUGAAUCCCCAUAUCUAUUUGAACGACAACCACAAAUGUUUUGCAUAAAUCAAAUUAGCAGAGAAUCAUAAAUACAUAUCUCGAUUAAUGGCUUAGUUUCCUGUUAUGGCAUAUUAGAUUUAUUACGAACAAAUACGCUAAUUUUUUUUUUUUUGAAAAUAUGAAGAAAAAAAACUGUACAAUACUAUAAGAUGUGCAACUUCUUGACCAGAUCCUUUGUUAUCGACUAGACCCUAUAUGCUCGAGCUUCGUUUGAACAUUAACAAAAGCAUUAUUGUGCUUCAGGGAGCCAAUAGGCCACAAUAUUCGAUAAUGAUAGAAAUUGCUUAGAUUCUAUUAAAAGCUUAUUAAAGGCUAAAGUUGCUCCUACGAAGCAACAAUAAUAGCUGCAUCUUAGCGACAACAUUUUUGACACUGUCUUCUACUUUUCAACUCGAGCAUUGUCUUUGAAGUUUGAAUGAUUGUUUGCACUGUGAACAAUUUUGCAAGAUCUUGAAUCUUAAUAAUGCAUCAAACAGUUUUUUGUACAACUUUGUUUAAUAUUAAAAAUAGUUUCACUCAUACUAUCAUAAAUAUAUGUAUAUAAUUGCAUAAUUGCCAAACAAUUUAUAUAAGGAUAUUUGAUCCCAUUGGAGUUUGUUAUUUUAAUAACUUUUUAGGACGUAAAAAUAAUUCAAACGCGAACUUAACCCUAAAUAUAGGGGGUGCGUUUUUCCCCCUCCCUUGAUGCGGAAAACUCCAUGUUUCUGAUAGUCUAUUUAGUCAUUUUUCUGGAUGUGUGCAUUGGACAUAUAUAUGUAGCCAUUGUCUUACAGGUUGGCCACACAUAUUCUCAACAUCAAAAUAGAUAUUUUUUUUUUCUGUUACAACAAAAUACAGUAAAUUUUUUUUUAACUUCAUGAGGAACAACGAGUCGAGGAAUUCAAUGAAUUUAAUUGCUAUUACAAGCCUACUAGGCUAGCAUGUUGUUGGUUGGCCAUAAAUUGAGGCAUCUAACAGUUGUUGGUAUUGAAUCACCCAAUGUGACUUGUCCUAUACAUGCUUUUAAAUUCAAGUAUGGAUACCAUUCUAUGGGUCGAGUCCCAUUAUUUUAAAUAAAUUUCACUUUUCAGCUGCCACCCUAUAAAGCUUCAUCUAUAGAUGUUUCAGGCACACUAAAUUUCCCUUUAUCAUUUUCAGGCACAUAACUCAAAUUUUGAAGAUCCAAUUCUUGUUGAGGAUGAUGAUGAUUUCAACAUUAUCUUUUGUUUGGUCAUUCAUCAGCCAUAUAUAUUUAGGUUGACUGUGAUUUCCUUGAUUAAUCGGACUCAUGAAUAUGGAGAGGUUAAAAUUUUUCUAUCUUAAUAAUUGUUCCAAUUCAAUCUAUCUUGGCCUUCAAGUAACGCAGUUCAUUUUGUGCAAAUCAACACCAAGAUUCUCUUCAAUCAAAUCUCUUAAAGCAGUAAAUUUCUCAUCAAAUUUGCAUUCUCCUUUUUGUUUAUUAUUUGCAAUAUUUGUGACAUUAAAAAGAAGUGAAUGGUGAUUCCUUAUGAGUUAUGGUUGUGAAAACCGAACCUAUGUAAUGUUAUUGAUAUUGGACAAAAUGAUAUGGCCUCAACCGCAUUCGCGUUGUGGUCACAAAGACCUCAAAAACUUUGUUUUCGCAACUCGUAUCACAAUCACUAAACUUUUUCUUAAUCCUUGGUUUUUGUUAUCUUCAACUUAGCUAGUGCUUAUUGAAUAUCACAAUCAUUUUUUGUAUAACUCGUGACAAACGGACCUAGCCAGUGCACAGUUAAGUGUUAAUUUUUAUUCUUGCACGAUUUGUGGCUGGUUUUGUAAAUCCAUUGAAAUUUUGCUGUGGAAGUUACUAUGGUUACCACAUAAAUUGCUUCAUCUUCAUCAUCGUUUCACUCUUCAUCUCAUGGCUCCAUUCAACUUUAGUGGAACUUUUGAAUAUCCAUUGCUUGUUGAUUUCAACAAUACCCUUUGUUUGGAUGCUCAUCAAUCAUAUAUAUUUACAAUGACUGUGAUUUCCUUGAUUAAUCGGACUCAUGGAUAUAAAGGCUAGAACUUUUUUUCCUUAAUAAUUGUUCCAUAAUUUUUGUUAGCAACAUAGAAUCACACUUUUCGUUUAAUAGAUAACACUACUUGUCAGCAUUGUGCUCAAUUUUUUUUCCUAUUCAUUUUGCAUCAUUGCACAAAACACUGAUCUCAAAGCUUAUUAUGAACCCUAACCCUAGCAACCAUUCUGACUGUCCGAUGAUAGACGAAUAGGCUCCUUAUCUCAAUUCGAUGAUAAGACGGAUUGGUUCCAAUUUUGACUGUUCUUUGCAAUUUUAGUUUUGGCUUGUUUUUUCCUCUCUAUAUUUUUUUUUUUUUUUUUUUGUUGAAACAGCUUAUUUAUUAUAUACAAGCACAAAUAGGUGAACAGAGGCGGAUACAAAGGGCCCAAAAACUGGAAACCCCCAUAAAACAGCAAGAGCAGCUGCUGCACAGGCAUUAACAGCACCUGUCAGCAGAACAGAAAAUGCAGCUGCGGCUGCAACACCCAAAAACGAGCCCAAUAAGUCCCAAACACCUCUAAAACUGCUCCAAAACUACCGCAACAAGCACGCUUUGGGGUUCCAACACCACUCGUAAAAGAGGCAAAGAGGACUAUUUAAUCUAGAUAGAGCCCAACGCCAAGAGAGAACCUUGAUUUCCUCCACAAUUUCACCCGGCUCUUUAAUUUUGCUUGAUUUUAUUUUUGCUUCAAUUGAUUCUGUCAAUUCUGUCUUCAAUCCUCAUAAUUUUUUUUCUUCCAUUCUUGUAUUUUUUUUCUUUCUAUUCUCACUGUAAUGUAAUCUGACUUCAUGUAGCUGAAAUAUUCAUUUCAUAUUUUUUGUUGAUUCAGUUUUUAGAUUUCGUUUAAAUGAGAUUGUUUAUCUUCUGAGUUUGUAUUGUUUUGGACGCACAGAUAAAUAUUUUAGACAACUAUGAGCAAAAACUGCAUGCGAAACACACAUGUAGAGCAUUCAAACUUCCGCAACGUACCAAAUCUCGUUGGUCAAGGAUACUUUAAAAGGAAAGGAAACAGAGGGAUUUGUAAGUAGGACUGAAGAAAACAGUCUCUCCUUCUCACUUUCCCUUUCAUAUGUAUUAAAUUUGAUUAAAUUUCUUUGAUUUUUGAUUUUGUUAUGGUAGUUCACUUGCUUUAUGGCGCUCACUUUGAUAUCAGCAGCAAACAUCUGGGAGGAGCAAACAUUUUCGAGUAACCUGAUUAUUAUCUUCAAAUUAUCCUUUGAUCCCACAGUUUCUAGGAUAAUUUCUUUGGUUAAUAUCUUCAAAUCAUCCUGAGAGCUUUGACAUUGACACAUUUGAAGCAAUGACCUUCUCAGUGGCAGCCUUAUGCCUGGACAAGGCGUGCAUUGGACUGUGACCUUCUACAGAAGCUUUUGCUUUUUAGAAGCAUUUCAUAAUUUAAAUUUUUCAACUGUGAUUUACUUGGUUAAUCAGAUGCAUGGAGCAUUUCUGCAGCUUAUCAUUGUCGAUGGCAGCCACGAAAACAACUUUUAUUGCUGGAUUUGUUAAUGCACUAUGAAAAUGCCAAAUAUAUUUUGCUCGGAUUUUGAUGACCAUUCAGACCGAUCAAGUAACUCUUAGUUUCUUGCCUUCUUUUUGUACUAUAAUAUUUGAAUUGUUCGUCAAUCUUGGUUUACUUUCCGGAAAUCUUCAUUCUGUUUACUAAUAAAUGAACUAUGUAAAUUAAAAAGAAAGUAUCUACACAUACAGCAAAUAAAUCCUUCUAUAUAUUUAAAUCGUAAAACUAUGCAAGUGUUGAACAUUAAGAUCUUACAUGAAACAAUUGAAUCCCCAUAUAUCAAAUUAGCAGAGAAUCAUAAUGGUACGAGGACAAUCCAAUAUCAUGAUUAAUGGCUUAGUUUUCGGUUUAUGGCAUCUUAUAUUCAGUUUGAACUAAUUUGUUAAUUGUUUAUUUGAAGAUAUGGAAAAACAGUCCAAUACUUAAUAAUAUGAUGCUGCAACUUCUUGACCAGAUCGUAUGUGUCGUGAUGUCAUCAGAUAUUAUGAAAAAUUGUUUUGCCUAAUGUAGAUACCUCUGUUUAUGUAAUUUCAUUGACAGGACCCUAUAUGCUAGACACUAGUUUCUAAAAUGCUAAAAACUUUCUGUUUAAUUCCUAUUUAACUUGCACGUAGACGAUUAAACACUAACAAAAGCACCAUUGUGCUUCACCGAGCCAACAGGCCACAAUAUUCGAUAAGGCUAGGAAUUGUGUAGGUUCUAUUAAAGGCUAAAGUUGCUCCUACAAAGCAAUAUAUAGUAAUAGCUACUACUACUUGAAUAAGUUUUUUUGUUGGUCAUUAUUCUAAUUAAUAAACUUGAUUGUUAUUUCUAGAAUAAGACAUGGCCUUUUUACCUUUUCUGUUCAUGUUCCUUUUAUUUUUAAUUGAUACUAACCGCUGCUUUUUUUUGUGUCGUCCAGUUUUUUAGACGUUAUUAUCUCCUGAUCAGAGCGGAGUUACCAACAUGACGGAGACUUCAUUAUCAUUGCAUUUGGGCAGUCAGAAUUUAUUUUCAACCUUUGCAGCCUAACAUCUUAACGACCAUUUUUGACACCAUCUUCUCCACUCCAGCACGAGCAUUGCCUUUGAAUGAUUCUUUGCACUUCGAACAAUUCUGCAAGAUCUUGAAUCUUGAUAUCAAUCAAUAUUAUUUGUGCAUCUCACUUUAGUAUUAAAAAUAGCUUCACAUUAUCGUAAAUAUAUACGUCAUUACCAAAAUUACUAUAAGGAUAUUUGAUCUUAUUUGAUUUUGUAAUUUUAACAACUGUUUUAUGGCGAUAAAAUAAUUCAAACCUAAAUAAUAUAGGAGGUGCUACUUUCCCCUCCCUUGAUGCAGAAAACUCUCCAUAUUUCUGAAAGUGUAUAAAGUCAUUUUUUCAGUAUGUGUACAUUGGACUCAUGUCUGGAGCUAUGACAGUAGCCCCCGAAAAUAAUAGUAUUUCCAUGAUUCAAAGGGAUUAGUGCACCAGUUGAUGAAUAUACUUUUAAGAUGGUAACUGCUAGAGGCCUGACUUGUAGGGAAAAUUUAACGAGUGCCACAGUUUGCAUCCCCUAUUUUACUCUCAAAUUACCACUGUUUGGAAGGACACUUUGAGAAGGCACCACUCAAAAUUGCAUAUAUUCCAUCUAAAUGUUAUGUCAAUUUUAUAAUGCAUGAAUAAGUAUUGAAUCAUCAUAAAUCUGUCAAAUACACUAUUAGAAAUGUGCUACUGAUAACAUUAUGGGACAAAUUGAGAAAUUAUCUAUAAGACAAAACCCAAAAUGUCAACUUUUGGACAAUUUAUUUAGAUUCGAAAUACAUGCACACUCCUUGUUCUCCCUCCCAUCCUCAUCAUUGCCACCGCCUCUCGGUGUUCCUCUCUCUAGUGCUGCCUCCGCUUCCCAUUUCCCUCCAUCCACGGGUGGCUCUUCCCCUUCUGCUCCACAUCACCUUGCUCAAUUCACAUUCAGUCCCAUUAUUGCGAUAUUCACCGCGUCCGUCGCUUUAAACCACCAAUAUGCCGCCACUUCACAGUCCUCCUCAAAUAUGAGUACAAAAUUCGCUGACUUUUCUAGUCUUUGAGUGGGAUCUAGCUCUUCAUACUAAUAUUCAACAAUUUGAGUGGGAUCUAGGGAUUGACAACCCGUGAUUCUUCCGAGCAGUAAUUAUCCUUCUUGGUUAGCCUAUACAUGUGAAGGACCUUUAGUACUUCUCCAAGGACCCGAUAAUAGGUGAUUGUAUCAUGAAGGGAAUAACUUUAUGUGUUGUUUAUUCAUCAACACCUGAAAACCUAGCAACUGAGUGUCUCCCUAGUAUCUUGUCUUGAUAAUUAAUUACACAAAAUUUACUAUCCAAAUAUGUUAGGUUUGAUUGUCAAGUUUCUUAAAUAAAGAAGGAGGUUAAAAAAUAUUAGCUAUGGGAGAAGUCUCACAUUUCAUAGUGUGGUUAAGCAAGGGAAAGGCUAAGGCUAUAUAUAUUGGACAUAGGUUCUUUGUUUUUUGAUGCAAUAGUGAGUAGCACUUUAAGCUUAGUUUAAAUAUUUUCUUUGUGAGAGUGUGGUUGUAUCGGGGCAUUGGGGGGUGAGUGAGAUAAGUCUAUGUGUUGUAAAAAUCUUCACAUAAUAACAAUUCUUUGGUUGUCGGUUUAGACGACGAUCGUGGUUUUUUUCUCCAAUUUUGAAGUUUCUACGUUACAUUAUUGUGUUGAGAUUGUGCUUAUUUUUCUUCUUCAUCCAUGCUAUUUUCUAACAUGUUUCAAGGUUCUCGUCAAAUAUGAGUGUACAAAAAUUGGCUGAUUUUUCUAGUCUUUGAGUUGGGAUCUAGCUCUUCAUACUAAUAUUCAACAAUUUGUUUACUGAAUUGUUCUUAAUUUCAUUCAAUUUUUUAUAUAGACUAAAACAAAAAGCAUUUUUGACCCUCAAGCUAAGUUACUAAUAAUUUAAAAUAUUUGAAGUAGCGGUGGAUAGAGAAGGGGAGAGCGCCGGUGGAUGGAGGGAGAGGGGCGACAAUGGCGACACACGAGAGGAAGAGGUAAUGAUGAUGGUGAGAGGGAGAAAAAGAGCAUGCAUGCAAUUGGAAUCAAAGAGAAGAGGAAACCGUGUAGUUUUAUUUUUCUCACAUGUCAUACAUCUAAAAAAUAGACAUGGAUAAAUAGAGGCUUCCUAAAUGGAGGGAAUCCGCGCUUUGCUUAAGUGCCUUUAAGCAUGAUCUUUCGGGUCUAUCUUCUAAUUUAUUGUAUAUUUUCUCGGAUGGAAUAGACUUGGUCAUUUCUUCCUUUAUUUUGGGCAAUAUGAGAUAGGGAGGGAGGCGUUUUUUGAUUCGGUGUUUGUUGUAGUUAUUUUAUUUUAUUUUUUGUAUUUUUGUUGGUGUUGAGUAUUAUUUGUUUUGUUGGUGUUGGUCAUCUUUGAUGUUGGCCACUUUGGCGUUUUUACAUUCUUUCCAUUUUCAAUAUAUAUAUAUAUAUGGGAUAUGAUCAAAUGACAUCAUGGUGUCAAAAUUAGUUUGACACCAAAUCUUAUUCAUUCAUUAUUAAUUAAUCCAAAGGUUUAAAGUUAUCCCUUGUAUAAUUCUCCUACACCAAUUUCUCUCUUAUCACCUAAUUAAAAAAAAAUCUUUAUUAUAAAUUCAUUAUCAAUCAUUUCCUUUUUUCCCUAUUUUUACUACUUAUUAUUCUUACUUAGUGUUAAAAAAAUCAUCAUUAUGGUUGGUUGGAUCAGUCAUCACCACGGAUAAUUAUAUAAAUUGCAUUAAAAAAAUUACACAUUCAAUCAAAACACCGAAAUGAUUAUUUUUCUUUCACCAUUGUUGCCAUCUAACCUCUCAAAAAUUGCUGCUAAUUAGAUUUUUAUCACUGAUCAUAUUGUUUAAGCUUAAUUACCUCAACAACAGUAAGCUUCAAUGUCUUCUGAAAAAAUUAAAACGACUUUUAUUUUUGAAGAAAAAAUGUAAAGUAAUAAAAAAAAGGUAACGAUGGUUGCUACGAACAGUAAAAAAGACGAAAUGCACGAGUGUAUGUAGUCCGUUGAUUUUCACAACUGUACAACCAUGAUUUCCACAAAUAAUGGACUAAUUAGUUUUUUUAUUUUUUAAAAACUGCACAUGUUAUAUUCUUACUUUUGUUUUGUCAAUCUCUUUGUUCAAUAUGACAAUGCUCAAUGAAAAAACAAAGUAAUAAUAAAAAAAUGAGAGAAAAAAUGAUUGAUAAUGAAUUUAUGACAAUAAAUGUUUUCCUUUUUUUCCUAAUUAGAUGUUCAAGGGAGAAAUUGGUGUAGGAUAAUUAUUUUGUAGAUAGUUUUAAACCUUUGGAUUAAAUGUGAUGAAUGGAUGAGAUUUGGUGUCAAAUUAAUUUUGACACCAUGGUGUCAUUUGAUCCUAUCCCUAUAUAUAUAUAUAGCCAUGAUUUCCACAAAUAAUGGACUAAUUAGUUUUUUUAUUUUUUAAAAACUGCACAUGUUAUAUUCUUACUUUUGUUUUGUCAAUCUCUUUGUUCAAUAUGACAAUGCUCAAUGAAAAAACAAAGUAAUAAUAAAAAAAUGAGAGAAAAAAUGAUUGAUAAUGAAUUUAUGACAAUAAAUGUUUUCAUUUUUUUCCUAAUUAGAUGUUAAAGGGAGAAAUUGGUGUAGGAUAAUUAUUUUGUGGAUAGUUUUAAACCUUUGGAUUAAAUGUGAUGAAUGGAUGAGAUUUGGUGUCAAACUAAUUUUGACACCAUGGUGUCAUUUGAUCCUAUCCCUAUAUAUAUAUAUGAGAAUGAUAUUUUUACGUGAGAAUAUGAGAAUGAAUUUUCAGCCUUUGGAUUAAGAUUUAAUGGCUGAGAUUAAAAGCUCCAAUUAAUUAAUAAUUAUGUCUUGCUGUAGUCUAUUAGUAUUCCACCAAUUACCAAGCUUCUCCCACUAUUAGCGCUCUUUACAAAUCUUCACCACCACUGACGUUAAGAUUUGUUCUUCAAAACAGAAACAAAGCUUCUUCUCUGUUAUAAUAUUGAUGAAUAUUGCUUCAGAAAAGUGGAUCUCAAUCUGAUGGAUUCCAAUUAACAAACACAAGUAGUAAUUACUCAUCUUAAGUGGUGAUGUGUGUUGGUGGGUUUAUCUUAAGGGGCUUUGUUUGGUGGUUAUGGUGUACCGUCUAUAUGCGGCACCAUUUGUAUCUUUGUUUCGUUCAUACCUCGCGUCUUGUGGGGAUGGCGUUUAAUAAUAUUUGCUGAUUAAAAAAAAAAAAUUACUCAUCCUUUGAGAUCUACGAUCUCUAUCAACUAAAAAUGAAGUUAAAAGUAAACUAAUCUUGUUAUAUAUUUUUUAUUGUUCUUUUAUACAAAAAGAUGAUAUAGACGAAACACAUAGAGCUGAAAACACAAGAUGAGGGGAAAAGCGGUUUCAGAUCUUCAAUCGCGAAUCGAACGCCGUCGGAGGCACAAGCAGAAUCAGCCACGAUGAAGAAGAGUCAAACCUAAUUUCAACGAUUACUGUCAUUUUGGAUUUACAAGAGAGAAUAAUUUGUGGAGAGUUGGCUGGUGACGAGUGCAAAAGAUGAAGGAAGUCGCGCAAGCACUGUUGCAGGAGGUGGGAAUCGUUUGGAAUUCUAUUGAUUCUACUGUGCUAGGCUACAACAAAACAUAGUUAUUAAUUAAUUGGAGCUUUUAAUCUCUGCCAUUAAAUCUUAAUCUAAAGGCUGAAAAUUCAUUCUCACAUUCUCAAAUAAAAAUACCAUUCUCAUAUGAUAUGUCCUAUAUAUAUCAUAAAAAUAAUAACCACAUACUCCUUUGUAAAUAUCGUCCAUAUACUUUUUUUGGGGUCAUCAUGCGAUAAUCAAUUCAUUGUUCGUUAAGUACUAAAUUGAAAAAGUAAAAUCUAUGAUGAUCAAGUGCAAGUGUGAAGAUCCAAUUCAAUUCAUGACAAUUUUCUUGCAGCUUAAUUUAGUUCCAAAAAAAUAAAAAUUAAUAUAUACAAAACUAGAUCUAAUAUUUUUAAAUUGGGGGAUGAGUAGCUCCGUUGUUUGAGUUAAGGAAUUAAAGAAUUUAAAGAGUUUGUUUUUAAAAGAAAUGAAGUUAAAACUUUAAGGUUCAUAUGAUUCAAAUCCUGACAAGAGAGAAAAUACUAAAAUAAUAGUUAACAUACGAACAUGUAUAAACAUUCUAUCAAGGGUUGAAGAUUAGAAAUGUAACAACUCAUGAAAUGCUUGAUUGAAGAAAAGUGCGUGUCCAUAAAAAAAAUAUAUAAAUUUAAAUUGGUUUAACAUAAUAUACCCUCUUUUGUGCAUGGGUGUUUCUAUGUAAUCUUUUAAUUUCUUCGCUUUUUUUGUCCUUUUUAAUGAGGAACCAAUUGUGACUUUGUAAUUUGUGGAGUGGUUAUGUUCUAGCACGAUUUAUGCCGGGAGGACCACUGUUGGUUUAAUAUCAUAUAUCAUUUUGAUUUGUUAAAAAAAAAAUAUAAACAUGUUUUUUUUUUAUGAAAUAUAGAAUAUUCCUUUCACAAAAAAAUAUUCUGUACUACUCCCUCCGUUUCAAAAUACAUGUCCAUUUUGGAGAAAUUGCACUAACCAAGAAACCAAAUAAAUUUUGUUAUUUUUGAUGAAAAUAUAUGUGUGUUUUCUAUAAUACCCUUAAUCAUUUAUUAUUUCAUUUUACUUUUUCCUCUCUCUACAAUAAAUAUGCAAGGGUAUUAUUGACAAGUCAAUAAUUAAUGUUGCAUUGAAACUUGAAAGUGACAAGUAUUUUGAAACAAAAUUAUUCUCUAAAAUAGACAAGUAUUAUGAAACGGAUGGAGUAUUAAUUAUUAUAGGCCCAUGUAAUUAUAUACGAGGAGCCCAACAUUGUCAUAACAAAAUGAGCCCUUAAAACUUCAAACAAUAACCAAGAAACCAAGAAACCCUAGUUUCUUUCAGCUGCGGCUGCGACACUGACAAGCCUUUUUCUUCAUCUAUAUAUGCUAUGCUAUGCUAUGCUAUGCUCACCAGUCACCACACUUAAACUAAAUUUCCCUUCAUCCUUUUAUUUCAAAAACAUUAAGAAGAAAUUCAAAUACUUUUCAGAAAUAUAACACACUUACUGAGUUUUUGAUAACCCUAAUUUCAGCAAGCUCCGUCCCCUACUAACCCUAGGGUUACUUCCUCUCCAGGAUGCACACUCAACUUUAGUGAAUCCUUUGAAGAUCCAAUGCUUGAUGUUGAGGAUGACUAUUUCAACAACAUCCUUUGUUUGGUCAAUCCUCCGUCAUGUAUAUUUACGAGUGUGAUUUCUUUGAUUAAUCCGACUCAUAAAUUCAAAGGUUAGAUUUUUUUAUCUAUCUUUUUUUGUUUUGUAUCAGACAGUUUCUAUCUUACUUGUAAUAUGAUUUUUAUUUCUGGUGAAAUUGAAUCACGCCUUUCAUUUAAUAGAUAGCAUAAGACAUAGAUCUCAAAGCUUUAGUUUUGUUUUGUUGUUUCCUUUCAAUUGCUUUGAUUUAAUUCUUUAUUCAAUAGAUUCUGCCAAUUCAGUAUUUAUUCAUGUUAUCUGAUUCAUUAUUAUUAAUUUUUUUUCUUCUUUCCUCUCAAUGUUUAUUAUUCUCAUUGUAACAUAGUCUGAAUUGGUGUUGCUGAAGCAUUAUUUACUUUUUUUUUUUUUUGUGUGUGUUGAGAGUUUUUAGAUGUUGUUUAAAAGGUUUUCCUUUUUUUCUCUCUUUCUCUGCUGAUCAGUUUGUAUUAUUCCUCUCUUCCUCUCGCAGAUGGGUGAAUAGCAUCUUUGAUUAGGACUCAUUUGAAACGAUGAUCCCUUGGUAGACAAGACUUGCAUUGAACUUUGACAGAUUACGCUGGGUUUCUUAGAAGUUUAAAUUUAAAUAUCUUGUUCCAGCAAAGUUUCACUACAUGUAGUUGAAGUUUCAAGUUCAAAUUUCAAGUGUUAUCUUCUGGAGCGUGAAGAUGGAGGUUAUAUACGGUACUUUUGGUACUCCAUUUUUAUUCAUUUUCUAUUGUGAGUGAAAAUUGUGGGUUCUCUUGUAAAUGGUCACCGAAAGGGCCGGCACCACUAAUAAGGUCAGUACUUUUCGAGCUGCUGCCCAUGAUGCUGCUAAUGUGCUUGAACUUCCUCCUGAUGUGGUUGACAUAGUUUCACGUUUGGCCCGUAUAGUGUUACACGAGCAUAUGAGUUUUUUGUUGUUGUAACUAACUAUUAUUUUCAAUUUUUAACUUUGGUCGUGUUGUUUUUGUUGUAAGUUGAAAAUUUAGCUCUCAUGUUAUAUUAUAUAACAAAAUUCAUGAUUUCAUUGACGUAUUUAUAUAUUAAUUUUUAUAAAAUUGUUGUAUUCUCGUACCUUUGAUGAACCGGACCGGGUACCGUACCCAUACGUAUGCAACAUAGGUGUUUCCUAAUAAAUGAAGUAUCUUAAAAGAAAAAUAUCAUCACAUACAGCUGUAAAUCCUUCUAAGUGCACAUAUGGUAAAACUAUGAGGGUAUUGAACAAUAAGAUUUUACAUGAAACAAUUGAAUCCCUAUAUCUAUUUGAACGACAGCCACAAAUGUUUUGCAUAAAUCAAAUUAGCAAACAAUCAUAAUGAUACAUAUCUUGAUUAAUGGCUUAGUUAGUUUUCUGUGUAUGGCAUAUUAAUUUAUUACGAACAAAUACGCUAAUUGUUCGUUUGAAGAUACGUAAAAAAAACUGUCCAAUACACGUUGAAUCUUCUACUAGAUCCUUUGUUUAUGUAAUUUCUGCAAUUGGAUCCUAUAUGCUAGAGCUUCGUUUGAACAUUAACAAAAGCAUCAUUGUGCUUCAGGGAGCCAAUAGACCACAAUAUUUGAUAAGAAUAUGAAUUGCUUAGAUUCCAUUAAGGCUAACAUCUUAAUGACAAUCUACCAGCUUAAUUUAGUUCCCAAAAGAAAUUAAUGUAUAGUACGUAAUAUUUUCAAAUAAAUUUGGGGGAUGAGUAGCUCACUUGGUUGAGCUAAGGGAUUAAAAAAAUUAAGUAGUUUUUUUUUUUGUUGAAAGAAAUGAAGUUAAGUUAAAGUUUCAUGAUUCAAAUCCGAGAAGAGAGAAAAUAAUAACAUAAUAAUUAACAUACGAACAUGUAUAAACAUUCUAUCAAAGGGUUGAAGAUUAGAAAUGUACCAACUCAUGAAAUGCUUGAUUGAAGAUAAGUGUGUAUACCAUCUAAUAAUUUUUAUUUUUUUUGAAAGGAUCUAAUAAAAAAUAAAUUUAAAUCGGUUUAACAUAAUAUAUCAUAUUUUUUCUGGUGGAUUAACCUAAUAUAUCAUAUGACACAGACAUAAUUUUAAAAAUAUAUACAUAUUUUUUUUAUGAAAUAUAGAAAAUUCCUUUCAUAUAAAAGUAUUAUGUACUAUUGAUUAUUAUUGGCCCAUUUAUAUGAGGAGCCCAACAUAGAACACUUACCGAGUUUUAUAUCUAGAAUUCUGCUCUUUAUCCAAUUGGAUUUGAUCAUUCUCAAAGUAAAUGACCAAAAUAACCCUAUAUGAGUUAACUCCCGUAGCAUGAGUUAACUCCCGCUAGUGCAAAUCUCAGUGUGAGUUAACCCACGCUAGUGUAAAUCUUGUGUAAAUCUCUGCGUGACUUGACUCACGUAGCGUGAGUUAACUCACAAAUUUAACACUAGCGUGAGUUAACUCACGCAGGGGCAUUUUGGUCAUUUAAUUUGGGAAUGAGCAAAUUCAUUUGGGUAAAGAGUAGAAUUCUUGUAUUUAUAUCACUCUUGAAAAUUGCUGAUCACACUCUUAAUAAGCCUGAAAACACAUAUAAAAGACAUAAAUACCCCAUCGGCAGUUAACUGCCGAUAUUUAGUUAACCGGUGGCAGCUAACUACCGAUGGAAUCGGCGGCAGUAAAGUGCCGAGGAUUCCUUCGGCAGUUAACUGCCGAGGGUCUGUUAUAAGAACAUAACAGAACCUAGAAGUAUUCAAAACUCCAUUGUUGCGGAUUGUAGUUCAAGAGGUGCCAAAAUUCUCAAUUGUUGUGGAUUCAACGUCAAUUACGCUCACAAAAUCAAGUAAGUUGUUACCAUCCUAUUACAUUGUUGUUUUGUUGAUUUUAUGUUUUUAUGAUUACAUGUUAGAUUAGAGUUGAAUAUAAUAUUGUUGUAUAAUUGUUGAGAAAUUGUGGUAGAAUUUUAGAUGAUGGUAUUGAAGUUUCAAAAGAAUGAUGUUCAUUCCGUGACACUUCAAUACCAACAUCUACACCAAAAUAACAAGAAUUUAAUCUUUUGAAAGGAACAACAGAAUUUCCGGGUGAAUGCUUGAGAACUGUUGUUUAGCAAGUUUGAAUUAUCUCAUUUCAGAGAGGUAAGACAAUUGUUGUAGUUUGAAGGUGCAUUCCCUACCUAAUCACGAUCUUCUGGCGGAAUCAAACUGUUGAUAAUGUCUUCAGUUGAUCUCAACAAUGUUACACGCAUAUCGAUCCACUGGAACAUCCUGUGCUCCCAAAACAUGCCCAUCACGUUAUCGUCGUUCAUUAAUUCCACCCAACUGAAUGAUAUUCUCCCAUAGACAAUCGUUUGACGUUUAUACCGAACGUAUUCCACCCUCCUUGUGUCUCCGAGGUUGAAUUCAUCUAGUUGAUCAUUGAUAUCUCUUAACGUGAGACCAAAGUACUGAAGCAUCAACCUCUGAGGUUCUCUACCGUUGAAUUGUGCUUGAACGUCGAACAUAUCAGCCAUUGUUUCAAAUCUACACAAUAAGAAAUUAAAAACAAUCGAUGAAAAAUUCAUUCAAACAUUUCAUCAAACACUUGGAGUACAAAUUAUACAUAAACCCUAAAAAUCAUAACUAUAACAUAAACAUCAUGCAAACAUUUUAACAAAAUUAAUCAACUUACAUCUACCCUAAAAAUGAAUUAUAACAUGUAAAUCUACUCAAACUAAAAUAAAAAAAAUCUACUCAAAAACUAAAAUUAAAAAAAAUCUACUCAAACACCAAAAUUUAAAAUAACCCUAAAAAUCAUAACUAUAACAUAAAUAUCAUGCAAACAUUUUAAAAAAAUUAAUCAACUUACAUCUACUCUAAAAAUGAAUCAUAACAUGUAAAUCUAUUCAAAAACUAAAAUAAAAUAAAUCUACUUAGUGCUUGUUUGUUUCAGCUUUUCCAUAGUCCAAAAGCUUUUCCAUAGAAUUGAAAAAAAGCAAUUUGUCACAUGUUUGGUUCAGCUUUACAGAAGCAAUUCUCUUCUCCAAAAACAAUUCUGGUUGAAGCUACAAUUCCUAACUUUUGAGUUAACUAGAAUCAAUUCUCCAUUAAAUUUUAUAUUUUAAUUAUUACAACAAAUUAUUUUCUUUUAUUGUCCUUCAUCAAUUCUUCUUUUUAGUUUGUAUUUAAUUUGAUGAACCAAAUUUAAUAAAAAAAUUAACGAACUAAAUUAGCCUCAGAAAAUAUUUAUGGUCAUGAGUUACCAAGUUUUGGAUUUUUCUUUACGAUUUUCCGUUCAAAUUUUUGGCAACCAUCUUUAUUAUUAUUUAACUUAAAUAUAUUUUAUCAAAAAAUAUAUAAUACAUAGAACAAAUAUUUUGUCAAAAAAAAUUGGUUUAAUAAUCAUAUUUAUUAUUUUUUAAAUUAUGAUAUAAUUUUUUUUAUUUAUUUAAAUAAAUAAUAUAUCAAUAUUUAGUAUUGAUCUACAUAUACAUUCAACUAUGUAUGUACAUUUAUUUGUAUUAAACACAAUUGAUAUUGGCCAAAAUGAUAUUGCCAUUGGUUUGAAGAACACUUCAAAGGAACAAGUUAGAAGGUCAUUUCCUGAUAUCUUGAGCCAAUUCUUCCAAGCAGUGCAGGUAAUUAGCCUUGUUGAUACAUUAUUAUUAAGUUUGGCAAUUGGUUUGUUUCCUGUUACAUUGCAGUAUGAUUGAACUAAGUUGAACCGGUAUUGGUUUAAUUGAUUUUCAUUUUUUUUUCAAUUUUUAACACUUGUCAUCUGGUUCAAUCAUGGUUGAGCCGAUAAAACCAAUCGAACCAACACCCGGACCGGUUCAAUCUCCAAUCCAAUUAUUAUAUAGCAUUUUGGUUAUAGAACUAAUAGUUGUCAUUCUUAUGGUUUAGAAAUUAUACAAUGAAGGGGCAAGAGUGUUUUGGAUUCACAAUACAGGUCCUAUUGGAUGUUCAUCCCUUCUAUUAUCCACACAAGAAGGGUAACUUAGAUGCCAAUGGCUGUGUUAAACCUCACAAUAAGCUUGCUCAAGAAUAUAACUGGUAGCUAAAAGACCAAGUGUUUCAGCUAAGGAGAAAGUUUCCAUUAGCCAAAUUUACAUAUGUUGAUGUUUACACAGUAAAAUAUAAACUUAUCAGCAACGCAAGGAAUACCAAGGUAAUGUUCAAGUCUCCAAAAGAAUACAUCAUUGACUAGAAUGCAAUGUAUUUGUCAAGGUUUUAAAUUGUGAUCCAAUCAUGGUCAUGUUUGCAUCUCAAUCUUUGGUAUUGCCGAUAAUCGCACUCAACUGUUCUUGAUGUAGCCUCAACCGUGUUCGCGUUGUGGUCACAAAGACAUCAAAAACAUUGUUUUCACAGCUCGUAUCACAAUUGCUAACCUUUUUCUUAAACCUUGGUUUUUGCUAUCUUUAAAUUAGCUAGUGCUUAUUGAAUAUCACAAUCAUUUUUUGUAUAACUCGUGACAAACGGACCUAGCCAGUGCACAGUUAAGUGUUAAUUUUUAUUCUUGCACGAUUUGUGGCAGGUUUUGUGAAUCCAUUGAAAUAUUUCUGUGGAAAUUACUAUGGUUACACAUAAAUUGCUUCAUCUUCAUCAUCAUUUCACUCUUCAUCUCAUGGCUCCAUUCAACUUUAGUGGAGCUUUUGAAUAUCCAUUAUUGCUUGCUGAUUUCAACAAUAUCCUUUGUUUGGAUGUUCAUCAGUCAUAUAUAUUUACAACGACUGUGAUUUCCAUGAUUAGUGGGACUCAUGGAUAUGAAGGUUAGAACAAUUUUUUCUUAAUAAUUGUUCCAUAAUUUUUUUUAGCAACAUAGAAUCACAUGUUUCGUUUAAUAGAUAACACUUCAUUGUUGUCAGCAUUGUGCUCAAUUUUUUUUUCCUAUUCAUUUUGCAUCAUUGCACAAAACAUGGAUCUCAAAGCUUAGUAUGAACCCUUACCCUAGCAACAAUUCUGACUGUUCGACGAUUGACAAAUAGGCUCCUUAUCUUGAUUCGAUGAUAGACGAAUAGGUUCCAAUUUUGACUGUUCUUUACAAUUUUAGUUUUGGCUUGUUUUUUCCUCUCUAUUUGUUUGAUUUUAUUUUUGCUUCAAUUGAUUCUGUCUUUAAUCCUGAUUCAUUAUUUUUCUUCUUCCAUUCUUGUAUUUUUUUUUCUAUUCUCACUGUAAUGUAAUCUGACUUCAUGUCGCUGAAAUAUUCAUUUCAUUUUUUUUUUUUUAAUUCAGUUCUUAGAUUUCGUUUAAAUGAGAUUUGUUUCUUCUUCUGAGUUCGUAUUCUUUUGCAGCCACAAAUAAAUAUUUUAAACAACUAUGAGUAAAAACUGCAUGGAGACACACAUGCAGAGCAUUCAAACUUCUGCAACGUACCAAAUCUCGUUGGUCAAUGUUACUUUAAAAGGAAGGAAGGAAGCAGAGGGAUUUGUAAGCAGGUCUCUCUCUCUCUCUCUCUCUCUCUCUCUCUCUCUCUAUCUCUCUCUCUCUUUCAUUGAAUGUAUUAAAUUUGAUUAAACUUCUUUUCAUUUUUUAUUUUGUUAUGUGUAGUUCACUUACUUUAUGGCGCACACUUUGAUAUCAGCAGCAAACAUCGGGGAGGAGCAAAUAUUUUCGAGUAACCUGAUUAAUAUCUUCAAACUAUCCUUUAAUCCCACAGUUUCGAGGAUAACUUCUUUGUUUAAUAUCUUCAAAUCAUCCUUUGGAGAUUUGACAUUAACACAUUUGAAGCAAUGACCUCAGUGGCGGCCUUCGGCCUGGACAAGGCAUGCAUUGAAAUGUUACCGUCUACAGAAGCUUUUGUAUUUUAGAAGCAUUUCAUAAUUUAAAAUUUUAUUGCUGGAUUUGUCAAUGCACUAUGAAAAUGCCAAAUAUGUUAUCUUGGUCCAUUCAGACCGAUCAGGUGACUCUUAGUUUCUUACCUUCUUUUGUACUAUAAUCUUUCAUGACCAAGUAACCUAUGAUUAGCAGAGAAGAGAUGGCUUUUAAUUUUUGAAAUGUUCAUCAAUCUUGAUUUACUUUCCGGAAAUCUUUGUUCUGUUUACUAAUAAAUGAACAAUGUUCAUUAAAAAGAAAGUAUCUACACACAUACAACGGAUAAAUCCUUCUAUAUACUUAAAUGGUAAAACUAUGCAAGUGUUGAACAUUAAGAUCUUACAUGAAACAAUUGAAUCCCCACAUAUCAAAUUAGGAGAGAAUCAUAAUGGUACCAGGACAAUCCAAUAUCAUGAUUAAUUUACUAAUCGUUUACUUGAAGAUAUGGAAAAACAGUCCAAUACUUAAUAAUAUGAUGCUGCAACUUCUUGACCAGCUCGAAUGUGUCGUGAUGUCAUCAGAUAUUAUGAAAAAUUGUUUUGCGUAAUAUAGAUACCUCUGUUUAUGUAAUUUCUGCAUUGACAGGAUCCUAUAUGCUAGACACUAGUUUCUAAAAUGCUAAAAACUUUCUAUUUAAUUCCUAUUUAAGUUGCACGUAAACGAUUAAACACUAACAAAAGCACCAUUGUGCUUCACCGAGCCAAUAGGCCGCAAUAUUCGAUAAGGCUAGGAAUUGUGUAGGUUCUAUUAAAGGCUAAAGUUGCUCCUACGAAGCAAAAUAUAGUAAUAGCUACUACUACUUGAAUAAGUUUUUUUGUUGGUCAUUAUUCUUAUUAAUAGACUUGAUUGUUAUUUCUAGAAUAAGACAUGCCUUUUUACCUUUUCUGUUUAUGUUCCUUUUCUUUUUAAUUGAUACUAACCGCUGCUUUUUUUUGUGUCGUCUAGUUUUUUGGACGUUAUUAUCUCCCGAUCAGAACGGAGUUAACAACAUGACGGAGACUUCAUUAUCAUUGCAUUUGGGCAGUCGGAAUUUAUUUUCAACCUUUGCAACGUAACAUCUUAACGACCAUUUUUGACACCGUCUUCUCCAUUCCAGCGCGAGCAUUGCCUUUGAAUGAUUCUUUGCACUUUGAACAAUUCUGCAAGAUCUUGAAUCUUCGUAUCAAACAAUAUUAUUUGUACAUAUCUCACUUCAGUAUUAAAAAUAGCUUCACAUUAUCCUAAAUAUAUAUGUCAUUACCAAAAUUACUAUAAGGAUAUUUGAUCUUAUUUGAUUUUGUAAUUUUAACAACUGUUUUAUGGUGUUAAAAUAAUUCAAACCUAAAUAUAGGGGGUGCUACUUUCCCCUCCCUUGAUGCAGAAAACUCUCCAUAUUUCUGAAAGUGUAUAAAGUGAUUUUUUUUCAGUAUGUGUACAUUCGACUCAUGUCUGGAGCUAUGACAGUAGCCCCCAAAAAUAAUAGUAUUUCCAUGAUUCAAAGGGAUUAGUGCACAAGUUAAUGAAUAUACUUUUAAGAUGGUGUGUCCAAAAAAAAUAAUACUUUGAAGGUGGUAACUGCUAGAGGUCCAACUUGUAGGGAAAACUUAAUGAGUGCCACAAAGAAUGAAGAUCCAAUUUAGUUCAUGACAAUCUUCUUGCAGCUUAAUUUAGUUCCCAAAAGAAAUUAAUAUAUACAAAACUAGUACCUAAUAUUUUCAAAUUGGAGGGAUGAGUAGCUCACUUGGUUGAGCUAAGAGAUUAAAGAAAUUAAACUUUUAUAUUUUUAUUUUUAAAAUGAAGUUUGGAAGUUAAAUGUUCAUGAUUCAAAUCCCGACAAGAGAGAAAAUAAUAACAUAAUAAUUAACAUACGAACAUGUAUAAACAUUGGGUUGAAGAUUAGAAAUGUAACAAUUCAUGAAAUGCUUGAUUGUAAAUAAGUACAUGUAUACCAUCUAAUAAAGUCUAAAUUAACAUAAUAUAUAUCAUAUUUUUUUUAUGAAAUAUAGAAAAUGCCUUUCAUAAAAAAAAUAAAAAAUAUGUACUAUUAAUUAUUAUAGGCCCAUUUAAUUUUAUACGAGGAGCCCAACAUUGUCAUAAGAAACCCUAGUUUCUUUCAGCUGCGGCUGCGACACUGACAAGUGACAACCCUUUUUCUUCAUCUGGUAUAUAUAUAGCUAUGAUCACCAGUCACCACACUCAAACUAAAUCUCCCUUCAUCUUUUUAUUUCACAAACAUUAAGAAGCAAUUCAAAUACUUUUCAGAAAUAUAAAACACUUGAUUUGAGUCUUUGAUAACCCUAAUUUCAGAUUUUGUAUCUCUCACACGUCAGCUAGAUCUGUCACCCACUAGGGUUACUUCAUCUUCAUCAUCUAUCUCACUCUUUAUCUCAGAUCCAAUGCUUGACGAUGAGGAUGACGAUUUCAACAAUAUCCUUUGUUUGGUCAUUCCACCGUCAUGUAUAUUUACGAGUGUGAUUUCUUUGAUUAAUCGGAAUAAGGUUGGAACUUUCUAUCUAUCUUUUUUGUUUUGUAUCAGACCGUUUCUGAUUUGAUUUUUAGCAAAAUUGAAUCACGCUAUUCAUUUAAUAGACAUUUGGUUAGACAGUUACGCCUUUUUAUAAUUGAUUUUUUUGUUUCGAUAUCUUGGUUUGAACUGGUGAAAGUAAUUCAAUUUUUUCAUUUUAUUUUUUUGUUUAGUUUUAUGCCUCUAUGGGAGAUCAUUGAUGAAAGAUGGGACGAACACUCCACGGCCCUUUGCAUGCAGCAGGCUAUUUUCUUAACCCUCAGUUUCACUCUAGCCAUGGAUUUAGAGAUGAUAUUGAAGGUAAAGGUGGUCUACAUGAUUGUAUAACAAGGAUGGUGGCCGAUCCUGAAGAAAGAGCUAAGAUUGAAAUUCAACUUGAUGAUUUCGAUAAAUGGGCGAACGAUAUGGGUUAUUCUGUUGCCGCUGGUAAUGAAGUUCCAUCAGUUUGGUGGAGUCCCUUUGGAAAGGGACUACCAGAGCUCCAAAAAUUUGUGUCGUGUAUUAAGCUUGACAUGAAGUUCUUAUGGGGGUGAGAGUAAUCAGAGUGCCUUUGAGAUGGUAAGAUGAAAAAAAUUGAAUGUGAAUUGUAAAAUACAUAGUACUUAAUUGCUUAUCUUAAUUGUAUUUGUAUUUGUAUUUGUUUAGGUCCAUGCUAAGAGAAGAAACCUUUUGUGGCAAAAAACUUAUAAUGAUGUUGUCUUUGUCAUGGCUAAUUCAAAAUUGGCUGAAGAGAAAGCUAGAUGGUUUGUUGAGCGAAUUCAAAAUCUGAAGGAUAAUGGAAACAUUGAUGGUACUCCAUAUCUGAAGUCUCUACAUGAUGUGAUUGCUGAUUUGUAUGAUGAAUAUGGAGUUGGAGAUGAGAGUUGAAGAUGAAGAUGAAGAUGAAGAUCAAAUGGAAUAUUCUGAUUAAAUUUUAAAGAUUUUCUAGAUUAAAUACUUAGAAUUUGACUAUUAUCGAUGUUUAUGUCUUGGUACUUGUUAAAAUACUAUAUAGCUUAAUUAAAUCCAAUGCUUGAUGAUGAGGAUGACGAUUUCAACAAUAUUCAUUGUUUGGUCAUUCCUCCGUGGUGUAUGUUUAUAAGUGUGAUUUCUUUGAUUAAUCCGACUCAUAAAUUCAAAGGUUAGAAUUUUCUAUCUGUCUUUUUUGUUUUGCAUCAGACGUUUCUAUAUAGCAACAUUUGGUUUACAGUUCAACUGCUACUUUUUUGCAACCUCUCCAUUUAAUGAUAAAUGCUCCAAUUUUAACACUCUUACAAUUUUAGUUUUGUUCUGUUGCUUCCUUUCAAUAGCUUUGCCAAUUGAUUAUUUAUUCAUGUUAUCUGAUUCAUUCUUCUUAAUUUUUUUUCUCUUUCAUCUAGUGUUUAUUAUUCUGAUUGUAAUAUAGUCUGAAUUGGUGUGGCUGAAAUAGUCGUUUACUUUUUUUUUUUUUUUUGGUUGUGUUGAGAGUUUUUAAGUUGGAAAAUGCUAGAUAUCAAGAAUGAUUUUAUAAGAAAAAUUUAAGAAUGAUAUGGCACAAUAAUCACCUUUAGAUUUCAGUCUCAUUUAUUAAUCUUUCAUAAAAAAAAGAUACAUAACACCCACCACCCCAUGAUUUCCGGUCAGGCUGAGAUUUUAUUGGUUAACAUUAAUUUCAGGACUAUUUCUUGAUAAAAUCUAAGGGUAAUUAUUCUGCCAUGUCAUUCUUGAAACUUUCUUGAUAUAUACUUUGAUUAGGGUUUUCAAGUCAUUGAAUAAUAACAUGACACAUUUGCAGCAAUGUCCUCUCGUGAGGCUUUUGCAAAAGAAAUGGAGAACUUGAAAGGGAGAACAAGCAGUUGAGAAAGGAAGUUCUCAAUCAGAAGCUACUCUUGCUUGAGUAUAAGAUGUCCACAUAUGCCAAAUUGGAAGAAGCAAGGGUUAGAGAAGCAAAUUUGAUGAAGAGUAAUGAAGAGUUUAAGCAAGAAAUGAACAGAAAGGCAGAUGAAACUCAGAGAAUGAUGCAAUAGAUGAUGGAAAUGAUUCAAAGACAAGUCAACCCUAGUUGCACACAUAUUUUUAGCUUGUUUAGUUUCAUCUCCCAGUUGUUUUCUGCACUUUUUCAUUUUACUUGUGAAAUUACCUCAUCUACUUCUGAAUUACUUCUCUUCAUAUGAAUGCUUCUGAACUUCUUGUAUGAUUUGAUAUUUUUACAUAUGUUCAAUGUGCUUCUGAAGUAACUUAUUCUCUCUGAUAUAUAUACAUGUGUUAUAUUGCUUCCGAAUGUAUUUAUUUGCAGAAUUUCUCACUAUUUUUUCUCAUCUCUUUCUUUUUGUCUUUAUUUUAUACUUUUUGUUGAUGACAAAAGGGGGAGUAGAUGUAUAGUAUUUAUAGGCUCUGAGCCCCAUUAAUUUAAUUUUAAUCAAGUUAAAUUAAUAGGACCUUAUUCUGAGAGUUAUUUUGUUUUUAAAUCAUGAAUGUAAUUAACAUGGAUAGAACUCAGGGGGAGCUUACAAACCUCACCUUAAAGUAUUAUUGGACUCAGGGGGAGCUUACAAACCUCAUACCCUAAUAGUCAACGUGUUAAUUAGAUUAACACCAAUUGAACAUUUUAAAUAUUAAUGUUUGUCAUCAUCAAAAAGGGGGAGAUUGUUGGAACAAAAUGUGUUUAACAUUAACUCUUCAGAGUUUUGAUGAUAACAAUGUAUUAAAAAUUGUCAAUUGAAUAUGCUAAUAUUUGUUCAAGUGUACAGGACUAUAGACAAAAUUUGACAUUUUAAAAAAGAUCUUGGAAGAACAAUACAGAACAAAGGAAUCAACAAAGAGGGAAACUUAAAGCGUCUGAAGAAAACUGCUCCUGAAGAUAUAACGCUCCUGAAGACAAAGUGCUCCUGAAGUGAUGACGUCGUCAGAAGCAAGGUCAUCAUAAGCAAGUUCAUCAGAAGCUGAGAAUCACCAGAAGUUGUAGUUCAUCAGGAGAUGCAACUUAAAGCUUCAAAAGUUGUUUAACAGAUUCAAACUCGUCUAAAGAUUGCAGAAGAGUGAUAGUAUUUGACAUUAUUCUUUCAAAAUAGUGUUGAAUUCAACAUCGACCAUACUAGUUUAUUGUUCAAAUGACUAAUUUUACACCAUUUCAUGUUUGUUGUAAAUAUAUUUAAUUAUCACACAAAUAGGUGUAGAAACAUUUGUCAAGUGUAUUUUGGGGAUAAAAUUUCAAAAUUACGACCACAUUAAAUAAGUCCUCUUGAUUUUGAUGUUUUUUCUUCUUUUCUUUUUAUGAUAGGAAUAGGGCCACAAAGAGUAGUAUUCCCUCUGUCCCAAAUUGUAUGACGUUUUGGGCAUUUCACACAUAUUAAGAUAUGCAAUUAAUAUUGUGUGGAAAAGAGAUAUUAUAAGUUGUUUUACAAAAUUGUCCUUAAUAAAUAAUAUGGAAAAAAUAAAUGAAAGAAUUGAAAGAAGAUAGAGUAAUAAAUAGUUAAGGUUAUAAUAAGAAAAAUAAUAUUAAUGUUGCAUUGGUAUUGUAAAGCGACAUAUAAUUUGGAACAAAUAUUUUUCCCUAAAACGACAUACAAUUUGAGACGGAGGGAGUAUUAGACUAUUAGUGCACUUUAAUGAUUGCUCGAGUUAAUUUAAGAAUUAUCAUCCAUCCACAUGUUAUACCAGUGCCUAAAGUGUGAAUUUGACAAUGUCACUAAAAUUCUUCAAAAAUUUACCAUCCAUCCACAUGCUAACCAUAGCCUAAAGUGUAAAUUUGGCAAUAUAAUAAAAUUCUUCCAAAAAUAUUACCAUCCAUCAACAUGAUAUACCAUAGGUCCAUAGCCCAAAGUGUGAACUUGGCAAUAUCACUAAAUUCUUUCAAAAAUAUUACAAUCCAUCCACAUGCUAUGCCAUAGCCUAAAGUAUUUGUCCACAACUUAAAUGAGAGAGAGUGAGGCAAAAAAAACAUUAUGCAUAUGAUAUGAGAUAGUCUUGCAUGUACGAAAUUGUAUACUUACUCUUUUUAAAACAUAACAUGCUUUGUUCAGAAAAAUAAAACAUAACAUGUUCCAAAGGAGUGGACACUAACAUUCUCCAAUUUUCAACUUUCUCUCAUGUCUUGUCUCUUCUCAUUUACGAGCCCUAGUUUUCCAAUAAUGGCAGCAGUUGUUACUUCUACAACACUUGGUAAUACUGGCUCGGCCUCCUACAAGGUGUGUUUUGUAACAUUUUGUAUAUGUUAUAUAAAACUUUUCAUAGCUUAAAACAAAAUAAAUUUAGAGAUAGAUAUAAUUUCAUUUACUCACAAUUAUUUUUAUAAAAAAAAUCAUUUAAUGUAUGUUUUUAAAUUUUGUCAUGGGUACAUAGUAAAAACAAGCUUAAUCAAUCAAAAAUUUCGAACAAAAUUCAACACAUUAAAGACCAAAAAUUUAGGGAUGGAGUGUGUGGGUAAUAGUAUAGAAGCAUAUAAUUUUUUGUGUUGAUAAUGUAGUAUGAAGAUGCUGCAAAUGAAGGUGUAAGUGGACAAAGUGUUUGGGAUAAAUAUGCUCAUGAAUGAACAUUCAGGUAUAUUUCUUUAUUUCUUACUUUAUUUCCUUAAUUAUCACAAUUUACUAAAUAGUAAGUUGAAUGAAAAAUCCCUUAAAAAAUAAAAUAACUUGAAUGAAGAAUAAAAGGUUCUUCAUUUACAUGUUGUUUUAAUAAAAGUAAAAUACAUGUAGUAAUUGCCUAAUUGGUGUAAUUUCAUACAGAAAAAAUAUUGGACGGAAGCAAGGGAGAUGUAGCUGUUGAUCAGGUAUAUCCAAUUUGAUAUAAAAGCAUUUUAUUGAUCUUGUAAAUUUUACAUCAUUUAUUGCACUACAAAAAAUCGCCUAAAUUAUGGUGGCUAAAUUUUCUUGUUACUGCCGUUUUAACCGCCACUAUAAACCAAAAUGGCAUUUUCAAAAUUGCCGUAAUUUUGUCUGUCACAAAGUUUAAAACGGUGAUUUAAGAAGAAUCACCAUGCAAACUGACAUAAUUUUCUUGCCAAAGUUCUAAGAGGUGGUUCUCAGCUCCCUAUAAAUACAUUGUUCACUGAAACAAAAAUUUAACACAACACAUAGUGGAAAACUAGCCACUACCUCUUCAACAAUGAAUACCAUGACACUAAUUUACAUACUUUGUUUUUUCAAUUUGUGUGUGGCAUGUCCAUCAAAGAAAUGUGUCUACCCAGCAAUAUACAACUUUGGUGACUCCAAUUCAGAUACUGGAGCUGGAUAUGCAACAAUGGCAGCUGUUGAGCAUCCUAAUGGUAUAAGCUUCUUUGGAAGCAUCUCAGGAAGAUGUUGUGAUGGUCGUCUAAUUUUAGAUUUUAUCAGUAAGUUGAACAUUAUCACAUCCAUCUAAAACAAAUUUUGGUUAAGUUUUAUAUUUUGCUAGCAUCAAUUAUGACAUGUCCAUAAGUUGUUUUCAACUUAUUUUCAUAAGCACUUGUUAGACUAUUUGAAUGAAUUUAAGAAAACACCUUAUAAUAUUGUGUUGUUAAAAUAGCUUAUACAUAAGCACUUAUUUGAGAAACCGUUAUUCUUUAAAGGCUUAAAAAAGUUCUUUAUCCAAUUGGACCAAAUAUCAUUCACUGCUACCAUGCUAGCUAAUUCACAUUUGAUUGGACUAUAUGAAGUUGGUUAUUGGUUAUGUUAUACAAUUUUAGAUAUAUUUGUAAUUGUAUGUCACUAUAUCUAUUUAUUUUCUGGACAUAAGCAACUAGAGAAGUGAACUUAGCGACCAUAUAUAUCUAUGUUUAUUAAUACAAUUUUUUUUGUAUGCAGGUGAAGAAUUGGAGCUACCAUAUCUAAGCUCAUACUUGAAUUCAGUUGGAUCAAAUUACAGGCAUGGAGCUAACUUUGCAGUAGCAUCCGCACCGAUUCGUCCCAUCAUUGCCGGUUUAACCUAUCUUGGUUUUCAAGUAUCUCAGUUUAUUUUAUUCAAAUCACACACCAAGAUUCUCUUUGAUCAACUCUCUGAUAAAAGUAAAUUUCUCAUCAAAUUUGCAUUCUCAUUUUUGUUUAUUAUUUGCAAUUUUUGUGACAUGAAAAAGAAGUGAAUGGUGAAAAACUGAACCUAUGUGAUGUCAUUUAUAGGGACAGAACCACCUCUCAGAAGUGGCGUUCCAAGGACUGAAGAUUUCUCAAAAGCCAUUUACACCAUUGAUAUUGGACAAAAUGAUAUUGGCUAUGGUCUGCAGAAGCCGAACUCUUCAGAGGAAGAAGUUAGAAGGUCAAUUCCUGAUAUCUUGAGCCAAUUCACCCAAGCAGUGCAGGUAAUAAUUAGCAACCAAAGAAAUUAAGCCUUGUUGAUGCAUUAUUAUCAAGUUUGGCAAUUGGUUUGAUUCCAGUUACAUUGUAGUAUGAUUGAACCAAGUUGAACCGGUAUUGGUUUAAUUGAUUUUCAUUAUUUUUUCCUUUUUCAACACUUGUCAUCUGGUUCAAUCAUGGUUGAGUCGAUAAAACCAAUUGAAACAACGGAGAUAUAACCGGUUCAAUAUCCAAUCCAAUCAUUAUAUAGCAAUUUGGUUAUAGAACUAAUACUUGUCAUUCCUAUGGUUUAGAAAUUAUACAAUGAAGAGGCAAGAGUGUUUUGGAUUCACAACACAGGUCCUAUUGAAUGUAUACCCUAUUAUUACUUCUUUUAUCCACACAAGAACGAGAAGGGUAACUUGGAUGCCAAUGGCUGUGUUAAACCUCACAACGAGCUUGCUCAGGAAUAUAACAGGCAGCUAAAAGACCAAGUGUUUCAGCUAAGGAGAAUGUUUCCAUUAGCCAAAUUUACAUAUGUUGAUGUUUACACGGUCAAAUAUACACUUAUCAGCAAUGCAAGGAACCAAGGUAAUGUUCAAUUAAGUUUUUGUUAUCUUUAAAAUAUCAAUUGCUUAUUGAAUGUGCACAAUUAAGUUUUAACUUUUAUGCUUGCAUGAUUUGUGGCAGGUUUUGUGAAUCCAUUGGAAUUUUGUUGUGGAAGUUACCAAGGUAACGAAAUACAUUAUUGUGGGAAGAAGUCCAUAAAAAAUGGAACAGUUUAUGGCAUUGCAUGUGAUGAUUCCUCUACAUAUAUCCCAAGCAGCAAAGGAAUGGAUUGCUAAACAAAUUCUCUAUGGUUCCUUCUCUGAUCCACCAGUUUCACUUGGGAAUGCAUGCUAAUUUCUAUUAGUAAGUCACUUAAUUAUUUAAUAUGAAAGGGAUUACCAUAAAUAAUGUAGCUAGGUUUUCACGUUGUUGUUUCACUUAUUUUUUAUUUUUUUUAUCCAACUUUGAUAAUCAAGGUUGACAAGCAAAUUUUCAACCAAGUGAUUUUAGUAAGUAUAUCCGGCAAUUAUUAAAAUAUUUUUCUGGGUGCCAAUUUACUCCCUGCCUCAUAAUAAUUGGGUCUCAAUGGCUUUGUUAUAUAAUUAGUAGAAAAUCCUUCAAUCUCACAAAAAGUACUUUGUCAGAAUUUUAUUUCAAAAAGCAGGUAACCGUAAUGAGAAAAUAAUACAAUACAUAACUCAAGAAUAUAAAACUAUAUUAAUGUUAGCAUUAGGAACCUACCCACAAUAUAAUAAAAAUAUGGCUUGUAAUCAUGGAAUUUCAUGUUUUUGAAAAUCACAACAAAUACAAAGCCAAGGAGCUUCCGCACAAACAACACCAUUUUUACAUAUUUCAGCAUAAUAUAUACUGCAACUUUCAUUGUAAUAAUCCUCAGUACCGUCGAUAGUAAUUGCCAUAACAAGGAGAACUAAUACAAGGACAGCAAUGGUAAAUUUUUCAAUCUCACAAGAGUACCAAAUUCCUUCCAAACAUCAUCACAAUUGAGCUUAACUCAACCAAUCAAAUUAGGUGGCAUCCAACCGAUGUAUAUAGUUUCAUUUUAAUGAGGCACUACAAGAAAACUAGUUUUAGAAACCGAAAAAUUGGUCACUAAAUGGAGAAAAUCGAUCACUAAGUGAAUUAGCGACUAUUUUGGAGACCUCUAGGAUCAAUAUAUCUUCAUCUAAUCUAAAAUAGUACUAAACAUAGACCAAGUAUUUUUUUUUUCUCCCGCUUAGUUAAUAAUUGAUGAAUUGAUAAUAGGCUCAGUCCUAUCAACACUCUUGAUUAUUCUGUAGGUACUUCCAAUGACUAAUGGAGGCAUGAAAUUCAUCAUAAGAGAAAACCUCAAUAUGUGUUUUGCUGGUAAAAUGGACAAUAGUCAAUAGUAUAGAUCAUGUCAUAGGUUAUAUUCAUUGCUCACUUCACUCGGACAUCGCAAGCAAUUUGAUAUUUUAUGUACGCUUAAUAGAGUCAUUCAUAAAUCUAAAAAAAUAUUUGAGACCCUAAUAUUUUUAGAAGCCCAAUCAUCAAGGAUGCCUCUGAGAUCUGUCCCAAGAAAUUACACUAAUUGUUCAACAGUAGCAUUUUUAAAUUAGAUUGUGUAGGUAAUCAGUCUAAAUAUGAAUAAUAUAAUGUGUUGCAGAUUGUAUUAGAUACGAUUAGGUUACUUAGAUAUUCUAUCAAAAUAGGUAUAUGCAUUACUUAUUGUUUUUUAAACUCAACCAGCUAUGCAUAUGAUUUGUCGUUUCCCUUCUUUUGACACUGUCUUCUCCAUUAUUCUACAGCGGGCAUUGCCUUUGAAUGAUUCCUUGCACGUACAGUUAUGCAAGUUCUUGAAUCUUGAUAGAGAGUGUUUUUAAGCCUAUAUUCAGAAGUUACAAAUGAUAUGCAUAUACAACUUCACAAAUAUCUUCCAUCUACUUCUUUGUAGUCAUCUUGUCACAAUCAACAUAAAUGCAAAAAAAGUAAAAUUAAGGAACAUGUUGAAAAUAUAUCAGAUGAAUUUUUUUAAAUUGAAAAAGAAACCUUCUAGACCUAAUAAUUUCUAAUUAACUCAUAGGAUUCCUUUCGAUAGUAUUGUAUUAUUGUACAUUUUUUUUUAUUCAAUUGACUAGUGAUGUUAACUCGGUAAAUCAAACAAAUCUUACCAACUUUGAUUAGUUUUUAUGUUUUCUUGUCUUCUUUUUUUAAAGAUAAACUUGCAUUAUUUUUAAUAUAGUAAUAAUUUGCUAAUCAAUAUCAAAAUUAAGAUCUAACAUAGGUAAGAAUAUUUUUUUUUUAAUUAUUUGAUUUGACAACUUCAUAACCAUGAGAUGGAUUUCAAUUGUUAUAAAAAUAAUAAAUGCCACAUUGAUAUCGUAAAGUGACAAUUAUUUUGAAAAAAAUAAAAAAUGUUAAAAGACAAUAAUUGUGAGACGCUGGGAGUAAAUUCUAUUUAAAAAUGUUGAUGUGUCAUAGUAGAGUAUGUUCUAUUGGAUAACUUGAUUCAUGUCAUGUGUUUCAAAUCACAUCCACAAUUGACACACAUCGAUAGAUUUUUAACAAGUUUACUAAAAAUGCAUCGAAAUAAUAAAAUUUAUAAGUUCAUCUCCAUAAAGAUUGUUUCAAUCUCAACUCGGCAAUUUAAUUACGAUUAGGAUUUAACAAAUGGGGGUAAUUAAUUAAUCCUAUUAUAAUAUGUUACUUAAAUCUCUAUAUAAUACCAAUAACAUUAGCACAAAUCUCAGUACAAGUUUAUUUUUCCUCCUACUCUUCCUAAGGGUGAUACAAAUAUGGCAACAUCUGCAAUUGAAAAGAUAGAAAUGGAUGUGCCUAUUAAGGCCACCCCCCAGCAGUUUUAUGAAGUUUUGUGCAACAAGACACACCAUAUUUCAAAUGUUUGCCCUGAUAUAGUAAAGGGUAUUGAACUUCAUGAAGGUGAUUGGGGCACUGAGGGGUGCAUUAUAUCCUGGAAUUAUGUUUUUGGUAAGUGAGUUCCAACUCAAACUCAACUUGGUUUAUAUUUGAAACUCAAAAUUUGUUUCAAAAGAACGGUAUCUUCCUUUACAAUCAUGUUUCUUUUUUAUCUUAACUUUUCUGUUCUCGGUGUAAGGGUUCAUAUAAAUAAAAAUUGAUGGAUGAUUAUUUUAGUUAGUAUUCGAACUUUUGUUCCUACGAGCGAUUCAUCAUAAUUGGAGUUCAUUAACUAAUUGAGGCCAAUUACUUGAUAUUUUUUGUCAAGAUUUUUAUUUGAGAUAUGAUUGAACAUGCAUAUCAAGUUAGCUUCUGGACUCUGGUGAAUUUUACUUUUGAAGAGCAUGGCAGAAAACCAGGGAUACAUAUACUUUGAUGUAAAUUAAAUUAUUUACAUAAUUUUAUGACUAUUUAUAAGUUAAGUUCAAUUAAAUUUAGUGUUUGAUAUAUGAGAAAUUCAAGUUAUUAUUAAUAAUGUGCUCAUAUGACAGACUUGUAAAUAAUUUUCUUAACCAUCUGACUCUCAAGGAAAUAGACCUUGAUAAUCUAGCUAGAGUCCAACCAGAAGGUAAAUAUGAAUUCUGCUAAAAAUUGUUCAAUUAUCAUUCGAUGUAAGAUACUCUCAAACAAUUGGUCUAUAAAUGAAGUUUAUUAACGAUUUGAGUUAACAUUUAAUUGACUAGCAUGUAAUUUGGUAGCAUCGAUUCAUAUAAUAGAUCAUUAAUAUAAUUGGUGUCGCUCAUUUUCCUAUAUAUGUGAUCUAAUAAAGAUAGUAUUUAAUUUAUGAACAAAAAAACAGCUGGAAAAACUUGUAUUUCUAAGCAGAGGAUUGAAGACAUAGACAAAGAAAACAACAAAAUAACGUUCAAAGUGUUGGGUGGAGACUUAUUGGAGGAUUACAAAAGCUUCAAGUUCAUAAUGCAAAUUGUUCCUCAAAGAGAAGGAAGUGUGGUUCGUUGGAUAGUAGAAUAUGAGAAGCUCAAUAACAAUGUUCCUAAUCCUCACUCUUUGUUCCAUUUAUCUGUUGAGGUUCUCAAAUAUGUUGAUGCUCAUCUUGCACCCGAGGACAAGAAGUAAAAUAAUUUAUUUUAAUUUCAUUAUUGUGUGUGACAAAUAAAUGAGGAUUUAAUUUCCUCUAUCUAUAUGUCAUGUAUUAUGAAUAAUGUAUGUGGUUUAUUCAAAAGAGUUGAGUGGCAUUAGGCGUGAGCUGAGAUGUUUCUGCUCCACCUAGCAUAUAAAAAAAUGUCCAUGUGUAUUAUAAUAUGAUAUUGUAUAAAAUGGGACCUAUUUAUGGGAUUGAAAGUCGUGUGUAUGAUUUCACCUUAUGAAAUAAAAUAAUGUUUUGUGGGAUUUCCUUUAUUUUUAUUUUUUAUUAAGUAGGAUAAUGGUUAUACGUAUACGCAUAAAAAAAGAAGAUAUUGAUUGAUUCGAAAUUGAAGUCAAACUUUAGAAGAAAAGGGCAUAAACCAUAAAUGUGUGAUGUGACUUUUUUCUUUUUUUUACCAAAAUAAAGUAACUAUAGAAUGAUAAGAAUUAAAAAUACGGUGACUAGCCUAAGAACAGGCGUCACCCUAGCUAAAGUAUGAACAACCAUAUUCGCUUGUCUCCUAACAAACUUCACCUCGAAGUUAGAAUGUAAAGAUAACUGAUAAAUAAUACUAGAAACAAUAGCAUAGAAUUCCAAGUCACCAUGACCCUGAGACGAUAGAGUUUGUACUAAAGUUGUUGAGUCGGACUUGAAAACAACUUGGUUCCAUCUGUUCACAUCAAGAAAUUGAAUGGCAUCGAAAUGUGUGAUGUGACUUGGAUUCAAUGAUACGUGUGAGAUUUUCUUGUCAAAUAUUUUAACCUAGGGCCUUAAUUUCAUCCGAACAAAUAAAAAAACUAAAAAUAAAGGAUAAUUUUAUUAUAUUUACCAUCAUUUGUAAUUUCCUUGUAAAUUCUAAAAAGAGCAAUGCUAUAUCUCUAGAAAAAUAACAUCAAAAAAAUUUCAAGAAUAAAAAGUAGUCAAUCACAGUGUAGUAUUUGCAAAAAAUACCCUUCAUUUGUAUUAAUAUUCUUUAAUUGCAAAAAAAUAUUCUUUAAUUGCAAAAAAAAAAAAUACAAAAGUGGUAUAAAUACAAAAACUAAUUAAACAUGUUUCUAUAGCACCCCCCAACAUACUCUUCUAUUUUAAGCAACAUUCCAUCUUCUCUUUACUACUUGCUUUUUCUCAACUUAUUCUUUUAUUUUCAACAACAAUUCAACUUCUCUUUACCACUUGCUUUUUUGGUUUAACUGUUUUGAGGUCACACAUAAACUUACUUUGGCACCAUCUCCAGUCUUGUAUUUUUUGUCAUAAUCCUCACACUUUGACCUAAUUUUUGGAGUAUAAAUAGAAGCAAAAUAUAGCAAAGUGGGGAGAGGGUAGCAAUAAACUAUUUUCCUCUUCACACACCAUUCGACUUACCACCAUUAUCCUUAUUAGCUUCUAUGUCCAUCAUACAAAACUUCUCAUUUCCUCUAAUCUUAUUGUUUUUCUUUUGUUACAAUCUUAUUUUUACUUUAUUUGAUGGUAGAUUAUUAUGAUUAUUAUUAUUUUAAUUGCCACUUAUUAUUGGUUAGACGUAGGAACUUCAAAUUCAUUACUUGUUUUGCUGAUUGUUUAUUUUCACCAGCCCAGCAUACUCUCUUUUUUUCAUUUGUGUUUUUGUCUAUUAUUUGUCUAAUAUUUCAACCCAUUUAUCUCAUUUUUAUCGCUCAUUCAAUUCAAUGCAUGUUAAUACCGUGUGUUAAAAAUUAAUCCCACUUUAUUUAUUUAAGUUAAAAUUAUCUUUAAUAAAAUGGUUUUUUUUAGAGGAUUAAAGGGUUAAGAUGUUAAAAAAAAAAUUAAAUGAUUGGAUUUUUUUUAGGGAUCUAACAUUUUUUUAAGAUAAACCAACCUACCUAUAUUGGUACUCGGAAAAUCGAAUCCAAGACCUUGAAGAGUAUACUUUAAAGUCCCAAACCAAUAGCCAAGAGAAUUUGAGGAUCUCACAUUACAUGUUGAUUGGAUCUUUAAUAAAUGAUUGGAUCUAGCAUUACGAGUAGUUAAAUAAUGUAAGCCGUAAACAUGCUCUUCCAAAUUGAAAUGGAUAUCGCAUAACAUUUAUGAACUCUCAUUCUAAUUAAAUUCUCCAAUGCAGAUGUUAUUAUUAUCACACGGAUGAAAAAUUAAUGUUGUAAAUGAGAAAGUGCAUUCCUUAUUUACAUUCCUUAAACAAAUAUAACAAUAAGGUUAAAUACAAGACCAAUUUAUAACAAUGUAAAAUCCAUAUUUUCAUCAGCUUUAAAUGAUUUUGCGAUUGAAGCUAGCGGGGGCAAGGGGUAUUCCAUUUGUUUACUUGAUAGGGAGCAAUUCUUACCUAGACACAAACCCAGAUAAAAAAUAUUUGGACACACAUACAUAAAAUGAGAUAAUUAAAAGAAAAAUAAAUUAGUCACAUUAUUUUUUAUUUUUAUCUUUAAAUUUAUGUGUGUGCCGCCUAAGUCAAUUUUAUUUGUGUUUGUGACUAUAUUAGACUUUCUCCUUAGUAGGUCAUAAAAUUUGACUUCGAGUUAACUAACAAAGAUUGAUAUGAAAUAUAGGCAAUAAGUGUGGUGAAUGUACAAAAAUACAAAGGUGCGCCUGAAUUUUUUCAACUUUAUUGUUGGCCUUAGACGCAUUUGAGUAACUUUAUUUUUUGUAUUUUUGUGAUUCUAAACAAUGCAAUCAAGAUCCAAGAUUAUAUUUUCACCCCCUAAAUUUUCUUCACUUUUAAGUGAUUUAGUUAUGUGACUUUGUUGAUCCAUCUUACUCAUUGUUUUUAAGAGUAUCAUCCAUGUUUCAAUAUGCUUUGCACAAUCAAUAUUUUAAAGAACUUUGUAAACAGUUUGUCGAGAGAGGUCUAACUUACUACAUGGUCGAGUUGUGCUAUUCUGAGAAUUAUAAAAGACAUUGAAUUUUUUUUGGUGAUACUCGUGGUUUAACACAAUGUUGGGUUACGACACUAGUGUUAUUCAACCAUUAUGACAAAUUGUAUUGAUGUCUUUAUGUCAAAGCACUAGCAUUGGAAGUAUUUAAAUCUGUGUGAUGACUCACAUACAUUGUCAGAUCAGUCACUAUUAUGGUCCUUGAUGUCAUCGAAAAUGUUGGUGGUAAGCUAUUUACAAAUUUAGAUUUGGUCAAAAGUAUACCUAACAUAAUUUUUCUCAUGCUCAACUUUUUCUUCUCUCACAACCAAUUAACACAUUUUAUUUGGACAAAAAAUUGGAAGGUAUAAUGGUUGGGAUCCUGAUUCUUGCGGCGACUUUGUCAUUUUUGAAACGGUGGCAGUCGCUAUAACGAUUAGUGCUCAACUAUACAACCUUCUCAUUUUCCACCUAAAUUGAAUAUGUUGAUUUGUUGUGAGUGAAGAAAAAGCAGGGUCUAGAACAAAUCUAUGUUACGUACAUUUGCGUCUCAUGUUUUUUAUAAAGUCUACAUUUGUAAAUAGCUUACCACCGACUUUUUUAAUGGCAUCAUGGACCAUAGUAAUGAAAGAUUUGAGGAUAAGUUUGAGAUAAAAAGGUUAGGAGACCAUGUAUCAUCAAACUUUUCUGUAAGUUUCUUUUAUUAACUCCUACAAUAACAUGACUCUGUCGUGAUAGCAAGUUAGACCCCUUCGCUAGUUGCUUACAAUUUGUUUUAAAUGUUGAUCUGCAUAUUAUUAGCAUAAUUGGAAGAUGGAUGAUAUUAAAGUGAAAUUAAAAAAAUAAAAUUGGAGAAUACUCCUAAAAACAAGAAAUAGCACAGACUACCUAACUAAACCACCAAAAAAGAAAUCUUAAUUGCCUUGUUUAGAAUCACACAACAAAAAAAACAAAAUAAAGUUAUCUCGAUAAGUAGCUAUGACGUCCAAGUCAAGUUGGGUCCUCGUUAGCAGUAGUUAAGUGAGUAUGAGUAAGGAAGUAGUGAUAAAAGGGGGAUGAUCGUGUGUGUGUGGGGUAUUUAUAAUAGUGGACUCGGCCAUAGGCUCCAUGUUGCUUGCUAUCUUUUCUCCUUGGCUUUAGUCUGAUUGUUUUGAGGUUAAACCGGAUAUCAAACCUCAUACAGUCGGAAACACUUAUUUGGUUUAAGUGAGUUUCCUGUAAGGAACGAAUCAUGCAUAUUUGAAAAUAUGUUCGGUGUAACAGAGCCCAAGAUUGGUGGAUGCACCUAUCCGGUUUGGAGGAGGUCAUAAUAUGUAGGAGCAACCUUAUAACUACCUAGAUGUUGGUUACACUUUAACGAGGUGGGGCGCGUAAACGUUGUGUUGAUAUAUGAGGUGGUUCUUAGUAUAAUUGUUAAGGUCGUAACUCUAUCUAACCUAUCUCUCAGAGGUGAUAUUCAUGACGACGUGAUUAAGGAGGUUGACUCAUGUAUAAUUCCAUACGCCCUAUUAAAGUGGACAUCUAGAUGGACCUUGCCUUGGCUUGUGUUUUCGACCUUCUUGUUAUAUUCUUGACGAGCCUUUAUAUUGGACGACCCCUUGGAUAAUUAGGAGGGCCUUUUAGACUUGUACCCUUAUAAUGUUCCUAAUGUAUGAAUAACUUUAAUAAUAAUAUUAACUAUUCUUAUUAUCAUUGCAUUUGAUAUGAGACAUUGUUCUAAGUUGAAAUUAUGAAAAUCUAUUGAUGAUUUACUAUGAAACAAGAUAUAAUAAAUGAUCUAGUUUUGAUUUCUAGGAAAAUGUUUUUUUAGUAUUGAUUAAAAAUAUACUGUUGACUAUUGUUUUUUUUUUUUUUUAGAGAACUGUUGACUAUUGUUUUAACAAACGAUGCAUGAAGGAAGCAAUUUUUAUUUUUUUUUGUCAAGUAGCUUAGUUGGCUUGACUCAUAUACUUUAAGUGUGGAGAAAUGGAGAAUCUAUGGUUCGAACCUCAACCCUUUCAUAUUAUUGUCCUUGCAAUUAUCAACUGAGUUGUGCUUACAAGAUUGAAGGAAGAAAUUUUAACGAUGUGAUUAUGAGGUAAGACAUCAAGCUCAAAGUUGAUUUCUCAAAUCCUAAUCAUAAUUUUUUUCUUAUUUAUAAAAGAUGGAUAGUCUCCACGGCGUAGGACACAAAUUCUCUCAGAUGAGUGUUUAUUCCAACUCUUCAAUUGGUAUUGAUUAUGACAAUGUUAAAUUAAUGGUUUUGAUUGCAUCGUAGAAACUUUACACGGGAGAAAAUCUACCGCCCCACGACCUAGCUCCAAACCCUAGCCCGUCAAAAAACCUAAUCCACUAUGUAACUAGUGAGUCAAUAUUAUACCUCUUAUUUUUGCUUCUAUUAAAUAUUAGCCGACCUUUCAAAUACACACCUUAAAAGCUUUUGUCUAUUCUUUGAACUUCCGAUUUCUAAAUGUUUGACAUAUACUAUUUCAGUAUUUCGGAUGUUGAUAAUUGAUACCCCUUUGUAUAAGACAUUAAGAAAUAUGUUAAUUCAAUAUCUUUCUCGCCUUAUCCUGCUAACAGCCUAUGAAUGUGCGAGAAAGAUAUUGAAUUAACAUAUUUUACUUCUAGCAGCUAAUCAGUCAAAGUAAAAUAUGUUAAUUCAAUAUCUUUCUUGCCUUAUCGUGCUAACAGUCUAUGAAUGUGCGAUUUAAGUGGUGGUUUACAUUAAUGUUUCUUGCAUAUUUCCAAUGCUUAUUAGGUCAUGUAUUCAUGAUGAUUAUUAAAUCAUACUCCCUCUGUAUCAAAAUAUAAGCAAAAUUGAUUUUUUAGGUUCAUUCAAUUAAUGAUGUAUGUGGUUCAUAUUAUAGACCACAUACAUCAUUAAUUGAAUGAACCAAAAAAAUCAAUUUUACUUAUAUUUAAAAACAGAGGAAGUAAUUCAUACUUGUUACACGAAUUACACACGCUUCAUGCAUUGCUUCAUGCCUUCCCAAUCACAGUCUCUACUUUUGCUUAUUUCAUUAUAUCUAGAGUGAGUUUUAUUUCAUUGAUCUCCUCCGCUUCAUCUUGUUCACCAUUAAUGUUUCUCCACGACAAGCAAAUGUUUCAUUGUCCAUUCGUUAAUAUCGUAAUAUGAGAUAUUUAAUAUAAUAUACUUACUUGUUAUUUUAUUUAUCGUCAUAUCAAUCUCUAUAAAAUAAGAGCGAUUGUCGACAUUAAUUACUAUUUAUUUUGAUUAACAAGAUGCAUACUCAAAUUGAUAUGACCAAAAUGAAAUUCAAAAAUAAGUUGAGGGACUAAAGCAUGUAUUAAGCCUUUUUUUAAUCGAAAUAAAUAGUAAUUAAUGUCAACAAUCGCUCUUAUUUUGAUCAGACUUUCCUACCUAUUAAUCGAACUUCAAAUUACCACUACUUCUUUCUCCCAAAAUCGGAUGGUAUAUUAUACUAUAACACCUUUUUUUCUAAUGAGUCAAAUGUCAAAAAAAUAAAAUUAUUGGAAGGUAUAUUAACUUAUUUUUAAAUUUCAUUUUGGUCCCUUAACUUUAAACCGUCUCAAUUUGGUCCCAUAACUUUACCUCCGUUUACCUAAGUGGUCUUAGUUUUUUUAACAGAAGGGACCACUUAGGUAAACGGAGGUAAAGUUAUGGGACCAAAUUGAGACAAUUUAAAGUUAAGAGACCAAAAUAAAAUUCAAAAAUAAGUUAAGGGACCAAAGCAUGUAUUAAACCUUAAAAAAAAAGGGUUAAAUAUGUUUUUGGUCCCUAUAAAUAUGUCAACUUUUCGUUUUAGUCCCUCUAAAAUUUUCAUUCAACUUUUAGUCCCUAUAAAGUUUUCAAUCUUCACUUUUGGUCCCUCUUUUAAAGUAAACUCAUAUGGAGAAUUCAUAUUAUUUAAUAAAAUUUUUCAGAAAAAUUCAAAAUAUUAUAAGAAUGACUCCAAAAAAAAUUAAUUUUUUUUUAACAAAACAUGAAUUUAAUAUGAAUUUUUAUAUUGUUUAUGGUUAAAAAUUCAUAUUUAAUUUGUGUUUUGUUAAAAAAAUCUAAUUUUUUUUAGGAAUUAUUUUUAGAAUAUUUGACACAUUUCACCAAAAUUUCAUUAAAAAAUACAAAAAUUAAAUUAAAAAUAGGGACCAAAAGUACUGAUUGAAAAUUUUAUAGGGAUUAAAAGUUGAAGGAAAAUUUUACACGUCUGAACUCGAAAAGUUACAUAUUUAGGUAUCAAAAACAUUUUUAAAAAAAAAAAAAAAAAAAAAGAUAAGAAGUUAAAAUCAGUUGUUUGCCGUGAUCUAGCGAAAAUCACAGUGUAGCAGAGUCCAACUAACUAUACUCAACAAACAAAAACUUCCUUCAAACACAGCAAUGCUUUCAUUUCACUAAUCGUCACUUCCAAUGGCGAAACCCGAAUCCACAACCACAACCCGAACCGUAAUCGAACCACACUCCCAAUUCGACCUAUCAACCCACUCUCGCACCACCACCGUCCGAUCCAUCGCCAUCACCACAAUCUCCAAUCGCACCAUUCUCUUCAUCGGAACUCACUCAGGCACCAUCUUCUCUCUCUCCCCUAACCAAAACGACACUAAUAACCCCCAAAACGACACCGUUUUACCUAACCUCUCCUUUAUCCGUAGCGUUUCCGUAACCCACACUUCAAUUGACACCGUUUUAGUUUUAUCAGAUUUAGGUAAAGUUUUAAUUCUCUCCGAUGGUUCCUUGUUUUUAGUUGAUUCGGAUUUAUCGAAUGGCGCGGUUAAAUUAGGAUUUUCGAAGGGGAUUUCGGUUGUAACACGAAGGAAAAUGAGAAAUAAUGAAUCUGAAAAUUUAGGUUUGGGAUUAGAUACUAAUAAUAAAAAAUUUCUGCAGAAAUUGGGAGGGUUGAACUUAAACUCUAAUUUACAGAGUGAGGGUUUUAGUGGAUGUGUUUUGGCGAUUUCGAUUGGGAGAAGGUUGAUGAUUGUGGAGAUUGUUUUGAAGGAUGUUAAUAAUGCAUCACUUGUUGUUUUGAAAGAGAUUCAAUGUGUUGAUGGAGAUAUUAGUACUAUGGUUUGGAUUGAUGAUUCGAUUAUUGUUGGUACUGCAAACGGUUAUAGUUUGAUUUCGUGUGUUAGUGGAUUAAGUAGUGUUAUAUUUUCGUUGCCGGAUGUGUCGAGGCCGCCGAGGUUGAAGUUGUUGUAUAGGGAUUGGAGGGUUUUGUUGUUGGUGGAUAAUGUGGGAAUUAUUGUUGAUGAGAAAGGGCAGCCGGUUGGAGGUAGUUUGGUGUUUCGGCGUGGGUUGGAUUCGGUCGGGGAGUUGAGUUUUUAUGUGGUUGUUGUGAGUGAUGGGAAGGUUGAGUUGUAUAAUAAGAAAAAUGGGGGGUGUGUUCAGGUUUUGGCAUUUGGUGGGGAAGGGAUUGGGCCGUGUGUUGUUGCUAGCGAGGAAGAUAAGGGUGGGAAGCUUGUUGCUGUUGCAACUGCUACCAAGGUAUGUUCUUGUUUGAAACUGAUUGUACCGUGAUCUUCGUUCAUGAUAUACAUUUUGACAUACUUGUGGUUUUGUUUUUGAAUGUGUGUGUGUCUGUUUGUACUUUUAGAUGUAAAGCUUGGCACUCAUUUGAUUUUCUGAUAUAUGUUAUAUUCGGAUUGUUUAGAACAGAGGGCAUUUCAUGAUGACAACGAAUCCCUAUUGGACACAUACAGUCAAAUCUGAAGGGAAAACAUGUUCAAUUAAAAUGAAGCUUUUAAGUUCCAUUUACACCUAGUGAGAGAUGAGUGGUUUUUAGAUCAGUCGGUGAAAGUUUGACUAUUUUGGCGAUUGUUUUGUAUGAAGCCCUUGAUAUGAAAAAAUAACAACAUUUCUUGGAUUAGGAAAAUCAUUCGGAAACAGAACAUGCUUAUAAUGGUAAAAUGAAACAGAUCAUGCUCAUUCUGAAACUCAUGCUGGAUCCAUAGUUGUAUAAGACUUAAGCACUGAGGAUAUUGUUUCACUGUGGGUGUACCUUCAAUAGGAAAAAUGAAAACUAUGUUGUCGUAGUAGUACUUCAUUAUUCAAACUACUGAAAAUUUAGAUAUAGGAAGUACAAUUGUCAUGUAUAUACUUUUUUUAUCUUCUGGAGUAAUAGAGCUAUAUGCUUCGUGGACAAAAACUAAUUUGAAAUUUAAAAUUGUUAGUUAAGUAAUUUGAGCAAGAGGGAAAAUUCAUAUGUAUUGCUAGCUGGAUUGAAUUUUCUUGCUGCUACAGUAAAUGCCUAAUGGAAUUUGGAUAAUCAUUCUAUGACUGAGAAGGUAACUUGUGGUUUUGUUGUUGAGUGUGUGUCUGUUUGUUGUUUGUUCUUUUACACGUAAAGCUUGGACGGGGCUUUGGCGCUUGCUUGAUUUCUGGAGAGAUAUUAUAUUUGGAUUGUUUAGAAUAGACAAAUAGAAUAGAGGCUAUUUCAUUAUAACAAUGAAUCCCUGCACAUACAGCCAAACUGAAGGGAAAAAAUGUUACAUUAAAACGAAGCUUUUAAGUUCCAUCUACACCUAGGCUGAAGGGAAAAAAUGUUAAAUUAAAACGAAGCUUUUAAGUUCCAUCUACACCUAGGGAGAGAUGAAUAGUUUUUAGACCAGUCAGUGAAAGUUUGACUAUUUUGGUGAUUUUUUUCGCAGUCUUUUGAGGACAUCUCUCAUUAAUUAAGCCCUUAAUAUGAAAAAGUAACGAGUAAGAUUUCUUGGAUCAGGAAACUCAUUCUGAAAAAACAUGCUUAUAAUGGCAAAUAAAAUAGGAACACACUUGAAGUAGUUGUAGAAAAUUCAAUUACUGAGGAUAUUGUUUCAUUGUGGAUGUACCUUCAAUAGGAAAAAUGAUAACUAUGUUGUUGUAGUACUUCAUUAUUAAAAGUUGUCAUUUACAUACUUUCUUUAUCUCCUGGAGCUACAUGCUUAGUGGACAAAGGACUAAUUUGAAACUUUUUUUUGACAAAACUAAUUUGAAACUUAAAACUGUCAGUUAUUGUGGGAAAAAUCAUAUAUAUUGCUAGUUGGACUGAAUUUCUGCUGCUACAGUAAAAGCUUUGUGGAAUGUGGUUUAUUAUUCUAUGUCAGAGGGUAACCUUGUUUUUACAUGCACUAAGUGUACAGAAGGUGGCAGCUUUUAGAGACUACAUUUUUGACAUACUUGUUGUUUUGUUGUUAGUGUGUGUGUGUGUUCUUUUAGACGUAAAGCUUGGAUGGUUGGCUAUGGCACUUGUUUGAUUUCUUAAUAGAUAUCAUAUUCGGAUUGUUUAGAAUAGAUAAACAGAAUAGAGGCCAUUGCAUGAUAACAAUGAAUCUCUAUUGUACACUUGUGGCCAAAUUUUUAGGCAAAAAAGAUUAACAAAGAAGCUUUUAAAAUGGCAAAGAAAAUGGGAACUUACUUGAGGGUAUUGUUUUGUUGUGGGUACCUUCAAUUUGGAAAAUGAUAACUAUAUUGUUGUAGUACUUUCAUUGUUCAAACUAUGAAAAGUUCAGAUGUAGGAAGUAAAAUUGCCAUGUAUAGGGAUGGCAAUUGGACCCAGACCCAAUGGGUACCCGCAAAAAAUACCCACAAUGGGUAGGGUAAAACCCCGCUUUUAUGGGUCUGGGCACGGGUACGGGUAAUACCCACAAAAUUAAAUGGAUAUGGGCACGGGUAAGGGUACUAUACUGCCCAGACCCGCAACCCCGAAUAUACAUAUUUAUAUAAUAUCAUAAAUUAUUUAUUUAUUUUUUAUGUAUAAUUAAUUAAUUUAUUUAACUAUUUAAGCCUAAACCUAAACUUAAACCAAACAACUGCUUAAUACAAUAACAGCUCCAUCAUGCCGGUGUAUAAUUUUUUAGAGAUAUUUUGGAUGUUUUCUAUUUGACUAAAUACCACGAUUCAUAUUAUUUUAUGAGUUAAUUUUAAAUAAUUGGGAUCAUAGUUUUAUUUGUGAUGUUUUUUUUGUUUUUUCAUAGUUAAAGUGCGGGUAAUAGGUGCGAGUAUGGGUACUUAGGUACCCAUAGGGUAUGGGGAAGGGGACUAAAGUUGUUGCCCACGAGGGUACGGGCACGGGUACGAGUAUUUUUUAUAAAUGCGGGUAUGGGGACGGGCACUAUAGUACCCUACCCAUUGGGCACCCAUUGCCAUCCCUGCAUGUAUAUGCAUUUUUUAUCUUCUGGAGUAGUGGAGUGGAGCUAAAUGUUUAGCGGACAAAAAAUUAAUUUGAAACUUAAACUUAUCAGUUAAGUAAUUUGAGCAAGAGGGAAAAUCCAUAUAUAUCGCUUGACAGACUGUAUUUUCUGCUUCUGCAGUAAAUGCCGUGUGAAAUGUGAAUUAUUAUUCGAUGACUGAGGGUAACCCUGUUUUUAUGUGCACUCAGUGUUAUAUAGUAGGUGGCAGGUUUUAGAGACUACUAUACUAAAUAAAUUUGUUCCCUGAUGGUUGCUAAACUAGCAAAAUUUUAAUUUUCCUUAUCAUUCAUUAAAAUGGAAAAGGCAUCUCCCAACUUAAGCUUUGAUAUUAUUUGAUGAAUUUUUAUAAUGAAAUCAAUACUGCUUCUUCUUUAGUAUCCAUUGAAUCUUCAGACUGAUAAGAUAAUAUAAAUAAAGGCUUGACUCCUAAUUUCACUGGGUAUAUUGAAUCAAAGCUAAAUUUGAUUCCAGUCCUAGAUUAUAUUCUCUUCAAUUCAGUAUCAUCAAGUACCAAGUGGCAUUGGACUGAAGUUGCUCCAUGCAGUGCUAUACUCUAUUAUAUUUUUGACAUCAGCUGUAGCCUAUUAUGUCGACUUGUGACUACCAUUACAAUUGUGAUUGAUUAGAAAAUUGCAAGCAAGCAAUUUGUUAUAACUGCAACCUUUAUGCUCUCAUAGUACUAGGUCAUUGAAGAAACUCAUGUUUUUUUGGUUGCAUAUACUUCUAGGUUGUGUGCUAUCGGAAAUUACCGUCUGUAGAUCAAAUAAAGGACCUUUUGAGGAAGAAGAACUAUAAGGGAGCCAUAUCCUUGGUAGAGGAGCUUGAGUAUGAAGGUGAAAUGUCAAACGAAUUGCUCUCAUUUGUUCACGCUCAAGUGGGGUUCCUCUUGCUUUUUGACUUGCAUUUUGAAGAAGCGGUGAACCACUUUCUGCUCUCUGAGACAAUGCAACCUUCUGAAAUAUUCCCAUUUAUAAUGCGUGAUCCAAAUCGCUGGUCCUUACUGGUACUAUUGUGUUUUUCUCCCUUUUAAUAUAUUACUGUCAAGUAUUUUUGCCUCUGCCAUGGGCUAAGCCAACAGAAAUAAAUCCUUUAAUGUGAAGAAUUGCUCCAUCAAUUACUAUAUUAGCAACAGUUGUAAGAUGUAAAAGAUUUGUGUCUUUGUCUCAUGCCUUGUUUUCAACUUAAGGUAGAAUACUAAGUCUGAAUGCAGUUUUGUAAUACUCAUGCCUUGUUUUCACUUCAAACGAAUAUCUUUACCAUUAUAUAAAGGCCAGUCCAAAGUUAACCACAAAUUAACUACUUUUUGGUCGAACCUUUUUCUGGACAAAAUUACCCUUAGAAAUCUAAUUCUUUUUCAAAAUUUAAUCUAAAUUUAUUCCUAAGUUAUAGGAAAUUUAAAAACUAACUAUUUUUUAGCUGAACGUUUUUUGCUUCAAAUUUUCCCAUAACAAACUAAUACUUUUUCUCAAAAUUAAAUUUAAAAACAACUUAAAACAUAAAUACAACGAAAUACAAUAAAAAAAUGCGGAUAGACGAGCAGGGAGUGCUCACCUUUCCGCUAGUAAAGAUAGAAUACAAAGUCUGAAUGCAGUUUUGUACAGCAACCUGUUUAAAAGCUUUAUGUGCCAUUAUAUACUCUACUUAGUGACUAGAUAUUUAGUUUUUGUUUGUGGUAUAUGGAAAAACUAUUAGAAACCUAUGUUCUUUUUACAUGACUCUAAUAUAUAUUAAAUUAUGCUUUCUUCAUGGAUGAACAUUAUGCAUAUAGGUACAUAUUUAUUUUAGCAAAAUAUCCUUGCGAUUGAACAAUAUGCAAGUGAGUUGGUAUGAUCUUGCCCGACCAUGUGAUGUAUUAUUUUCUCAUUCAUUUGCUUAUGACGUAAUAGUUGAACUUGAAUAGGACUUGGUGUGUGUUUGGUUCCGCGGUCAUAAAAAUUGAUUUUGAUAGAAUUGAUUUUGAAUGAAUUGAUUCUGAUCAAAAGUGAGUUGAGUGAAAUUGAUUUGUGUUUGGAUACAUUAAUAUGAAAGUGAUUCUUAUCAAUGUAUGUUGUUUGGAUAGUUUGAAUCAAAAUUGAUUUUAAAUGUAUAAUUACCAAAAUGGGCGUCAUUAUAAUUAUAAGUAUUUAUAACUAGAUUUCAUUCCAAUUUUAUAUAAUUAUUCAAAUUUAAUUUGUUCAUUAAAUUUAAUAAUUUAUGACUGUAAAAAAAAUAGUUAUUUAUAAAAUUGUUUUGACAAAAUUAUUCAUAGAUUAUUUAAAUCAUAUAUUAUGGGUUGAUAUGAUAAAAACGUGAAAACCAUGAAUUUAAAUUAUUAAGAAACCCAUAAUAUAAAUUGGUAGGCUUUUACCAUGUACUAGGUCAAAAUAAAUAAGACUGGAGUUUAAUCGUAAAAAAAAUAUCAGCAAUUUUUUCUAAUUAGCAAGUUAUUGUUUAGUGCAAUUUAUGAUCAACUGGGAAAAAAACUAUUGCAGCUCCUAAAUAAUGUGCUGUGUGAAAAGGUAUAAAGGAAAGGAUAAAUAUGUAAAAAGAGAGCAUUCACUCAUAACAUAAUAAAAUUGUAAUCAAUUCCCACCGCUGUUUACAAAAGCUACUAAUACCAGCUUCAAUUGGAAUUGCUUUUAGAUGCCAGACUCAAUUUUAAAAAUGGCUACCCAAACACCAAUUUUUUAGCAAACUCACUUUUAAGAUAUUUAAACUCACGUUUACAGCUCCCCACCACGCAACCAAACGGAAUCUUAAUAGCUGAAAUUUAUUCAUUUUGUAAUACUUUGAUUGCGUGUAUUUGAUGUGCCUUAUAAAAUCUAAACUUUGGAUCCAGGAUUAACUGUUAAUUUUUUCUUUGGUCUUGUGCUAUAUUGUGAAACUUCGUUCUUGUUCUUAAUGCAUAUGAAUUAUUCAAAUAUUUAAAGUUUGUGCUUUAUGAAUGUGGUACAGAGGUUCAAACUGGCUUUUGUAGGUUCCUAGGAAUCGGUAUUGGGGUUUGCAUCCUCCCCCAGCCCCUCUUGAAGAUGUAGUCGAUGAUGGCUUGAUGACAAUCCAGAGGGCAUCUUUCCUAAGAAAAGCAGGGGUAGAAACAAUAGUAGAUAAUGAUCAUUUUCUCAAUCCACCGAAUAGAGCUGAUUUGUUGGAGUCAGCAAUAAAAAACAUUAGCAGGUUUAUAUUCCUUUAUAUUUUACUUGAAAGAAAGAUAAAAUAUGUAUUUUUUUUUUUGUUUGAUAUGGAAAAAUAGAGCAGUCCUUUAUUAUAGAAGCGAUAUGACAUGAAUCUUGGGUAGCGUAACUACUUAUCUACAUCCCAAAAGAUUAGAAAUUACAUUUAUUUUAUCUUAUCACUAGUACCAUUAUCUACAUUUAUCCUGUUCAAAGUCCUAUUAUCCAGGACAUAGGAUUUGAAAUCUCUUUUGGUUCUUACGAUACUCCUGCAAGCUGGCUGGAAAUGUCUCCCAUAGACAGCUUGUUGAUAAAAUCAAUGAAGUACCUCUUGGAUGUGCCGUUGGUGAGAAUGUCUGCAACAUGAUUUGUUGUAAUGACAUUAUGGAACUCACCAUUUUUUAUCUUCUCUUCACUAGAGUGUUAAUCUAUUUCAAUGUGCUUGGCUCUGUCAAUGAAAACAUAACUGUGAGCUAUGCAUGUUGUCUACUUGUUGUUUUAGUAUAGGUGUCAAUUUUCCUAACAGUAAUUCUUUUGUAGUCUUUCGAUCUACAUAUAAUCUCACACAUUUCGCAGGCCCUUGAUUUAAAUUAUGCUUUAGCAUGUCUCCUUGCCAACCAAAUUUUGUUUCUUAGUUUGCCAUGUAACUAGGUUCGUUUUGUGGAGGGUUAGGUAGCUUAACUGGUUUGAGCUAAGGGUUGAAGGACCUAGGUUCAAACAAUGGUAUUGGUGAAGGAGGAAACACCAACCUAACAACUAAUUACUAACUUUUGCCUAAAAAAAAACAAGGUUUCUUUUGACAAAUGUACAAUAACCACCAGCUGAUCUUCUGUUCAUGGUAUUCCCAGUCCAACCUGCAUUGAUGUAGGCGUGCAUUUUUGCUGCUAUCCAUGUUUUUUAUGUUGUAAGUUUGUAAUCAUCUUCUUGGUGAACAACCUUUAUUGAUGAAUACUAUGUACAGGUAUUUGGAGGCCUGUCGAGAGAAAAAAUUAACACAGUCAGUCAGCGAGGGGGUUGACACUCUAUUAAUGUAUCUCUAUAGAGCUCUAAAUCGUGUUGAGGACAUGGAGAGGUUGGCAUCUUCAACGAACUGGUGUGUUGUGGUAUGUGCAGAUUAUUGUUAUUGUGGAUUCACAUUAUUCAAGACAUGCAAACUGUUAUGUUUCACAUUUAUUAUAUUGAUGUCAAUUUUAUAUAUUAGUUAUUUGAUUGAAGAGAUUUCAAUAAAUUUUGAAAAUUUGGAAAGUGAAGUGUUUAGUAGUAGGAAUGUUGCUUAUUAUUCUUUUAGAGAAUUUGGAAAAAAAAAUCUUGUUUUCUGGCAUGGCCGCAUUUAACGUUUUUCCAAAAAGAGAAUUGUCAACUGCAAAAUUAAUCUGCGAACCUGGAAGGGUGAAACCUGCCUGGAUCAUUAACCACAAGUGUAAACAGAGAAAGUAAAAGUGGUGACCCCUUGUCUAAAUCAGUGCUGUUUUCUAAACAAAACAUAGGUUAUUUCACUACAUGACAUGAUAGCAAUUGCGUGGGGUUGUCAUGAGAGAUGGACUUAUGAUAUACAUUUCUUUGCAGGAGGAGUUGGAACACAUGUUAGAAGAGUCGGGGCAUCUACGGACCCUUGCCUUUUUAUACGCUAGUAAAGGAAUGAGCUCAAAAGCUGUGUCUAUUUGGCGCAUCCUGGCAAGAAAUUAUUCAUCUAGCCUACGCAAAGACCCUGCUUUGGAGACUAUUAUACAGGAUAGUGGGGAAAACCUUAUUUCUGGAAAGGCAAUUGCAGCAGCUGAAGCUUCAAAGAUUCUUGAGUUGUCAUCUGACCAAGAUUUGAUUCUCCAACAUCUAGGAUGGGUAUGACUUGAGUGGUUUAGAAGUUGGUUGUUAAUGCAAGUAGAAUGUCUACAAUUCCAUGAUUCUUCUUUUUGAACUUUCUCAUUUCAGAUUGCUGAUAUCAGCCAGGUUCUUGCAGUCGAAGUUCUAACAUCGGACAAACGAGAGAUCCAGCUUUCUCCUGGUUGGUCUUGAUUCUUCAAACUUGCCCACCCUCAUGAAUUUCUACAAUGAUAUUAUGAUAAUGUUUUGGAUCGUUGAUUUUGAGCAACACAAGUUUUGAAUACGUUGUUUUGCUCAGUUUGAACCACUUGUUUAUUAUCACAGAAUUACUAGUGUAAUCUGCCAAAGUGGUCUUAAAUAUCAUAUUUAUCAUUAAGAUUUUGUUUUUUGUUUUUGUUUUUGUUUCUGUUCAUUUUAUUUUAUUUAUUAAAUCAUUAGUGAUAUGUUCAUUUGAUACUGCAGAUGAAGUUGUUACAUCUAUUGAUCCAAAGAAGGUAGAAAUUUUACAAAGGUAUAUGGUUAUUGAUUCUCAGGAUUUCAUGAUGCGAUAAAUUCUUUUACCGUCUCAUCUUCAUUGCGUUUAUGCUCUAAUGUAUAUGAAUACACCUAAUGGUUAAGGGUUGGUUGUUGUAGUUAUGAUAUUGAUUUAUACUCUAUUUUUAACAGUCUGCUUCUUAGUUUACCCUGACAUCCUUGUUAUUUAGGUAUCUCCAAUGGUUGAUUGAAGACCAAGACUGCUUUGAUACUCAGUUGCAUACGUUGUAUGCUCUCUCACUUGCCAAAUCAGCAAUUGAAGCCUCUGAGUUUGAAAAUAUCUCUGAAAGUCUUGCUAGUGGAAAUACUGAGAGAAAUAAUAUGACUACUUUGAGGAACUCGAUCUUUCAGACUCCUGUCAGGGAAAGAUUACAGUUCUUUUUGCAAUCAUCAGACUUGUAUGAUCCAGAAGAAGUUCUCGACUUGAUUGAAGGAUCUGAAUUAUGGUUGGAAAAGGUAAUUAUAAGUCUUUUGACUAUGUUAUCCUAAAAUCUGUUUAUUUUAGUUUGAUAUAUUUUCUAUUUUUGGUUUUUUCGUUUCUUAGACAAUCUUUGGGAUGGGUGGUGAUAGAUUCUUCAUGUUCAAAUUGAUGUUUACCUUUUUCAACCUUUUUUGUUAAUUGGGCUUAUUUGACAGGCUAUUUUAUAUAGAAGAUUGGGGCAAGAGACUUUGGUCCUCCAAAUUCUGGCUUUGUAAGUUUCAUAUUAGCUUUGAAAUUGUUGCUGUUGUCUACUUUUCUUGUAAAACUUACUCGAAUUAUAUUGCAUGAUGCCAUGUAAUUCCUUGCAUGCAUUUUCUUAUUGUUGAUUCAUUGUAAUUUUACGAUCAAUUUUAUAUGAUGCCAUCUUUAUGCUUGUAUGUGUUUUACAUUAGAUUGUACAAACUACAAAUCAGUCCUUACCAUUCUCUAUUAAAAGUUUUCAAUUUUACAAGUCAGUUAUCUAGGUUGUUGGUCUGUGUGUAUAAUUUUCACAUGCUUAUAUUUGUAUCUAGUAUAUUAAAAGCUUGCAAUUUUACAAGUCAAUUAUCUAAGUUGUUGGUCUGUGUGUAUAAUUUUCACAUGCUUAUAUUUGUAUCUAGUAUAAUUGUGACAUAUAAUGGCUCUUGUCUUGCCACUUAAGAACAUGAUAGAAAAGAGUAUAAGACAAAUAGUCGAGUCACAACACAACUUUUCUCCUAUAUGCUUGGUAGUUGAUGCAUAUAACAAGCAAUUUUCUGUUGUAAUUUGUUUGGUAUGUUUACGUACUCGACUGAACAAUAUGGAAUUUACUACAUGCCCUUUGCACUAUGCAAUGGGUUGCACAACAUCAAGGUAGGUUUUAGAAGGUAGUAUUUUUCCUAUAUAUUAGGUAGAGGAGGAAGUGAGAUUAUUCACAACCUUCUACAUAUGUGAUUUGAUUAGACCCCACCUGGUGAGACCGAGUUCACCACAGUUAAAGUUUUGAGGAGUGUUCUCUUGAUUGAGAAACCUUAAACACUAAGUUUAUGAGUUGACACUAGUGUUUAAUUGUCAUUCAAGUAAAAUGUGAACUGUAAUAAUCCUGGUUUACAUAUAUUCACUAAAAAGAGGACUUCAUUAAAUUGAUUUUUGAUAGAGGUCAAAGAUGUCAUUUGAUGUUACAUAUAUUUGAAAGUCCUCUCCUAGUCUGAAGUUUUUGGUGUUGUUGUGACUAAAAAGAAACGAGAAAUAUGGAUUACUAUUUUUAACGAGCAAAAACUGAUCCUUCUAGAGUAUAGUAUCAUGCAAUUUACAAUAAUCUGUGAAUAGAAGUCCUUCCAAGUCAUGGUGAGAUAUAUGGUUUGAAGAUAGGAUUUUGGGAUUGAUCAUUGUUGAAUUCGAAGGAUUUCUGAGGACAACUAGAUUUCCCUUAUACUCCCACCGUCCCUAGAUAUAAGCGCCCAUUGAGAAUUUUUUUUGUCCCUAAAUAUAACCUCUUUUCAAUUUUCUAGAUGCAUAGCCCACUUGGGUUGGCCUAGUGGUAUUGGCUUGGGACCUGGGAGUGUGCUCCUCUUCAAGGUCUCAGGUUCGAUUCUCUCCGGGUCAAUUUAGGUGGGCUAAUUUAGCUUUUUCAAAAAAAAAAUAAAAAAAUUCUAGAUGCAUUUAUUAUUUUUUUCCAAACAUAACCCUAAUUAAUACUACUAAUUUACCUUGGAAUAUGAAAAAGUCAAAUUUGAAUACACUACAAACAAGGACAAAUUUAGUAAUAUCCCCACAAAAUGAACAUAUUAAUUACACUUUCAUCUUUUCUUAAUCUUUGUCAAAUUUGCAAUGAGGGCUUAGAUUAAGGGACAGAGGGAGUAUUCAAGAUAAUUUGUUGUAAACUUCAUUAAAGCAUGCUGAACAAUUGAGUGCAAAACUGCAAAUGGCUUACAAAGUGUAAAGUCACAAAAUCAGACUUCAUUUAUUUAUUUAUUAUUAUUGUCUGUUGGCUCCCAGGAAACUAGAAGACAGUGAAGCUGCUGAGCAGUAUUGUGCAGAGAUUGGAAGAUCUGAUGCCUACAUGCAGUUUGUCUCCAUUUUAUCCUUUUGACGAUUUAUUCAUGCAAGUAACGGUUAUUUUACACAAAUAUGUUAAAUGCUGUUUUUUUUGUUUUUUGUUUUUUUUUUUUGUCUUCAGAUUGCUAGAAAUGUAUUUGGAUCCACAAGAUGGUAAGGAGCCCAUGUUCACUGCUGCUGUUCGCCUUCUCCACAAUCAUGGAGAAUCAUUGGACCCAUUGCAAGUCUUAGAGGUAUUAAGCUCAUUCUACAUCAGUUUUAACAAGUAGACAACAUUUUUCAUUGUGAACUGUCUCAUUGGCUGGUCUGGUCAGGCCACAAACCCCUAAUUUGGACCAGAUUUAGGAUCAUUAAACAUGUUGAAUACCAGAAACCGUGUGUCCGAUAUAUUAGGAGACAAUCAAAUUAAAAAAACAGUCAAAGACCUUUUUGUUUUGAGGGUGUGGAUAUAUGAUGGCAUUGGUUGGGUGUCACCAGAUUGGUAUGUUGUGUUAUAAAAUACACCUAUUUAUACUCAUCAUUGCAUCAGUAGAGAUUCAGGUCAUGUAUUUUUUUGCUAAUCCAACUGUUUCUGAAGCUCAUGCUAUUAAAACAUAUUUUUGUCUAUUCUCUUGUCAAGUUAGAUGUUGCAUGUAAGAUGUGAUGUAAAAAUGCUCGUGUUUUUACCUGACUGCUUUAAAUACUCUUUGACUAGAUGUUUUGAUAGGAAUAUAGGAAAAUAUUUUGUUGAUGUGUCUGAUAUCUCGUGUUACUAAAACUAUUAGCACCACAAGACGGUCACUAGAAAAGAUAGUAUGAAAUAAACAAGCAGGCAUUAUUUCAGCAAUAUUAAUUCCUUCAUAAUUCCUUGAGUAUAAUUAUCAGGAUUGGAUGGAAGGACUCUGCAUGUAAUCAUUUGCAGAUUUUCACUGUCUUCUCUUUAGCUGUUAUUGUAUAUUUUAUGCACUCCGCAGAGUUGUACUUACUAAAUCUUUUGGCUUUUAAAUGCAGAAAUUAUCACCAGAUAUGCCGCUUCAACUUGCUUCUGAGACUUUACUACGAAUGUUCAGGGCCAGAGUUCAUCAUCAUCGUCAAGGACAGGUACUUUCAGGUUUUUCUUUUCUAGGUUGACAUGAUACAAAUAAGAAUUGUAGUGGUUGCUAUCUAGAGUAAUGGGUGAUCUUGUUUUCUGUAACUUCUCUCCUAGUGAGGUGAAUUCCACAUGAUUUUUGCAACUACAAUUUGAGUGCUUUUGGAACAAAGUAUAUGAUUAGUUUAAAUACAGUCAUCUUUUGAAUAUAGUCUCUAAUGUAUCGCCUGUUUAUGUGGAUUAUUACCACUCAAGUUCAUUAUUGUUCCAGAACUUGAACCUCUUUUUUUACCAAAAAUUCCUUGUGGGCAAUCUUUGAGAUAAUUUUUUCAUAGUCUGACAAUUUAUGGUUGACAUUUUCCUGUCAUACUUUAAUAUAACUCUGUAGACAACCAUAUGUUUUGGGCUUGUAUUGGUAACUUUGGCAACAUAUGUUUCAGAUUGUGCAUAAUUUAUCUCGUGCCGUAGACAUUGAUGCAAGGUUGUCAAGAUUAGAUGAAAGGUCAAGGCACAUGCAGAUUAAUGACGAGAGUCUCUGCGACUCUUGUAAUGCACGCCUCGGUACCAAGUUAUUUGCAAUGUACCCUGACGAUACAGUUGUAUGUUACAAGGUUAGUGCUUGAUCGCUUUUCUCAAUUGAUUCAUCAAAUAGAGCUCUUUGCCCAAACUUUCUUGCCUCAUCCAUGAUUUUACUUCUAAGCUGUUUCCCAAUGUGUUAUUUUCGGAAUUCUCGACAUGGUUUCUAGUGCAGAAAAUAAAAUAAUGUUUGAAGUUACCUCAGUGGAUUUUUUUGGAAUUAGUCGUACUUUUUGUAAUUGUUAUCCGCUACAUCUUUUCUUUCAUUAUUCUUUUUAAUGUGUAAGUCAUUACUGUCUAAACUAGACUCUGGGGGAAAGCUGACUGAUGGUUUAAUCUUCCAGGACUAUAUUUGAUAUUCUUGUCUUUGAUAGUUUCUGGUCAUUGUUUAGCUGCGCUCCUUUAAUACUGACACUGUUAUUAGCGAUGGGUUUUCUUAAUUGUGCUACUAAUACUUUGCAGUGUUACCGUCGUCAAGGUGAGUCAGUGUCUGUCUCUGGUCGCAAUUUUAAGGAAGACAUCAUAAUUAAACCGGGUUGGCUUGUGAGUCGUUGAUCUUAGAAGUUGCCUGUCUCUUGGCUUGUGAGUCGCAAUUUUAAGGAAGAAAUCCUAAUUAAACAGUGUCUGUCUCUUGCCUGAAGCCUGAAGCUUAGAAGUUGCCAUUCCAUGCACCAAACUAAAAUCCUUCCAAAAUAUGUAAAAGGAAUGUUGAUCGCUCGCUCGGUUAUAUAGGUGCACAUUUAGCGUUUUUCAACUCCUAACCUGCUACACUUAAGAGUGAAGUUCAUAUAGUUAACUGCCACAUGGUGGUUCUGUAAAUAAAUCUGUUGAGUGGGCCAUUGUAUUCCCCAUACCCCUUUUGGAAAAUUGCUUUGUAAAUUUUGAUAUUGUAAAAUGUAUAUUUUUACAUCUAUCUAUAUAUAAUCAGCUCAUUCUUGCAUUCUAGUUCUUUUGGGCAUGCCAUGUUGGAAUUUGGUUACAAAGAUUAGACGGUUGAAUAUCAUCAUAGUAUUCUAUUGUUUUUAAAACGAUUGCUUGUAACUCCAUUUCCAAACUGUAGUAGAAAUAUAAAAUAGCCUCUCAAUAGGAACUGGAGGACUCGUUUAAGUAAUAAAAAAUGAGUGCAUAUGUGUACAAUUUAAUUUAAUUUAAACCAUGACUGCAAACUCAUUCUUAUGUGAAUCCUUGUUACUGAACGCUUGCUUUUUCUCUUCAUGCACCGUUGGUAUAAUAAUAAAAAGUCAGCAUAUUACAUUCAUGUGUGUAUAACUGGUUAUUAUAGUAAAAAGAAAAAUAUUUCUAGAUCUAACAAUUAUAUGAAUCAAUAUUUUUUUUUUUUAUGUAAAUCAAAUACAUCUUUGGACCAUCUCCAAUAAGAGGGUCUCAAAUAUUUAAGACUUGCUACAUCAUUAAUCUUUCUCGCACACAUUUUUUUAAUAAUAAGUGGAAUCCAUACGUUUUUUAAUAUUAAAAAAUUGAGAUGUAAUGAUAUAAAGUUAUUGCUAGUUGAUUAAUGAAUUUCAUUUAAGAAAUUUGUGAGAUACUGAGUUGGAGGAAUUUAGUGCUUAUUAAGCACUACUAUUAAAAAAUUAUAAAUAAAUGAUAUGUACACGUGUAAUGUAUUUAAAUAUUAAAAAAUUAGUGUCUCAGUUGUAGAUACUCUUACGUAACUACUCUCCUUGUUUCUACAUCUAGAUAGAUCUCUACGUAGUUUCUCAUUAAUAUACCAAUAGUAAAUGAAAAAGGAAAAAAAAAAAAAAACUAUUGGCGCCAAUUUAUCAUGAUUAUUUGGCACUUUGUGUCAUCUUCAGUAAAAUAAAAACGUAAUUUUUAAUCAGAAUCAAAAGAACUUUUAAACAUGAAAGAAAACAAAAUAAAAUUAAGUGAAAGAGAGGUGAAAUUUACCUAACUGUGUCGUUUGGAAUGUCACUCCUACGUCGUAGGAAACGGAAAAACGAAUGGUUUAUGCGAAAAAGAAAUAAUUGUUGUGAUUCUUUCAAUGAAAUAACUUUUCAAAUUGACUGAUUAUGUGAUUAUACAAAUUAAUGGUGGUUUGAUAGCAUCAAAUUUAUGACCAGAAUGUAGAACUAGAGUCUAGAAAAAACUCAUACGUGUACUGAAGAAGAAAAAAGAGUAACAUGCAAUUUUUUAAUUUAAGGGGGUGGAUAUUAUAAUUUUUUUAGGCCCAUUAUUUUUAAAAGCCCAGUUCAAUAUAGCUUCUUACACUCCCCAAGAUCCGGCCUGGUCAUCCCCACAAAGCUGAUACAUGAAUGCAUACUUAUCUCAUAGGCCCUAGAAUUUCACAUAAUUAACAUACUAGUAUCAUAGUAUUAUUUUGGAAAAAAACAUUUGAUUUCAAACACAUAUCUAUGAGCAAAGUCAUAUAAAUUUGGGGACCACAUGAAUUAUGCACAAGAAAAUAAGAAUACUUUUAAAACGUUGCCUUUCAGUAUCUGUUGUGUGGUUAAUAUCAAUCAAUUAGCAUUAUGGAAGUGGAAGUUUCAUCACUUGAGAAGACCUAAUCUUCAUUUCUUGAUUUAUAAGGAUCUAACAACGAGUACCGGUUAUUCAUUGGGACCCAAUUUACGGUUGCUUCUAGAUCUUGGUUCCAUUAUCCAUUUUUGUUGGGUUCAUAGGAACUAAACAAGUGUACCAAUAAAUACUUUCAAAAAUAAAAAAACUACCAAUAAAUAAGAACCUUAAUUAACAAAAAAAUUCCCAAAGGUCUGCAAUAAUAUUAUCCUUAUCAUUUCAAAGACCACACAUAUAAAUUGUGGCAAUUAUUUUUUCACUUAAUUUGUCACCUUUUAAUAUUUCUGACUAGGUACAUAAUUGGAUUGCUUAUAAAUACUCUCAUUGGUUCAUUUUCUUGUCAGUGUAAAUUGAGUGGCUGAUUCAACUAUUUAAUUCGUUGAUCAAUUUUUUUUUUUAUUUGGCUAAAUAUUCGUUGAUCAUGGCUUUGAAUUUGCCCUCCCCAGCUCAAGUGAAACCCUCAUUUUUCUCUGAUAUCAUCAACCCAGUUAUCACCCCCACAAAACUUCCAGGUUCUUCUCUCAUGUCUCUGUCUUAUCAUGCACGUACAUAUAUGGUUGAUAAAUAAAUAAUAAUGAUAAUAAUAAUAAUAAUAAAAAUAAAAUAAUCAUUAUCAUGAUCCGGUCAUAAAAAAUGAUAAUAUUCAUGAUAAGAGCUUCCUCUUUUCUGUAACAUAUAUUUGUGUUAACUUCCUUACUUAUAAAUUAUUAUUAUUUUACCAUAACUUGUGCUAUAUAUUUCCUCAAGAAGAAAAAAAAAAACUUGUGUUAGAAAUUCAUUUGUUGAAUUAACUGGAUUAAAAAUACUUAUAUUAUUCUUUUUCCAAUCAGCAAUACUAUCAUAACAUCACAGGAAAAAAAACAUUAAUAAAGGUAUGAUUUUUUUAAGAAGAAAAAGAGACUAAGGUUUAUAAAAAGUAAGAGAUUAAUUAGUAAUCCGCUACCUUUUUUUUAUUUAUAUAUUUAUUUAUUUAUGUGUUAUCUACAUAGAGUGUGUUGUACUUAGCUAUAAAAUUAAAAAUAAGUUAUACUACUUCCUAUAAGCUGCAUGGAUAGAGAUAUGGCACCCGAGUACGAAUACAAGAUGCAAGAUUUCUAGAAAAAUUAUGGUACGUGUAUGUUAAAAUUAAUACGAGGAACAUAAUUUGGGUCCUACAAGAUUCAAGGGAUUAAUCUCUGUAAUUGCGCACGCACAAGAUACCCUCUUUGCACAAAAAAAAUUAUACGAGGAAACUUCUUUUAGUAAAUAUAGCAUUUAACCUAAAAAUAUGAGAAAACGUCGUUCAUACGAAAAAUAAAGCUAGAAUAUAUAUAUAUAUAUAUAUAUAUAUAUAUAUAUAUAUAUAUAUAUAUAUAUAUAUAUAUAUAUAUAUAUAUAUAUAUAUAUAUAUGAAAAAUAGUUUAGAGAUGAGUCGGAUUUCAAGGUUGUAUUGUUCAAGAUUUCAAGGUUCGCUAAAGACAGUAUUUUUCAAGAUUCGGAGGUAGCUAACGAUGAUAUUUACAAACCCACUAACAAGAUCCCAACGCUAACAACAAGAGUUGAACUCACGUUUUUGGGCAAUAUGAACCAUCCUAUUAUCAACUGGAUCAACAUACGUUGAUAGGCAAAAGAUAUUUUUAUAUAAUAAAAAAGGGACGUGAUAUAUAUAAAAAAAUAGAGAAAAAAGUAUACAAUAUAAUAGGAAAAAUAGCCAUGAGUAUCCGAUAAGUAUCGAGUACGAAUACAUGACUUUUGAAGUACCCAUUUUUCAUAGAGUUCAUCACAUCAUAUUUUGUCAAAAUUUUAUCUAUAAUAAGUUAUCUAAAAUCUAUGGAUCAUAUGAGAUUCAACUUGACCUAUAUUUGGCAUCACGGUGGCCAUACCAAAAUCACGAUGACCCAUCAUGAUUUUUCAAAAGAUACACUUUGUAACUUCUGUAAAAUCAUGGCAAAUCACCUUGAUUCUGACAUAUCGACCGACACCGUGAUACCAAAUAUACACUUAGUAGUUAGUGUUUAGUUUUGUAGAAGUGUUAAAAAAAAAAAUUAUGUGGUUGCCUCCCAUUGGGGGACCAAAAGUGUGGAUAUAUUUUUUUUAUACACUAAAAUCAAAUGUUUUGGUCAUAGUUUGAUGCCAAUUUGUGCUUAGUUUGUAAUUUACUUAGCUAUAGUUAAGUUGAGUUUGAUUAUGGUUUGAUCAGGUAGCUUUGCAUUGAAGAGAAAAGAGGGUGACACAAAAGUAGUAAAGAGAAGAGUUUAUUGCUCAGCAGCACACUCACCACAACCAGCUUGGCCUGGAACAGCUAUUCCUGAACCUAGUGAUUUUAAAACAUGGGAUGGACCAAAACCCAUCUCUGUCUUAGGUUCAACUGGUUCAAUUGGAACUCAGGUAUAACUUUCAUGCAUCAAUAAACAUGACAUUUUCUUUUCCUUUUAUGUCAGUUUCUCUAUCAACAAUGUGAUAUUUUAGUAAAAAAAAUAUUGUCCCACUUUAUAUCUUACUCCCUCCGAUCCUAUUUACAAGAGAGAUUUCAAUUAACAAAAGUUAAUGUAACUGGUAUAAUUUAUUAACCAGGUACAUCAAUUUUUGUUGACCCAAUUUUUUUUUAUAUAAAUAGAACCAGAUAGAUUAUUUUACAAGAUUAAAGAAACAAUGUUAACAACACAUUUUUCCAAGUACGAUUUUUUAUAGAUUAAAAUUCACACUAAUCACACAGUUUAAAUGAGACCCAUAUAAUUUGGUCAGAUCUAUCCGAAUUUUAACCAAUUAAAAAGAAUGUUAAAACAUGUGUUAUAAAGUGUGUUGUUAGCACUCAUUGUUAUAUUAUGUUUAUGAGGUUUGUUUACUUAAUAAGGUAAGGUAAGUUCAACUAAAUUCCUAUAAACACCUAAAAAUAUCUUUAACAUUUUUUUAUUGAAAAAUAUCUUUGUAACUUAAAACUGAUACAGCUAUUUUUUAUUAUUUAAUUUGUAGUAUUAAGGUUGUCCUUGUUCAUGGAUUUGUAACACACAUGUCUUUAAACAUACCAUAUUAAUAAUCAAAGAUUUACAUACCAAAUAUUUGAAAUGAAAGAAUUUUUUUGUUUUAAAAAUUCCUCUUACUUAAAUUUGCAGACACUGAAUAUAGUGGCAGAGUUUCCAGAAAGAUUUAGAGUUGUGGGGCUUGCAGCUGGUUCAAAUGUUACUCUUCUUGCUGAACAGGUAACAAUUACCUUACUCCAAACAUGUAAUAAAACUUAUCUUAUAAGAAUGAAUGUAUAAAUUAUUCCUACACUUUUUAUUACAUUUCCAUAAGCUAUUUUCAACUUAUUUCUAUCAGCUCUUAAGGAUGGCUUAGGUUCAACAGAUUGUUUUUUAGCAUGUAUUUGUUCCAUCUUCCACUUUGCAUUUCUUCAUAAUCUGUGAAUAAUCUAAUGAAUCAAUACUAGGAUAAGAAAAGGAUUUAUAUGUUGUUAAAAAACCAAAGUUACCUAUAUGGUUGAUUUCUCUCUAUGAAGCACUAAUACAAGCACAAAUAUCGAUCAUGAUACUAAAACGUCAACAUAAGUAAUCAGUUGAGAAAAUGAAAUAACUCGAUGUAAUGUGUCAGUGUCGUGUUGGACACUGACACAUGUUGGAUACCAUACAUAUUUUUAAUCUAAGGUGUUGGUACUACAUCGGUUUCGUGUAUAUCUCAUUUUCCUAGUUUUUAAUAUUGUGCAGGUAAGGAUAUUUAAGCCUGAGUUAGUAGCUCUUAGAGAUGAGUCUAAAAUCGAUGAGCUCAAAGAGGCUUUGGCUGGUAUUGAUCACAAACCUGAAAUCAUCCCUGGGGAGCAAGGAGUCAUUGAGGUGAAAAUUUUCAUCUGUUUCAUAUUAUAUAUGAUUAGCUUAUAGACCCACCGUUGUUUUUUCCUUUUCUGAGCAGUAUUAAUUUUUUCUUUCAGGUUGCUCGUCACCCUGAUGCCGCCACAGUAGUUACAGGAAUAGUUGGUUGUGCAGGAUUGAAGGUAAACUUCAGAUCAUAUUUAACCAAUAUGGCUAAGUCUAGAAAAACUUUUGCUACAACUUUAUGUAACACAACUGUAUUUACAAUUACAAUGUCAUUCUCAAGCUAGAUAAUAAUCGUGUGAUGCUAAUCAAGGUAUAUAUGUUCAUGACUUCAUGCUCAUAGUGGUUUAUGUAACAUAUUUAUAUGAUACAAGAGGUUAAAACUCUAGAACUAAAAAAAGUUUAUUGGAUAUAACUUAGCAUAAUGAUGCAUCCUAUUGUUAUUAUUAUUUUCCACAGCCAACAGUGGCGGCGAUUGAAGCAGGGAAAGACAUAGCAUUAGCUAACAAAGAGACAAUGAUUGCUGGAGGCGCUUUUGUUCUUCCUCUUGCUCACAAGAAUAACAUCAAAAUUCUUCCGGCAGAUUCAGAACAUUCUGCCAUUUUUCAGGUAUUCUAAGUCCAUCAUCAUUUGCAUAAACUCUUUCUGCUGAUAAUUGAUCACUGAUGCUUAUGGAAUUUCCUCUACACAGUGUAUCCAAGGGUUGCCAAAGGGUGCACUUAGGAAAAUCCAAUUAACUGGUUCUGGAGGUGCUUUCAGGUAUGAAAACGUAGUUCAAAAAGAGUAUUGAAAAUAUACAACAGGAAGCUUCUAGAAUCUACAUAGCUGACCUGAAUUAUCAAUCGACAAAUGCUAAUAUGGUCGGUAUCAUUGACAGAGAGUGGCCUGCUGAAAAGAUGAAAGACAUUAAGCUUAAGGAUGCAUUAAAGCAUCCCAUUUGGAGUUUGGGAAGAAAGAUAACAAUUGAUUCUGCUACCCUUUUCAAUAAGGUAACUUAGUUCAUGCUACAAUAAUUUUUUUUCGAUGAAAAGUAUUUUCUUGCAAAAUCUAUUUAAUGAUAUGUUCUUAGUUAUAUAAAAUGUUUUGUUUUUGUUUUUCCUUCUUGGCAGGGUUUAGAAGUAAUUGAAGCACAUUACUUGUUUGGAGCAGAAUAUGAUGAUAUUGAGAUUGUUAUUCAUCCACAAUCUAUCAUACAUUCAUUAGUUGAAACACAGGUUUAACCUUUUUUACAAUAUAAUGUGUUCAAUGUUGUUACUUAAUAUACAAAGUUAAUAUACAGAUUUAUUACAAAAUGAUAUUUUUGUUGUUGUUAUUUGCAGGAUUCUUCUGUUAUUGCACAGUUGGGAUUACCUGACAUGCGGUUGCCACUCCUUUAUACUUUGUCAUGGCCAGAAAGAGUCUAUUGUUCUGAAAUUACUUGGCCUCGCCUUGAUCUUACCAAGUACAAUCGAUUCUCCUUGUUUCAUAUUUAUACUAUAUCGUAGAUGGCUUAAAUCACUGAGAAACAAUAGGAAUAAUCGUAGCUAGAUUGACUUAUUUGAGCUUAUCUGCUGACAUAUGCACUUGUAAGACUGUUUGAGAGUGGCAUACUUUUGCAAAUAUUUCAACUUAUUCAAAGUUUUAUUUAAAUAUAUUCUGAUGGAUCAGGUAUGGUACUCUAACAUUUCAAGCUCCAGACACUAAGAAGUUUCCAUCAGUGAAUCUUUGCUAUGCUGCCGGACGUGCUGGAGGCACCAUGACCGGAGUUCUUAGUGCUGCAAACGAGAUAGCUGUCGAACUGUUUGUUGCAGAAAAGUAAGUAUAAUCUUAGUUACUUUCCAUAGCAAUUCUGCGUUGAGAAUUCUACUGCAUUUUUGUUGAUUGAACAUCUUAGUUACUUUCUAUUUUUCUCUCAUCAGGAUAAGCUAUCUAGAUAUUUUCAAGAUUGCAGAGCUAACAUGUAAUGAACAUCAAAAAGAAUUGGUAACAUCUCCAACACUUGAAGAAAUUCUUCACUAUGAUCAAUGGGCAAGACAAUAUGCUGCUGGUUUGCAAAAAGCUUUAAGUGUUUGAAUCUAAUGUAGCUGUGUGGUCAAUUGUUGGCAACCCACCACUAGCAUAUUUUGUUUAUGUUCAUAAAUUUUGUUUGUAUAAAAUGUAAAGGGUAGCAGUAUAUAUGUGUUAAAAAGGGUUUCAAUAAAAGCUCUUAAGUUAAAGCAUACUAUCAUAUUUUGAGAUGAUAAUGUCAUCCAAUAUGUUGUUCUUCCACUUGAAGAUGUUAUAAAUUUCUCUUGAGAAGAAUUAUAUGAAAUUGUUGACAGAAUGAAUUUGAACAAACAAGUGUCUGGUUAGAUUGACGGUGAAUUUCACAAAAAAAGGGUUUCCGUUAAUGCUUAUGAUUAAUAUAUUUUUAAUUUUAAGAAUAUUAGUAUAACAUAUAUUGAAUUGGCAUAAUUUGUAUAAACCCUCUAAAAUCCUGCUCCCAAAUGUGAGAUUUUGUACUAUGAAGAAAAAUAAAUCCUCCAAAGUCAUUCCCUCUCAAAAAAAUUUAUUUCUUUCACUUGCUCAUUUCUUUUUUCCAAAACCCUCUCAUCCCUUCCCCUCCAAACUCGCAAACAAAGCUUAUUGGAAAUACUGCAGUAGCUAAAAUCACUAAUUACCACGGUCGAAAAUCAAUAGUGGUACACUUUUACUAGAAGGAAAUGUCCAGAAAUCACAAUGCAGAAACAGUUGAAAUUUCUAGACAUAUUGUGGAAAGUUAUGAAUAAGGAUGGACCUAUAAAGUAAUAAAUAUGUAAAAUCCCAUAACAAUGAUUCUCCAACACACAUUAGGUCAAUAGAUUUGCUUAUAAAUGGUCAUCAUCUGAGUUAUACAACAUGAGUUCAAAAUCUAAAUUAUUGCUAUAGAGAAGAAGACUAUAAAGGAGAAGCAACAUAUAAGUAAAAGAAUUAUCACACUUAAUAUAACCAUCAAUUCAAAACUGGUAGAAGCUAUGGUGAUCCAUUCGAUCACUCAAUUUCCAUGGCAGUCAAACAUUUGCAAACACAUCAACAAAACCUUUACAUUACACAAAACAAUCAAAACAAGUACCAACCUUUGUAAAUUAAAUAGGGAAAUUUUCUGAGGACCGACUAAUACAAGAGUCUGCCAUCAUGUAAAUCUUGACAAAGUGACUAACCCCCUGAAUUUCUCUGAGGUGGUUUAUAGUAUUUGAUGAUCAAAUAAAAAGUGAGAAGACAAAACUUGGUGUAAGCCUGUGUCACCAAAACAAAACUUGGUGGAUUCUUUUUUACUUGACACUCCGGUUCUCAGAAAAAGGAGUCAUGGUAAUUCAGAGAUUAAUCGGGAGGUAAGUAGAAUUGGACUUCAAAAUGUAAUGAUUUUAUUUGUGAAAAGAUGCCUUCUGACUUUAUCGAUGUGUGUGUAGACUGCUGCAUUGGUGGUUAUAAAACCUUCAAAAAUUGCAGAGAACGAAUGCAAUAAAUCAUUGCAAAUGUGAUCCAAUCCAAGAAGAAUUAUAAUCACCCUCCAGAAGAUGUAGCAUUUGCAAUGCUUUGCAAGAAUAAGAUCCUAGAAGCAAUGUCAGUUGAAAAGCAUCCCAACACAGCAAUGGUAGCUGUACUGCUUCCAAACUUUUCAAUUCCCCUAGAAAUCAUGCAUGUGUGACUUGCCUCUACAACUACUAUUACAUUUCCACCUAAAAGAGGUGAUAUGGUUUCUGCUAUUUGCUUUGUAAGCCUUUCCUGAACUUGGAGCUUGAAACCAUAAAAAUGUACUAUCGACUGUAAGAGUGAUUUUCCAAUCGGACUGAAUCCUUCUGAAAGGAAAUAUCCUAUGUGAACAACGCCGUGAAAUGGAAGUAUAUGAUGCUCACAUUGUGACCAAAACGGCAAGUUCAACUCGGUGUAUAUUUGUUUAUCAUUAUUUACCACCUCGCCAGCAGCAUUCAAAGGUUUUAUCCCGCCACAAACGGAGCCAUUCAGCUUCACAUCCAUGUCAAUGCUUUGGAAGUUCAACAGCCAUUUCACGAAACGAUUAGGAGUCCCUGCAAGCUCCUUCCUAACCGAAUCUUCUCCCAAAGAUUUUAGAAUUGAAAACACUGCGGUGACCAUUGCCGGAUUGAUCGAUCCCGUUUUGGAGGAAACUUUGGUGGAGAGAGAUGGACACCAGCAUUGGUCGGGCAAUCCCUGAGCAUGAAUAUUUUCCAUAUCAAUGCCUCUAGAUUUAAUAAGAUAAAAGAAAUCAGCCCAUACGUCUGCGUUUUUGUUUUCAAAGACGCCAGAACCUGACGAAACAUGUAUCUUCGCCCCACCUUUUAGGCUUGAUUCUAGAAAGAUUGUUUCUAUGUCAGGAAAGUGAAUAUGUGUACACUGAAGUACGACGGCAACCCCUGCUGGUUGAAUUCCCUGUUGUAAAGCUGAACACACUUCGUCUGCCAGACGCUGAGGCUCUUGAAGUCGUUUAGCAAAUACUUCGGCGACACGAGAGAGCUUGCUUAAUCCAACAACUCUUUGGCCAGAAGGGACGUAACCGACAUGACAUUUGACUUGGAAAGGUAGCAAACAAGAUUCACAGUAGGAAUAGAGGUCAAUGUCUCGGACAAUCACAAGUCCGCCUGCACCACCAGCAUGACCGAUUUUAUUAUUAUCUAUGCCAGCUUCAGGAAAUAAAGCACCUUCAACAAUGUCCUUCACUUUUUGUCUAUAACCUGGAAAAGGAUCAAUUCCUUCAAGAUUAGCAACAAUAGUAUGCAAGAAACUAUGUGAAUCAAACAUGCAAAACAAGAGAGCAAAUUAUUGGGCUAAUAUGUUAGGAAAAAAACAUAGAAACAGAAACAAGAGAAAGAAAUCGGAUGCUAAACUAUUCCUCUUUCUAUCUCACUUAAAUACAUCGAUGGAACUGCUCACUUAUCAUUAAGAGCCAAUACUCAACACAAGGUACAAAAAGAAAAUGCAUCUACAAACAGCCUUGAUUGGAUUGAACUACCCUGUUGAUCGAAUAUUUUUGUAAAGAAGAACAAAUGACUAGUUUCCUCAGAACAUCUCUCCAUGCAAUAAUCACAUACUAUAAUUAUCCAAUAAAUCACACAAAUUUCCUUGACUACAAUCAUUUUUUUCGUCUCAAUUGAAAAUAUUCAAACUUCCCUAAAAAGGUUGAAAGAUUAAUAAGCAGUACCUAUAUCCAUCCCAUCCCACUAACAUGAACAACUUCCUAUCCAAUUUAGAUAUUGAACCAUACACAAUUAUAUUCUGCAGGAAAGUUGAAAAACUAUACAACAUCAACCAAGCCUUAUCCCACUAAGUGGGGUCAGCUCCAUGGAACAAACAACCAUAAUGUUCUAUCAUAUACUAUAUUUCUGUCCAACUCAUUAAUCUCUAGAUAAAGUUGAAAAAGUAUAACUCCCAUAAAAAAUAAACAUCAAUGCUUAAUUCAAAACAUUACAAUCCAACCACUUGAAAGAAAUCUUAUACCAAACUUUUAAACAACUAAUAUACUAAGUUGUUAACUAAACAUAUCUCAUAAGAGAAACAUCAACAAAACUACAAUGAUUCAAAUCAAAUUCACUACAAACUUCAAAAGACCAAACAAAAAUCACCUCUAGUUCCUUCACGUAGAGCCUUUGCAACACGAUGUGGUGUCUUCCUAAGACCUUCCCUAUUAAUAUCUUCACCAAGACCCAACAAAAGAAUCUUCACAGCAUCUUCAAUAGCAACUGUAUUAGCCUCAUCUUCAACCUCACUACACCCAAACAAACUCACUCCAUUUUCAAGCUCACCAUUGUAACACACCUCAUCAAAACACCCCAUUGAAAUCACACCCAAAAAAUAGCAAAAUCAAGAUUGACCCAGAUUUGCUGAAAAUAUCAAACUUUCCUAUAAAGGGUCCAAAAGGGUGAUUAAAAAAAUUCUCAGAACAACGUAGAAUGAAUCAAAAACACGAACACACGUUAAUCACAUAUUAAAACAACAUAACAAACAUUGGAAUAAGAAUAAGGUUGAUGUUGGAAUGUGUGGAUCCUAAGGUUUCUCUAAUGUAAUCUAAUAAUCAGAAUAAUAGUAAAAGAGGACCCCAGAAUCCAAAAAAGAAAAUGAUUAUGGCAUUUGUGGGGAGGAUGUUAUUGUCGGCCACAUAGAUAUCUCUAUGCAUCACUUAUUUUCCAACACUAAAAUGUCCUCAUAAUAAUUUUGACAUCCAAAAGAGGGACGUAAAUGUUUAAAAAAAGUUUAAUCAGAAGAGGGCCAAUCGCACCGUCUACUAACAAAAAUACAAUUGAAUAUAUAAUUUGCUAAACUCGUUCAUUAUAGUUAACAAAAGUCCGUAGUCUUGUACCAAAAAUAAAAUAAAAAAUAAAAUGCAUUUAGGAUAAUCUAGAUCGUCUGAUUUUGAUCGGACAAUUCAAAAAAUAUGUAGAUUUAUUUAUUUUAUAUUUUAAAAUAUUCAAAUUGAAAUCAGACUGUUCAAUCAAGAUAGAAUGGCUCCCGAUCUUCAAUUAUGUGAUUGUGGGUUCUUGCUGACAACAUAGAAAUUGAAAUCAAGAAUCACACGUUAGAGAGUAAAAUGUGAUUUAUCAUUAUUCAUCAAGAGAUAGAAAUGCAUUAGUAAUAUAGAUAAAAUGAAAUUGAAUGUUGAAAGAUCAUACAUUAGUUUCUCAUGUGUAAAUUGUAGAGAACCCAUUUCUCACACAAUUGAAGCCAAAUAAUAGCCAUGUAUGGAUUAGUCCAACACAUAAUUAUUUGCACAUUUAUGAUUUAAAUAUGAAAUAUGGACAAUUAAGUUCAGUUCAAAAUACAAAUAAUUUUGUUCGGUUCAGUUAUUUUAAAUUUAACAAACAUUUCAGUUCGGUUCAGUUUUCAUCCUGAAAUGAACCAUGCCCAUCCCUAGCUACCAUAAUAUGGUAUUCAACCUUCACAUUAGAUAAAGCAAUUGGUGCAAGCGGUGGAAGGCAAGGUGUCUCUCAACUCCUCUGAUAUGUGGAAGUGGAACCUUGACUCGUCGGGCGUCUACUCGGUUAAGUCGGCUUAUGGUCAGCUCUCUCGUGUCCUUUCAUAUGAUAACUCUCUUAAUCAGUCUUUGGUCUUAUCUUUAUCCAAGGUUUGGAAGUCAAAAUUUCCUAGUAAGGUGGCUACCUUCGCUUGGAAGCUUCUUCAGGAUAGGGUGCCUACUCGCCUCAAUCUUCUUAGGAGAAGGAUCUUAGUGGAUCAGGGUAGUGCGUUGUGUGCUUUUUGUGGGGUGUUUGAAGAGUCGACGACUCACCUUUUUUUUUAGUGUAUCAUUGUUACCCCUAUUUGGUAUUCCAUAGCUAGGUGGUUGGGAUGGGAUUUAGUUCCUCAUUCGUCUAUUUUAGGCCAUUUUUAGGGUUUCCUUAGUUUGGGGUAUAAUAAUAGAGUUGGUCGAGGUUUACUUUUAGUUUGGCUUGCUAUUGUGUGGUCUUUCUAGAACUUCCGUAAUGAUUUGGUCUUUGCUGGAGGGACUCAUUAUGUCGAGUUGAUUGUGGAUCGGGUGAAGUUCGUCUCUUGGAAGUGGUUCCAAGCUAAGAGCUUUGCGUGUCUCUGCUCCUUAUACGAGUGAGAGGUGCAACCUAUCAUGUGCUGGUAUCAAUAGGGUCUGAGGUGUUGUGUGUGCGGCGCGGUGGCUUUGUGGGGUGUUUUGGCUGGUGGCCCCUGCUCGGUUUUGCUUGGCAGCUUGUUUUUCCUUGAGGGGCUGGUUGUUGUGUUUAGGGGGCCGAUUUUUGUGGUGUCUUUUUGGGGUUUUGUUUUGUGCUCUCUUUUUUCGCAUUUUUACUCGUGUUAUUGUGCCUUUUGGUUGUAUCCCGUGCACCACUGGUGCUGGAUUUCUGUUUGUCUUUAUCUGAUUCUUUUUGUACUUUCAAGUUGUUUCCCAUGUUUUUGCCAUUCAAAAAAAUAAAUAAAUAAAACAAUGGUGUUUUUUUUCUUUUCCAUGAAAUAAUAUUUCCUUUUAUAAGAACACAAUAUCUGGAAAUGAACUCCUAUCCAUUAUAAGAUCAAGUGCCAAAUGCCAAAGCAUUACCGUCUAACAAGAUUAAUUACAAAGAGGAAUGGUUCGUGCAAUUUCAGAGAAAUUUUUUGUCAUGUCUUUUGGCAUUUUCUCAAGUUUUAUGAAGCCUGUUUGGAUUGACUUAUAUUAAUGUUUAUGCAAAACAAUUUAUUAAAUAAAUAAAUUUUUAUGUAUAAUUUAUAAGUUUGUUAAUGUAGUAUAUGAAAAAAACUCAUGAACAUACAAUGUUCGUUAGUGAAAACUUGUAAAUUAACAUAAAAACUUCUUUAAUUGUAUAAACUAUUUUUCAUAAGCAUAAAUUAAGCUCAAUCCAAACGGUACAUGAUUUUAUGAAGAAAAAAAAAAAGAAUUAAUAAUUUUAUAAGAACUUAAAUAAAAAAUUGAGAUUCAUAAAAAAAAAAUAAAAAAUUGAGAUUCAUAAAAAAAAUAAAAUAAAAUUGAUAUGCUAUUUUCUUUAAAAGAAAAAAUUAGUUAUUUUGGGUUAAUAAUUAUUUCAUAAAUGAGAAUUGAUGUUCCCACAUUUGAUAAGGCUAUGGCACACGAGUAAUUUACGUUUUUGCCCCCUCGACAGUUAAUUACUGAUGAAUUAGAACUUCGGCUGCAGUUAACUGCUGAGGAAAACCUCGGGAAUUAACUGCCGAUGAACUUAAAACUUGAAAUUAAAUAAGGAAAUACACUAAGUUUUUCCUUAAUUAAAUUUAAUUCUUUAAUAAGGAAAUAUUUGUAAUUAUUUGUAAUUAAUUUCAUUGAUGUCUAUCAUUAUUCAAGGUAAUAAAAAAUAUUCUUUUUUUAAAAGGUAAUAAAAAAAUAUUCUUAAUCUUAACCAAUAUAUAUUCUUAAUAUUUAUUUUUUUUCUUAAUAUUUAUUCUUAAUAGUGCUAAGAUUUAACUCAUAAAAUUAAAUGUAAAUUAGAUUCAAUUUUCUUAAUAUUUAUUCUUAAUAGUGCUAAGUUUUAUAGGAAGGAAGAUGUAAAAACAAUUUUAUUGGCUAUUGGUUAUGGAAAAAAUGAAAGAGAGAGAAAAUUGAAUGUAAUUUGCAUUUUAUUUUAUGAGUCAAAUCUUAGGACUAUUAAGAAUAAAUAUUAAAAAAAUUAAAUAUAAUUUGCAUUUAAUUUUAUGAGUCAAAUCUUAGCACUAUUAAGAAUAAAUAUUAAGAAGAAAAAAAAAAAUUCUAGGAGAAGAAGCCAAGAUAUAAUGGUAUUUUGUUUAUAAUAAACACAAUUAAUUUAGAAACAUGCAAGUGUACGUGUAUGUAAAAUCAACAAAUCAUCAAACACAUUUCAUAUUCUAGGAGAAGAAGCAUCCACGAGCGUCUGAAAUCAUCAACACUGUUCAACUAUGUUUCGAUUAUCUCUUUUUUAAAGCUUCAACAAAACAGUAUAAUAAAAAAGGUAUGAAAUAGUUAAAGUGCCGAAGAAGUUUUUUUUUUUUUCUUCUCUUUUUUCGUCGGCAGUUAACUGCAACCGGUUCUUUAACUUCGAUAGUUAACUGCCGCAUGGGUAUUUUCGUCUUUUAUAUGUGUUUUUCACCUUAUGUGUCGACAACAAUUCUCUUAAUAAAUAAACGGUUAAACUAUUAACCCAAAAUAAAAUUAAAAAGGUAAUUUCUACGGUACACUCAACAAAAUUGAGUGCAUCGGUACACCUACAUAUUAAAUUAAUAGUUUAAUGAGUUACUUUUUAAAAAAAAAUAUAUUUUCUAUCAGUUAUAAUUAUAAUAAUUAUAUUUUAUUUCUCAAAAGUGUCCGCAGAUCAAAAUUCAAUUUUUUUUAUUUUUAUUACUCAUAAUAUAGUGAAUAUUGAUUAUUUUUUCGAUAAAAUUUUAAAAAAAUUGUAUGAUUCUUAAAAAAAAUGAAAUGAUGUUUUUUCUUAUGAAAUAAUAUUUUCUAAAAUAUAAAAGUCAACAAAUAUCUCUUUAUUACAUAAAAAUAAUCAUUAACGUAUUGAUUUAUGAAAUAGGUGUCUACCUUAGAUACUUCCGAUUAAAAAAAAAAAAAAAAAAACACUUUCUUAUUCGAAUCUUGAAUGGCUUCUUCUUCUUCUUCCCAUGGAUGCUACCGCCAUCAUCAUCACCACUGCCAACACUGUCCCCUUCGCCAUCAUUGCCACCACUGCCCACUCCACAACAACAACCCCAACCCUCCUCACUUCUCGCAAUUCAAUUUCACUUCUCCUCAUCUUCUUCCUCAAACUCAUUCUCAAAAUAUCUUUCCUCUCAAUCAACCUAUCAAUGCUUCUGCUGCUCAGUAAGUUCCUUUCAUUCUUCUCUUGUUGGUAUUAAUUAGCGUUUUUUAUUUUGAUUCAGUCUCUGCAAAUUCUAGAAAUUGAUUUUUUAGUCCUGAUGUAGGCACUACGUAUGAUUUUAGGGAUUAAAAUCAUAUUUAAACCUUAAUUUUAUGAAUUUAACUAGUAUACUCUGGCUGUGUACUAUUAUUUUACACAUGCAGUUAAUAAAUAUGAAUACACAUGAGAUGACAUAUUAAUUGAACUCUAAUUCUGUUAUCAUUAUAGUAACACAUGGUUGUAGUUUUGAUUGAAAAAUAUUACAUGACAUUGAAAAGAGGGUAAACAAAAGUUUUGAUAAGUGAUUAAGUGGAUGUUUUGGUUAGCGGUGAGAUCGUCAGACUCACGGUGAACCAGAUAGAUUUUUGCAAAAGCUACACUUUGUAGCUUCAAUAAAAUCAUGGUGUCACUGUGAUUUUGUCUGUCUCGCCGGCACCGCUCAUCCAACCAUAUAUUUCAAGAUACUAUGUCUACACAGCAUUCAAAGAUAUUUCAAGUAGGUAGAAGUGCUAACAUUGUGCCAUACAUUUUCUGAAAUUGAAUUGAAGUUGAGAAGAUGCUACAACUUUAUGGUUCGUGAAAAAUCAUGUAGUUUCUACGUAUGACCAAAGUUAGAGAAAAAAACAAAUAGUUUGAAACUUUAGAUAUCUAGCGAUGUCAACCGCAAAUCGUUGGUAAUAGAGUCUGUUCAAAUUACGCUACUUUUGUAGUGCUACAUACAUAACCACUAUUUGACCACACUUUGUACUAUAUAGAGAAUUGCAGAACAAUAGUCAGCGGUUUUUUCAAUUUCUGCUACGCUAUAGCCGCUCUUUGACAGCACUGUCAAUAAAUUCAGAAAGUUUAGUUUAAAUCUUACUGAAACAAAUUGAAGUUCAACAGUGUAGGACUAGGAUGCUUAUACUAUAUUCAGAAUUGAAAGAUAUUUCAAGUAACUGGAAAUUCUAACAUUGUGCAACAAAUUUUAUGAAAUUGAGUUGAAGUUCCCAUGACAGUAGUAAAUAAGAUGCUAGAAGUUUGGUGAAAAAUUAUGUAGAUUGUAUGAUCAAAGGUAAAAAAGAAAACAAAUAACUUUGGAACUUUAGGUAACCAGUGUUGUCAAUUGCAGAUUGCAAAAAGUAGCGGUUUGUUCAAAUUCCGCUAAUUUUAUAGUGCUAAUGAGCUGCUAUAGCCGCUAUUUGACAACAAUUUGUGGUAAAUAGCGUAUUGUGGAACAAUAUCAAUUUGUUCAGAUUCUGCUACGUUAUAGCCGCUAUUUGAAAACAAUGUCUAGAACUUAAAAAAUUUAAGUUUAAACCUUACUGAAACUAAUUGAAGUUCCACAGAUGGUUUUGUAUCCCCAAAAUAGACUAGGGAAAUAAACAAAUGCCACUAAAUGCAAUGCUUGUAAGUUUAGAAAAAUAUAUAGAAUCUGAAUUUAACCAUUGAUAGUAGAUUGUGAUUUCCACCAUGAAUUAAGGGAACGGGAAUGGAACACUAAAUUUUUAAAAGCAAUUUGUUUGGUUUGAGUGAUUAUGAAAGAAACUGCAUAUAAAUGUAUUUAGGAUUAUGUCGAUUAUAUGCCUCAACAAGAGUUCCCUUAUCUUUAUCUCAAACAAAGGAUAUACUGACAUUUCCUCAAAGGUUUUUCCUUUGAUAACUGGCCUGGUUAGUUUGAUUUUCUACUAUUGCUCUAUGUGCCAUUAUUUCCUGUUGCAUUUCAUUAGAUGCUGGAUAUUGUGCAGUCCUAGUUAGCCUAGUUUCUUACUGAACAUCUCCUAAUGUGCAUGGUUCGAUCUAUGUCAUUAAGAUUCGAUUAAGUUUUACAUUUGCUGCCGACUCUCUAACACAGCCCUCUUGUAAUCCUAUUAUCUGGGUUUGGGUAGCAAGGCUAACUAUAAGAGAAACUGUUAAGAAAGACCUAGAGAUUAAUGAGUAGGAUGGAGAUAUGAUAUGUGAUAGAAUAUUAUGGUGUCCAUUGAUCCAUGUAGCCGAUCCUACUUAAUGAGAUAAGCUUAAUUGUUGUUGCAUGGUUUGAUGUGUUGCUGGAUGUACUUUAUUAUAAUUAGAAACCUGUCACAUUGAUUGAGUCAUAGGUUUCAGUAAGACUAAUUCAUCCAUCCUCUUUAUUUAUUGUAUAUGAAUGUAAUCGAUCUUAUGACGCUUUUGGAUGACAUCAGAAUUUCACAAGAGCAGGAGCAUAUUGAGCUAGACGGUGACGAAGAGGAUGAUGAACCGAUUUUUGUUCUCACCGAUGAAUGGAGAGAGUUCUUUGCGAAAUCUGAAGCUAAAAGGAAACUAGGUAACUCUCGUCAUACAUACUUCAUUCAUACUACAUACAGCCACAUAAUGCUUUUAUUUGUGCUAAAUUGUAAUUUUUUAUUCUCAACUGAUCUUACUGUUGAAAAAUUGAGCAUGUCAUAUACUGUUUGACUAUGAGUCUGUUUGGAUUGGUUUAUUUGAACUUAUGUAUAGGCAAAAACACUGGCAAGACUGUUUGUGGAGCUAUGGAAGCAGUUUAUGAUAUGUCAAAAGCUGUUUUAGGAUAGCUUAUAUGAAAAUAGUUUGAUUUUGUUUUAUAUUUUCUUAUAGAAAUAGCUUAUACACAAGCACUUAUAUGAUAAACACUUAUGCUAUAAACAUUUAAUCAAGUUGUCUAUCAAAACAUGGCUUACUUAGAUUCGUCCAAUCUGCUUUUAAGCCAAUUCCGCUGACACACAGAAAACAUAAUCAGUGUGAUAUAUCUGAGUUUGAAUGAUCACAAUAAGAAGUUUAGGAAAAAGGAAAUUCUCAAUUACCUAACUCCUAAUUUUGAUAUUUAUUUUUGUACAAAAUCAUACAGAGAAGAAGCAGGCUAAGAAAGCAAAAAAGUAAAAGCAGAGAGGAGUGUUUGUUGGCGAAUUCUUUAUGGGUAUCAAGAAGAGGUUGUUCAAGGUUAUUGACGACAAUCCUGCUAUCGAGAACGUUAUGUGCUUGCCAUGUAUGACAACUCUUGCCCCUUGUCUGCACAUUUUAAAAGGAUGAUGAAUUACUUACUAAUACAUCUGUACUUAUACAGAUCGUCUUUUGUUCUAUAAAAAAUGUUGUCUGUAUAAAUUUUAUAAACUCAAGACUAAUUCAUAUUAUGACUUUUUAAUGUUCUUAUCCUUGUAUUUUCCGAUAGUUACUAGAGAAAAUGGCGUUGAAAGAAAAAGUUGAAUAAAUUGCGCUUGCAAUGGGCAUUGAAAAGUUCUAAAGAAUUUGAAAUGCUAAGAAUUUGAGCUGUAUUAAUUUAAUGCACUUUUGCAAAAUUUAUUUUUUGGAAAGUGUUCAAUGAAAUUAGUAUUUUUAAGGAAAUUGAACCAAAUACAUCAAUUUUAUCUGACUAAUUUUUUCUUAUAAUAAUUUUGGACGGAGGUAUCUAUGUAAACUCGUGUAUUUAGGUAAUGACGGAUGAUAUGAUUUUCGGUUUUAAUUUGGUAGGAAAACAUGACUUUAUAAUAUCUAUAAUAUCCCUGUAAGCUUCAUAUUUUAAUUUGAUAAUCUCCAUGUAUGAUAUACUUAUAUCACAAUUUAAAGCUCUUUGUCCCUUUUAAAAAAAUGAGUUAUGUAUAGAUCAAACCACCAUCAUCCACCUACAAACUCAACAUUGUCUAGCCAAUUGAACUAUACCUAUUAAGUUGAGAAAAUUUUAUUUAUUCAAAAUUUACUUUGAUAUAUAAACUUAAAAUAUAAAUUAUCAGAUGAAAUUUGUGCAACACAAUCUUUGUUCUAAAUGUUUUCAACAAAAACGGUUCAAUGCAUGGUUCUCAUGAACUAGAUAUCAAAUUUCACUUAAGAUAUAGAUUUGAUGUGUCGGGAAUGGAAGACCAUAAAAUGUGUUGACAAUGACUAAUCUCUAUGUGAAACCAAAUUAUUGGUUGUUGAAAUAAUAUCGAGCUCCUUAACAAAUAAAUAACUUUGAACCAAAUGACUAAGAUAUUUUGUUUUUCUUUUUUUGGUAAAAACACAAAUUGUGUACGGAAAAUGCUGCAGCACACAUAUGUGGAAAACACUUGGGUGACAUUGAGUGUCAUGUGAUAUUGGGCAACUACAAUGUCACAAGUGUACAAAAUAACAAAAAUUUCUUGUAAGUGAGAGAGAAGAAAGCCAAAAUUUUUAUUUUGUACACUUGUGUCAUUGUGGUUGGCCAAUGUCACAUGACAUUGGCACCCCAAUGUCACCCAAGUGCUACCCACACAUAUGUGGUCACAAGCUCAAGAAAAUCUUCCAUCUUGCUAUUAUUAGUUGGUAUGGUCAUAUACGUUGCUUCCUGUCUUAAAUUUAAUUCAAUCGGAAAUCAUGUUGUUCCUCAAUACCUAAAAAGUUAUACCUACAAUACGAUAAAUAGUCGUCACUUCUUUAGGUUUAUGUACACGUUGAUAUCAGUGGCAGAUCCAGGAAAUUUAUGGAGUCCGGGCAAAAAAUUAAUCGUAAAUUCACAUGUGCAUAAUAUAUAAACAGUUAUAAAUCAAAAUAUUUUUUUUAUUUUUAUUUUUUUUCCUAAAAAAAAUUGAAUUAAAAGAGGUUUAUCAUUUUGUCAACAAAAGUACAAUUUAAAAUAGGGUUAUUAAUUGAAAUUGACCACAUAAUAUACAUGAAGUCUGAAAAUUUACCCUGUAAUUAAAUAACAUGUAUUUUGACCAUGUAAUUCGAGAUUUUUAUUAUUUAUAACCUGUAAUAUACGCGAAGUCCAAAAAAGAAACCGAGAGAUUGAAUUUUUACAUGAUUUCCUAGAGGCGAGUUAAAAACGUUAAAAUAUGGCUUUAACAAAAAAAAUUAUAAAUUUUCGACAAACGACAAAUUAAUUAUGAAUUUUUAAAGUGUCAAAAGCUCAAAAAACAAAACAACGGAAAUCUCGAUCUAUAAAUAGAAUUUUGAGCUCAUUAUUUGCAGAGAAAUCUAUAAAAAAAUACAUAAAAAGGAUAUGUAAAGUUUCAUAACAUUUCAAAGUCGUUUAAAUUUAUUUUGAUUUUUCAACUAAAACGUGCAAAAUUGAAAUUUUGUUCCGCGUAAGUGUAUACUCACAAGUCAAAUUUAGUUCCCUAAUUUUGUAGGCAUGACUAGAACAUGAUAAGAACCUUCACAAUGAAAUUUUGUAAUUUUUAAACGAGAUAAAAAUUAAUUAUAAAUUGUUUAAGAAAUUCAUAAUUAUGAGGGAAUAAAAAUUCAUAAUUAAUUUAUCCCUGGUCGAAGAAAUUUAAUUUUGUGUAAAGCUAUAUUUUAACGUGCUAAACAUGUAUGAAAAAAAUAGUGAAAAAAUUCAACCCGUAGGUCACAUUUUUAGACUACACGUAUAUUAUAGGAUGGUCAAAAUUAAAUAAGAAGAAAUUCAAGUUACAAUGCUAGAAUAUAUGUUUUGUAUUUUAUUGGGUCACUUUUCAAACAUAAAGUAUAUUACAGGGUCAAUUUGAACAAUUAACCCGUUAAAAUAAUAGAGAUGAACCCGUCAAUAGUGUGCUAAAUAAAAUUCCAAAACCUACUUGCGUGUGACAAUUUUCAGAUUGCCCAAAAUUUUCUUUUUGUAAAUGUGUUAAUGGGCUUUUGGGUUGAGUCUAAUGUGAAAAAAUUAUCGAUCGAGCCCGGGCGACUGUCCCGGAUCGCCAUACGGUAGAACCGCCCCUGGUUGAUAUCGUUACUAAAGUGAAGACUUAGACUUUCACAUAUAAUUCAAACGAGUCAUGUUUCAAACAUGAAGCGUAGAAGUUAACCACAUACCCUAAUUAUCUCUAAUUGAUUAAAGAAAUUAGAAUUAAGUUCACAUGCAAUGGUUCAUACUCGAGCUAGUCAUAAGCUUCCAACUCUAAUCUAUGGUUAAAUCACACAUGUUAGGUAUGUCGCACUUCCUAGUGCGUGAAGACAAUAAAAAAGUAUGAAACAUCUGAAAAUUAAACAUAACUCAUAUCAUAUAACUAAAUAAAAGACUUGCAUUCAACAAAUAAAUAGAAAUUCAUCUUAGAAUCCUAAUCAGUAAAUUUUUAAUUACUCAUGGUAACAAAAAGACAUAAUACAAAAGAAAUGAAAAAUACUCUUGUGACAAAACGGAGGAUGAUUGAGGCUCCCACUUGAUGCUCAUAACGAUUGCCCUCCUCUUAAACUACCAACUUCUGAAUGAAUGUUAUUGUGCGGAAGACCCUCUAUUUAUAAGCAUAUUGUAUAGUGUUGCCACAUUGAUUAAUAAGAUAUGACACAUAAUGUAUUUAAUUCAUUAAUAGUGUGUCAACACAUCAUUGAAUGUAUCUAUAAUAUUUUUUUAUUUUUUUAUAUUGACAUUGUAUAUAAAUUAAACUCUAAGAGUUUAGGGUCUAGUUACAAACAUACUAUGUGAUUUAGAUCUCUCGUUGAAGAAGAGAAAUGGAAAGAAUUAAGAAAGAGGAAGAAUAUGGAUUUUAGUUUAGGGAAUUUAAUAAAUAUUUUCAGGGACAAAAUUGUCUCCAAAUAUUAUUAUUGUGGGUCCUAAAUGUCCCUGAAUAGUUUGAAAUAGGUGGAAUAUCGUAUAAACUUGUAACAUUUUUUAUUUUUUUGGUACAAUGAUUGUAACAUAUUUAAAAUAAAAAUAACGUAUCCAAUAUUUUUUGUAUGGGAUCUAAAAGUUGAUGUUUAUUUUCUCAAGUUCAACCUGGAUUUCGUGUUUUUUUUUCUUUUCAAAAUGAAUAUGUCCACGCUUUACUAUAUUUUUCCAAAAGAAAGACUAGGUGUGUACUAUUUAAGACCAAAAACAACAUAAUUUUAAUGCAAACCUCAUAUAAUGCAAUAGAGAAAUGAUAUUUGUACAACCAAUUUGUAAUAAUUUUUUAACAACUUUCUCUCUCAUACUCAUAUUAUCCUCUUAUUCUCUUUCUUCCUUUUUCUCUCUCCAAUAUUUUUAACCAAUGAAAAGAGAGAGAAAAUAAAUUGUCACCAAAAGUUAUCUCAAAUGGUUGUUAAAAUAUCACUACUCAAUGAAAUACCACAUUCAAUGAUCUUAUAAAACUUCUAUGUAUGGUGGUUGAUGAAAAGGAGUGGUAACGAUCCAUGUCUGCCCUACCUUAGGUUCUCUCUUAAUAUUGACCACAUAUGACUUACUUCACAAAAAUGAAGAUAAUUUGAUACGAUAAAUAAUAAAAAAAGAUAAAAAUGAUUUUACUAAUUGGCCACAUAUUAACUAAUGGCAAAACGUCAUCGUGAGCUUAACUCAGUUGGUAGAAAAAAUGCAUAAUAUAUGUAAGGUUCGGGGUUCAAACCCCGGCCACCACAAAAAAAAAACUAAUGGCAAAGCUACACGAGUCUUUUAUAUUAUUUAUUUUUUUUAUAAUAUUUGGGGGUUUAUCUUUUAAAGUCUGAGAAAUGCUAACGAGUGUUCUAAAGACACUCUUUAACAACCUUAAAUAAUAAGUAUUUUUUAUUUUUUUUUUAUAGAAAUUGAUGAAUUUAAUGCAUCAAAAAUUGAAUUAAUUGAUUUUUUCAAUAAAUAUUUUCUUAAUUAGAAAUCCUUAAAGAAUGUCCUUAAAAAAUAUGAUGAGUUGCCUUGCCACAUAAGAUUAUUAAUAAUAAUUUUAUUCUUACCCAAUUUAUUUUAUCAAAUUCCCCUAGAAAAAGACAACAUUCAUAAUCUUCAUCAUUAUCUUCAUCUUCAAUCUUUGUCAUCGACCUUCAUCACACAAAUCAUAAUCUUCACAAUAAUCUUUUUUGUUGUUGGAUUUUUUUGGGAAAAAGAUGAAGAUUCUUGAUUUUUAUAUAGGUUUGAAAUUUGAGGAAAACGACGAUGAAUAUAAAAAAAAUGAUGUUUUUUUUUUUGGAUUUAUUUUAUUUAAAAAAGAAAAUUAUAUAAGAAUAAUAUUAUUAUUAUUAUUAUUAUUAUUAAUCCUUUGUGAUAAGUGAACUCAUAAUUUUUUGAAUAAUAAAUGUAAAAUAGGAUUAACUUGUAUACUCUUUAAAUAAUAAAUGACUUAAAUGUUUAAAAAAAGAAGAUAAAUAACCUAAGUGUUACAAAUAAAUAUUACUGAUACAAAAUGAUCUAACUUGUAUGCAUUUCAAAUGAUAAAUGUCUUAAAUGUUAAAAAAAGAAGAUAAAUGACCUAAGAUAAAUGUUCUAAGAUAAAGGGGCCAAUACAAUUUUGCCUUAACUAAUUAAAUAUUGGUACAAAAUGGAGAAUAUAAUAAUUUAGAAGUUAUGCACAUAGCUUAUUGCCUUAACUAAUUAUUUUGGUGUGCAAAUGUGACGCUUAUUGCAAGACAAAGAAUACUUACUAAAAUAUAAAAAGACGUUUUUCAUAAUGUUUAAUAUUGGAAAACGUUUUCCAUAUCGUGAACUUCAUGCAUGACUUUUCUACCUACAUAUUCGUUUUCAAUAAUGCUAUAGAAUUCAGAUGCUAUAAAUAGAUGUGAAGUAUUUAUGGCUAAUGCAUCCUCUGAACCCAACAAGUCUCCAUGGAUCUUCCUUCUUUUUUUCCAAUUGUUGCAUCCAUCUUAGCCUUAUUGAUUGUACAACUUCGAUUUAGAUCUAUUAGAUCACCUAAUAGACUUAAAGAAACAAUAUUCAGCAAAAAUCACAACAAAAUACCUGAACCAUGUUUUGCCUUACCUUUCAUAGGCCACCUUCAUCUUCUAAGCACUAAAGAACCCUAUUUUAGAACCUUUUCAACCAUGGCUGAGAAAUAUGGUUCAAUCUUCUCCCUUAGGCUUGGUUGCAACCAAACCUUAGUGGUGAAUAGUAGAGAAAUUGCCAAGGAAUGUCUCACAAAAAAUGACAAAGUUUUUGCCUCAAGACCUAAUGUAGCAGCAGGGAGAUACUUAGGUUACAACAAUGCUAUUUUAGCUCUUGCUCCUUAUGGAGAUUAUUGGCGAUACAUGAGAAAAAUUUCAACUCUUGAGCUUUUAUCAAGUCAUAGGCUUGAAAAGCUAAAGCAUGUUAGAGAUUUUGAGAUAUAUUCUCUAGUAAAAAAUUUGUACACAUUUGUGAAAAAAACAAAUGGUUCAAUUGAAGUACCUAUUAGCAAGUUUUUAGAUCAUAUGACAUUUAAUAUAAUUGUGAAGAUGAUAGCUGGUAAAAGAUUUAGUGGUGAAACAAUAAAUCAAGAAGAUAGUGAGGCAUGGAGAUUAAGAAAUGCAAUUAAAGAUACUACAUAUCUAUGUGGUGUUUUUGUUAUGGCUGAUGCUAUUCCUAGCCUAAGUUGGAUUGAUUUUCAAGGCCAUGUUGGUUUCAUGAAGAGGACUGCUAAGGAAAUGGAUUUCAUUCUUGAUAAGUGGUUGAGUGAACAUUAUAAAAAGAGAGAUGAAGUACAAAGUGGUAAGGAGGAUGAUUUCAUGGAUGUAUUGAUAUCAAUGUUUGAAGAAGAUGAUGAAAUUUGUGGCCACAAACGGGAGACAGUUAUCAAAGCAACAACCUUGGUACGUUUUUCUUCAUGCUUAUAUUAAGUACUAAAAUUUGAAAGUAAUAUGUCCAUCAAUUAUCUUUUUUUGGUGGUGUCCGGGAUUCGAAUAUCAUAUCUUACAUAUAUUAUGUAUUGUCCAUCAAUUAUCUAUCAAUAAUAAAUCAUUUCAAGAGUGAAAACAAUUUCACAAGCAAUUUAUAGUAUUUUUAAAAACCAUAACCUAAUCCAUAGAACUUUUUUUUCUUGACCGAACUAAUCCAAAGAAUUGAAAACCGUACAAAACUGAAUAUUAUUUUAUAUAUAUUUGGAUGUUUUUUUUUUUAAUAGAAACCGUUCAUAUCAUAUCUCAUAUUCCUUCUUAAAAUUUAAACCAAACUAGAAACAUAUAUCAUAAUACUUAUUUUCUUAUUAAUGUGAUAUAUUGCAAUAUGAAUCUAUUACUUGAUGACUUUUUAUUUAUUUAAUAAUACUCAUAGUCUAAUUUAAUCUAUUUUUUUUCUUCUAUUUCACAUAUUUCAAACAUAAUCGAUCAUUGUCAUUCAUUAAUGUUAAUUUUCAGUAUAUUAUAUGUUACAUUUUACACCAAAUAUAGUACUUUACCAUGUUUUUAUAAUAUUCAUAAAAAAUUUACAAUUUUAAUUUAGGUAUCCAAAAAUCGACUCAAAUUAAACUGCAAUGAAUUAUCAAUUUUUUUUAAAGAAGUCGUCCAAAUUGAACCUCGUAUUAUUUUGUCUAUCGAUUGAAUGAUUUUUUGCUUCAAAAUCGAUCUAGACCGACCGCGAAUACCUUAUAUUGAAUUUUGAAGUGCAAGGUCUUGCUCAAGUAACUAACCUUGCAAAUAUUUUUCAUUUGUUAUUUAGGCCUAAAUGAAGUUUUAAUCUCCAUAUGUUAUUUGUUACACGGCUUUAGUCCUUCUAUUUCUAAAUACAAAAAUAUACUUAAUCAGUUUUGAAAGUUUCAAAUUUUUUCACCAUUAAAUAUCAUACUUAUUUUUACUAAUGUAUAUAUCAUGUUAAAUAAAUAUGAGUUGUACACACAGGUUGCAUUCGAGACUUCUAAAUGAUCUAUGUAUACCCAUGCUUUCAUAUACACCUUGAGAGAGAACAAAAAUAGAGAAAACGAUACAAUAGAAAGCGAGAUAUAGAGAAAAUUAGAUGUUACAUGAGUAUCAAGGAACUAUCUGUGAAAAAAACUUCACCUAUAUGAUAAAAUAGUCAAGACCAUAAUUUCCACAUCCAUAUAUAAAUUUGUUUGGCCUAAUAUAUAGAGCUGUCAAAACGGGCGGCCCGGCCCGUUUAGGCCUGGCCCGGCCGGGCCAAGGGAUUUUAAGGGCCGGGCUAAAAAGCCCGGUUUGAAUAUGGGCUGCAAAAAAUGAGCCCGAUCCCGGCCCUAUACAGGCUCCCGGGCUAACGGGCCGGCCCUGGCCCGUAUUUUUUUCUUCCCUUUUCCAUUCUUUUAAGUACGGAACAUACAUAAAUAUGCCGGGCCAGCCCGGGCCCGUAUCAGUCUCUCACACACACAGAUCACAAAAAAAAAAAAAGUUGUAUUUUUUGCGGGCUUCCGGGCAGCCCGAAGCCCGGACGGGCUAGCCCUAACGAGCCAAGGGCUUUUACGGGCCGAGCUAAAAAGCCCUCUUCAAUUUCGGGCUCCAAUUAUUCGGCCCAAGCCCUACAUUUUAUUCGGGCUUUUGGACCGGCCCUUACGGCCCGGCCUAUUUUGACAGCUCUACUAAUAUAAGACUUUGAUUAAAUAUGUCUGUUCUAAAAACUUCACCUAUAUGAUAUAAUUUUUUUUUCUUUUCUGACAAUUAUUUUGCUUGCAGAUUCUUAUCCUUACAGCCUCAGGAAGUACAUCAAUAACAUUAGGAUGGGCUCUUUCCCUACUUAUAAAUCAUCCAAAGGUCUUAAAACAAGCAAAAGAAGAGUUGGACACAAACAUAGGAAAAGACAAAUGGGUCCAAGAAUCUGACAUCAAAAACCUUAAAUAUCUUCAAGCCAUUAUCAAAGAGACACUUCGUUUAUACCCACCAGCACCCUUAACAGGAAUAAGAGAAGCCACUGAUGAUUGCCACGUGGCAGGCUACAAAGUCACCAAAGGCACUCGUUUGUUUAUUAACCUAUGGAAAUUGCAAAGGGACCCACUAGUAUGGUCCAACCCUAAUAAAUUUCAACCUGAGAGGUUUUUCAAUAUUCAUGAUCAAAUUGAUAAUUUUCAGAAUCAAGAAUUUGGAUAUUUGCCAUUUAGUUAUGGAAGAAGGUCAUGUGCUGGUGCAACGUUUGGAAUGCAAGUCUUGCAUUUGACUUUGGCUAGGUUGAUUCAAGGGUUUGAUAUAAACACAAAAGAUGGUGGUCCAGUUGAUAUGAUUGAAGGAGUAGGAUUGGCAUUGCCUAAGGAAAAUCCACUUGAUGUUAUGCUCCAACCACGUCUCCCAUUGGAACUUUAUGAAAGCCUUUGAUAUUUGUAUCAAGUGUCAAAAGAAAAUAUAAAAUAUAGUUUUUUUUUUCUUUUCUGAUAAAAUAUAUUGUUUGAAUAAUAUGAUAUGAGAUGGGAGCUCAUGAAUAAUCAUAUCUCUAGAAAUAUACAAUAAUGUAAUGUACUUUUUAUUUUGGAAAUGUCUCAAGAUCCACAUGAAUGCUAGAAAUUAUAUAAUACACUAUGUAAGCAUCUUUGGUGUUUAACAAGUGUUGACACAAAGACAGGAAAUCGACAAAUCUAGAUACAUUACAUCACAUAUCUCUUUUAUAAAUUAGUAUAGCUAUUUAUGAGUCAGUGUCGUGCAUGUAUUUGGGGGUGUGAGAAUAAGUCAAGCUACACGAUAGGUAUCUAUAACUUAUUAUCGUCUGAUUCGGUUUUGCCCGUUUAAUAAAAAAAUUAGGUUCAAACACUUUAAAAAAUUUAUUAUUUAAAUAGUUCAGAUUUAAGAUAUUUAAAAAGCCAAUUAGGUAUACAGAAGGAACUACGCGACAACAAUGUUUGCAAUGUUUUGAAGAUUUUUUUUCCCCUAAACACAUUUGGAUUAUAGAAUACCAAAAGGAAACAAUAUUGCAUUAGCACACAACACAUGUAUUCAAAAUCAUGUACAAAUAUAUUUUACAAAUCAACUGAAUAUAUAUAAAUAGGGCUAAUGAACCCAUAAACUCUCAGUAUCAUAGUUUUAAAAUUCGGCUCGGUCAUCGACUCGGCGGGGAUACUGGAUCAAUGGAUCAAUGGUCGAACCACUGAGUCAUUGGUCGAACCGCAUGACUAAAUCGGAACCACUCGGAUGACUCGGUUAGAUAACUCGGUUCUUAGAUUAAAUUUAUAUAGUUAUUUAACCGGAUUAACUCGGAUUGAAUCGGUGACUCGGUCACUUUAGAAACUAAAAUAAUUAAUGAGUGUUGUAAUUUAAAAAAUGUUUACAUUUAAGGACAAAAAUAAAAUCAAAUGGAUGUUUAAAUAUAUGGACGAAGAUAGUAAUACAUAUUCAAAUAAAUAUAGUAAAAUAAAACUAUUCUUUCAAAAAAAAAAAUAUUGUAAAAAAAAUGUUUAUUAAAAUAUUUGAGAUGUCGGACAAUAAUAUUUAAAUGAUAAGAGUGUGCUUGGUUCCUUAAAAUAAAAAAGAGUGUUUGGUUUCCUUUAAAAAAAACUGUUCAGUUAUUAUAUAUAAUUGAUAAGAAGAUCUACACAGCUCAGUGGGUAAAGGGAAUGCAUUGCAAUCUAAGAGACGCGGGUUCAACUCCCUGCACUGCCAUUUUUUGGAAAAUUAAUAUGAUUUAAUUUAUGUUUCACGUUGCCGGUUCACCGUUUUUUCACGAGUUUGGUCGGUUCCGGCUGGUUUGAUUGCAUGACCGAUCCGUUUAUCAACUCGAACCGGUCAUCCCACCGGUUCACGGUCGGACCGGUUCAACCGGCCGGUCCGGUCCAGUUUUCAAAACUAUGCUCAGUAUGUAAAAGAAAAGUUAUGCUUAGUACACAAUAUUUUUUGGCAACUCUUUUGUCUUUACUUCAACAAAUAUUCUGGGAAUCAAACAGAUAAAUGCUUAUCCAAUGCAAGAAAUAAUAUAAAGAAAUAAAGGUCCAAGUGGUAGUUGGUAUUUAUACUAAAAAAGUAGUUCAAGCAUGGUUAAUUUUCCUUGCUUAGUGAAAUACGUGGUAGGGUAAAUAUUAGAACAUAUAUGGCCAUUUUUCUCCGCUCAUUUACUCUCAUUGGUUUCAAGUCACAUCCAAGAAAAAGUAUAUGGCUAAAAUAGUGUCAUACUCAUAUAUAGUAGUUGUUUUUCUAUCCUUGUCCUUUUCGUUAAUCAACUAUCUUCCACACCAAUUUAAUUUUUGAUGCAUUAAUUCUUGAAACCACUAAAAGAAAACAAUGAUAGUUAUCUUCUCAAAAAUCAUGUAACACAUCUUUACUCCCACAAAAAUGGAUAAUUUCUAUACACAACCAGCAACUAUAGUACUAGCUAUACUUUUAGUGCUUCUAUACAACAUAUGGAGGGUAAAAAAACCUAGUAACAAAUUCAAGGGUAUGAAACCACCAGAACCAUCAUAUGCCUUACCUUUAAUAGGUCACCUCCAUCUACUAGGAAACCAAAUCCCUCUUGCAAGAAUCUUUGCUUCAUUUUCAGACAAAUAUGGUCCUAUCUUCCAAAUCCAUUUUGGAGCAUACCCUGCACUUAUUAUUUCCAACAAAGAAGCAAUCAAAGAAUGUUUCACUACAAAUGACAAAAUCUUAGCCUCAAGACCAAAGUCAAGUCAUGGAAUUCACCUAGGUUAUAACUAUGCUGGCUUUGGUUUUGCACCUUAUGGCCCAUAUUGGACCAAGCUAAGAAAAUUAACCAUGCUUGAACUACUUUCGUCUCGUCGCCUUGAAUCGUUGAGACAUGUUUAUGAAUCGGAGAUCGAUACUUUGAUAAAGGAUUUAUCAUUGUAUGUUAAGGUUGGAAAGGUUAAGGUUGUGAUAAGUGAAUGGUUGGAAAGGUUAACAUUUAAUAUAAUGACAAAAAUGAUUUGUGGGAAAAGGUAUUUUGAGUAUUUGAAAGAUGUGGAUGAUGUUGAAGCACAUGGGAAUAUUGUGAAACUUAUAAAAGAAUUUAUGCAUAUUUCUGGUGAGUUUGUUCCUAAGGAUUUGAUUCCAAUUCUUGGUUGGUUUGGUUUUGAAGGAAAAGUGCUAAAAUCUAUGAAAAGAAUUGCUAGAGAUUUGGAUGCAGUUGUUGGAAGCUGGGUUGAAGAGCAUGAUGUUGAGAUUGAGAGUAAGUCAAAUGAGAAAUAUGAUUUCAUUGAUGUUAUGCUUUCUGUGAUUGAAGAUGAUCCUACUUCUGGUCAUAACCGUGAUACUAUCAUCAAGGCAAAUGUUAUGGUAUGCAUUUUCUCUUUGUUCUGAAAUUUGCAAUGUUUUUAUUUAGAAACUAUGAAGCACGGACACAAACACGGAUACGAGACACAAUAUGGACACCGACACAUCGACACGGAUAAUAAUUUGAGAAAAUAAUGUAGUUCAGUGUAAUCAUAGGUGUCGUGUUGAUGUCGGACACGCGUCGAUGUCCGACAUCAAGACACGCCUAAUUCGAGGAGUGUCCGUGCUUCAUACUUCAAGUAAAAUGAAAAUCAGAACAAUUAUUUACAUGCAAAUAACUAAAUUUAACACACAACUUGGUGUAAAAAACAAACUAUUGUAACAUCAUAGCUUAAAAUGUUAUCAAAUAAUUCAGAAAUGGGGAUGGGUUGUUUUUAUUAUUUAAUUUGAACAAAUUAUUAUAAUUAUUAGUCAACAAGUCAACUUUUCAUAUUCAGAAUCUUAUGUUAGCUGGGUCAGACACAACAUCAACGACAAUGACAUGGAUCCUAGCCAUAUUGAUGAAUAAUAUGAAUGCUUUAAAACAUGCACAAGAGGAGAUUGACCAUCACAUAGGUAGGGACAGAAGGGUAGAAUCAUCAGACAUAAAAAACCUAGUUUAUUUGCAAGCAAUUGUGAAAGAAACUUUAAGGUUAUACCCUCCAGGUCCACUAUUAGUACCCCAUGAAGUAACAGAAGAUUGUUACAUUCAAGACUAUUAUGUACCAAAAGGGACACGUGUGUUUGCAAAUGUGUGGAAAUUACAUAGAGAUCCAAGUAUUUGGUUAGAGCCUGAAAAGUUUUUACCUGAAAGGUUUAUUAAUGAGAAUGGAGAAAUUGAUCAUGAAAGUCACCAUUUUGAGUACCUUCCUUUUGGAUUAGGGAGAAGAGCUUGUCCUGGAUCGUUGUUUGCUACACAAGUUAUUCUCAUUACACUUGCUCGUUUACUUCAUGGGUUUGAUUUGGAAGUGCCAAUGGAUGAAGUUGUUGAUAUGAGAGAAGGGUUGGGUAUUACCUUGCCUAAGUUAACUCCAUUGCAAGUUGUUUUGACCCCGCGAUUAUCAUGUGAACUCUAUCGAUUAUAAACAUUUUCCCUUUUGUGUGUGAUCGGAUAUGCUGCUACACAUGUUCAUUGAACAAUGAUGUAUUUGAUCUAUAUUACAAUCUUUUACGUUAGUUAUUCAAUGAAUCUAAAAUACAGAAUCAUGAUUGUUAUCUUUACUCUUUAGUAUAUAUUUGAGACCACAUUGAUUAUACAGAAUCAUGAUUGUUAUCUUUACUCUUUGGUAUGCACGAACGGCCAAACCA
rnacentral:lncRNA from 1 species